UUUACUCCCUGAAACCUUUGUUUGUCCUAAAGAAACAUUCAGGCUUCGGCACAUGGAUAAAAAAUGAAAAUGAAAUCUCUCAUGUGUGAAUUUAUUAUAAAAAAUGCCACUCUUUUAUUCCAUUUUGUGUGCCAACUUACUAGUUUGCGAAUCCUUGUUUGAUCAUGGUUUUCCUACACAUGUUUUUAUUGUUUCCAAGUUUUAGUAUGUGUGAUUUAUUAAAGAAAGAUAAUAGACUUGGUGCUUGAAGUCGACUAAACAAAUGUUGUUUUGAUCAUCAUACUGAACAUUGGGGCAAGGGAGUGCUAUUGAAUCGAGAACUGUAUUCGAAGUUAUUCUUUAGAUUUUUAUACAACUUAUUCAUGUUUUCCAGGGAAGACAAGGGGAUUAUAUCAAUGGUUUGUUAUCGACAAGCAAGGAAGAUUUUCAACCUCCAAAAUUCCAGGGAAGUGUAAAAUCAAUCUUCCAAGCUCUUUUCACCUUCCUUCUCUGAGCUAAUACACUAAGGUGAGAGACUGCAAAGAGUUCUUAGAUUUAGGACGUUUCGUCUUGAGCUGCCUACUAAUUCUACUUUUUGCACUUGGAAGGAUCUCUCUUGAAACACAUAUUAGAGUCAUGGGAUCCUAUAUUUCGAUGACUUGUAAAGACGAGAAUUGUUUGCAAGGUCAUUAGAUUCAUUUACAUGUAUGUAUUGCAUUCUUUCGAAUGUGCUCUUGACAGACAAUUCUUGUAAAAACCAAAUACUAUUUUCCCUUCUACAUAUCAAUCAGCAAUUGUUCCAUAUGCUACUGCUCCAUACCAUACAAGGUCUGUGAAUAUCUUCAUAUUCAGGAUGAUUUGUUCACUUUGUUGCUUUAGUAUCCGUCUCACUUAACAAAUUCCGUUUAUGAGUGAGACCGAUACGUUGUAUUUUUGAAUAAUAUCUUGAUAUCAUCAGAUCAAUAGCGCACAGAAGAAUAUUGAACUCACAUCCUUAUUGCCUUCUGGCAUAUCCAGAAUUUUCUGGGCAGCUCUUUUAUAAGUGUCACUUCUACCUAUUUGUGUAUCUUACAACAAAAUUGAGAAUGCAAUGCAAAACGAAAAGCAAAACUAUAGCUAGAUGUGAUUACUAACUCUUUUCUCUAUUAGAUAUUUACGUUUUAUGUAUACACUGACAGUUUUAAAAAAGUUCACUAACAAUGCAAUUUAAUCAGCUAUAGCUAGUUAGUACUCCAUUUUCCAGGUUUCGAUUUCAACCUGCUAUGAAGAGUCACUUAUUAUUGUUAGAGGGGAAUUCAACUGAAGAAAUCACCACUAAAUGACAUUGGAAAUGGAUAGUUUUGAAGUUUUGUUCAUGAGGCAAGCGGGGUCAAAAGUUUUAAGACCAUCACCUCCAAUGUCAUUCUCUUUUAAUACUCUAUUAUUGCUUAAGGGAAUAGGAACAAAGUUGCAUCUUGAUGCCCUAAAAAAGGAGAUGCCUCCUUCACAGCAAAUUGAUGAAGUGAUACAAAACGUUAUAGGUGACAAAUGAGCAGGUUGAGCUGAAUUUGGAUGGAUCAAAUGAGUGGGUUAAAUCCAUCCAAAUGUCACUUAGGCAAAAAGGGGUGGUUGAAAUGGAUUGAGCUGUAAUUGGCUAAAACUGUGGAUCAUAAUCUCAACUCGCCAAACUUUCACUAAGUUUUAAUUUCUUUAUUUGUUCUUUUAUAAAUUUUCAAUACCUUGGAAAAAUAUUUUCCUUAUUAUGACUGUAUAUAAUAUACUAGUAAAAUUAUCCACACUUCGCGCGGGAAUUUAAUGUCAUGGAAUUUAUAAAAUAAAAACCUAUCGGGCAUUAAAACUAAAACACUAUAUUAUCUUACAUACAAGAUUACGUAGUAACAAACAUUAAUAAUAUGAAGGAAAAUGAAAAUUAUUAAAUCUUAUCAUUUAUCCUUAAUAACAUAAGCAUAAAUUAAUGAUUGUAAAAAUACAUACCAGGAUCUGUAACAUAAACAAUGGUGUCAGUGAGCCACUCAACAGGAGCAAAGUACACAAAUAUUUAAUUGUGAAGAAGAAGAGGUUCGAAAUUUCGUUAUUUUAAAUGAGAGGAAUCCCUCUAUUUAUAGACAACAAAGGGUAGUGUGAACAAAUGUUUAUUGUGACUUAUCAGAAAGGUUACAACUAUUUGAAAAAGUUGCAACCUUUCGAAAAGGUCACAACUUUUCAUAAAAGUCACAACUUUCAUAAAAAUCGCUACUCUUUAUUAAAGUCGCAACUUUUCAUAAAAGUCACAACUUCUCAUAAAAGUCACAAUUUUUCAUAAAAGUCGCUACUCUUCAUUAAAGUCGCAACUUUUUCAUAAAAGUCACAACUUUUCAUGAAAGGAGAAGGCAAGUGUUGGAAAUAAAUAAAUUAAUAGGGAAUUCUGGUUUGUGGUGGCGUCACGUAGGUGGGCCUAAGGUUCUCUUUUAUAUAUGAUAUAUGAUUAAAUAAAAUAAAAUGUACUUUUUUUGAAAUUAUUUGACUAAGUUUUUCAUGAGUCGAUUUAGGCUAAAUAUCAACCAAAACUUUGAUACGUUGAACUAAUAAAUGAACGAGUCCAUAAUUAAUUCAAACUUAAACGAGUUAUAAUUUUAUAAGCUAAUUUUACAAAAUACAUCUAAUAAUCUAACUUUGUGAAUAAAUCAAACCUCAAGUUGCAAGUGGAUUGUAACACUAGAUUAUUUUAUUAUUGGAUAGCCCACAUGGCUUGAUUUGCCAAAUUUUGUUAGUCAACAAAAUACUACAUUUUCCUAAUAUAAAAUGUCAAAUUUAGCUCAUUUUGUAUCCAACCCCUCCAAAUCUGGAAGGAUCAAAUUGAAAAUAUAUUCAUUGAUGGACCAAUAAUUGGAUUACCAAGAAUAGUUGUAGUUUUGACAUAAUUUCACUAUGUUUAUCUCACUAGAACAUAAAAAGUUUAGCUAACUCAGCUAUUGUUAAAUAUUUUUACGACAAUAAAUAUUGUUCAACUUGUAUUCCUAAGAUACUUAGAACAAAACUUUGAAGAACUUGGUAAGAAACAACAAAGUUAAAAGAGUAUUUUCAAACUAGAAAAUUAAAACUAGUAGAGAAAAAUAGAAUCAGAAACAGAUUAGAAACAAUAUAAAAAUAUUUUUUCUCAAAGAAAGAAAAUCGAGCCCACUGAAUGCACAGUGUCCCCUUAAGGAAAUUAUUUCCCUCAAGUACUCGAGGUUAAUGGAAUAUAUCCUCCCAGGAUAUAACGAUCUUCUCACCGGUGUAUCAGUACCUAAACCACAGUGUCAGCGAACCACUCAACGACAGUAAAGUACACUUAGAAUACUAGAUUUAGUAGUAGUAGAAGAAGUCCAGAAAAAUCCGUUCAACUAAAAUGAGAGGAAAUCCUCAAUUUAUAGAAAACAAAGGGUAGUGUGAAAAGGUUCUUAUAGUGCCUUACCGGAAAGGUCACAAACCUUUGGAAAAGUCACAACCUUUCGAAAAGGUCACAACCUUUCAUAAAAGUCACAACUUUUCAUAAAAGUUACAACUUUUCAUAAAUGUCACAACUUUUCAUAAAAGUCACAACUCUUCAUAAAAGUCGCAACUCUUCAUAAAGUCGCAACUCAUCAUUUUCCAUUCUCACCUUUUAAAACCCAACAAUCCCCCACAUGAAUGGGGAAUGACUCCAAGACAAAGAAACAAACAAGUAUGUAUACUUUGCAAGCAAGAAUUAAUUGCAUCUAGAUAAGUAGGUUUCAUUUUGAACUUUCCGCAGUGAACAUAUGCCAGAUAUACUCGGUCAAUCAGUAGAUUUGAUAUCUUUGAACUGUCAAGAUUUGGUGUAUACCUAGACAACCAUAUGUCACACAAUCAACCCUUUACCUUAUGGUUCUUACGGUUGUGUUCGUUUCAGCCAUGAACACCUCAUAGUUUCAUGAGUGUAUAGAGAGAUGGACUUUUGACAAUCAUCCUAUUUGAAGAGGCUUACACUUCCACUCACAUAGGUGAUUUCUAACCGUGUUUUCACGUAGAUACACUAUUUGGUCAAAUCUGUCAAACUUAGCAAAUCAUUAAAAACUUUAAGCUUUAUUAACUUAUUAAUAAGCCUUAAUGUUGUAUCCUUAUUCUUGAACAUUGUCUUCAUCAUGAGAAUGGAUUGAGUUGGUUGACAAUGCCGAACCGUCAGUCACAACUUUGUUUUUCUCCUUUGAACCUAGCUCUUGGGAUCUCCAGUCUGCUAGGUAGAGUUACCACCAUGAUGACUUUUCCUAAGCCGUAAACCCAUUCCCUUAGAUGAUCUUUCAACUUUCUCUCUAGUUAGGCCUUUUUUGUAAGUGGAUCCGACACAUUAUCCUUUGACUCUACAUAGUCAAUUGUGACAAUUUCCACUAGAGAGAAGUUUUUCUAACGGUAUUAUGUCUAUGUCUUAUAUGACGAGUCUUUUCGUUACACAUCAUGCUUCAUGCCCUACCUAUUGCAUCUUGACUAUCAAAAUGUAUGCAUACUGAUGCCAAAGGUUUGAACCAAAAAAAUGAUAUCUAUCAAGAAAUUCCGGAGUUUUUCAACUUAUUCAUCGGUCUUAUCUAGAGCACCUAGCUCAGAGAUCAUUGUAGAGCCAGCGAUACAUGCCUUUUUUUUUGGAAGAUUUCCAAAAGACUGCUCCUCCACCAAAAGUAAAUACAUAUCCACUCGUGAAUUUUACUUCAUUUGAUCCCGGUGAUCCAAUUUGCAUCACUAUAUCCUUUCAAUACUACUGGAUAUUGUUAUAAUGCAAGACAUAGUUUUGAGUAUGUUUUAAAUACCCCAAAACUCUUUUCAUUGCCAUCCAAUGAGUUUGAUUGAGAUUAUUCGUGAACCGACUCAGUUUAGUAAUAACACAUACUAUAUCUGAUCGCGUACACUUCUUGAUAUACAUCAUACUUCCCAAUACUCUAGCACAAUCCAAUUGUGAGUCACUUUCUCCUUCACUCAUUUGAAAUGCAAAUCUCACAUUUAUUGGAGUCUUGACAAUAUUGAAAUCCAAAUAUUUGAAUUAGUCAAGUACCUUUUCAAUGCAAUGAGACCAUGACAAUGCUAAACAUUAUGGAGUUCUAAGAAUUCUUAUACCUAAGAUCACAUCAGCAACUCCAAGAUCUUUCAUAUCAAACUCGCUUUCUAGCAUACGUUUAGUAGCAUUUAUGUCAUUAGUGUCUCUACUGAUGAUCAACAUGUCACAAAUAUACAAACAAAAAAUUACCUUGUAAUUUUAAUGUAAACACAUUUAUCACUUCCAUCAUUCUUAAAUCCAUUUACCAACAUAGUUUGGUAAAAUUUCUUAUGUCAUUGUUUGGGUGCUUGUUUUAGUCCAUAAAGUUGUCACGCCCCAAGCCUACACCCUGGACGUGGCCGGCACUCGGAGACCAUCGAUGGGCCCAAGCGGACCGUUGGCUUGGCUUACUUAACUCAACAGAAUACUUAACUCAACAGAAUAAACCCAAUGUAAUAGUUUAAUUGAUAACAUCUUAGCCAAAAUGGCAACUUAUGUCUCAAAACAAAGUAUCUGUAAAUACAUAGAUGAGAGACUCAAUACUAAUUGUCUGACUGUCUAUGAAGACUCUAUAAUACUGAGAUAGGUGUUGGGACAAACCCCACAACAUCCUAAUAAAGAAAAACUAGGAAAGCGAAAUAAAAGAGUCCUCGGGAUGCAAUGAGGCUCACCACUGACUCUGGAGUGCUCAACUGCAUCAACGGCGCGUUGGAUGCUGAUCCUGGUUACCUGCGUCUGCAUCAUAAUAAGAUGCAGGCCAACUGGCAUCAGUACAUUGAAUGUACGAGUAUGCGAGUUGAAAAGAUAAACAACAACUUAAGCUUGAAAAGAGUGAAGUGGAACACUUACCUUGGCUCUGUACAACUCAUGAACAACUGAACUCAAUAAAAAGCAAUAAGACACAUGCAAUAUAUAUAAAGCUUGUAAAACAGUGUAAACAACUUAGUUCGUUAAAGAUAAAGCAAUAACAAACUCAACUUUACUUAUAUAUAAAAGUAAUAUAACUUUAGUGGGAGAUUCUUUAACCGACAACCNNNNNNNNNNNNNNNNNNNNNNNNNNNNNNNNNNNNNNNNNNNNNNNNNNNNNNNNNNNNNNNNNNNNNNNNNNNNNNNNNNNNNNNNNNNNNNNNNNNNNNNNNNNNNNNNNNNNNNNNNNNNNNNNNNNNNNNNNNNNNNNNNNNNNNNNNNNNNNNNNNNNNNNNNNNNNNNNNNNNNNNNNNNNNNNNNNNNNNNNNNNNNNNNNNNNNNNNNNNNNNNNNNNNNNNNNNNNNNNNNNNNNNNNNNNNNNNNNNNNNNNNNNNNNNNNNNNNNNNNNNNNNNNNNNNNNNNNNNNNNNNNNNNNNNNNNNNNNNNNNNNNNNNNNNNNNNNNNNNNNNNNNNNNNNNNNNNNNNNNNNNNNNNNNNNNNNNNNNNNNNNNNNNNNNNNNNNNNNNNNNNNNNNNNNNNNNNNNNNNNNNNNNNNNNNNNNNNNNNNNNNNNNNNNNNNNNNNNNNNNNNNNNNNNNNNNNNNNNNNNNNNNNNNNNNNNNNNNNNNNNNNNNNNNNNNNNNNNNNNNNNNNNNNNNNNNNNNNNNNNNNNNNNNNNNNNNNNNNNNNNNNNNNNNNNNNNNNNNNNNNNNNNNNNNNNNNNNNNNNNNNNNNNNNNNNNNNNNNNNNNNNNNNNNNNGUGGGUCCGCGACGCGGAGGCAUAAUUAAAUUUUGGUUCUGAAAACAUCUUUUGAGGCAGAACACCUCGUGUCAGCUCAGCGACACGAAGUUGAAACUUCAAAUCUGGGCACUAGGCGUGCGACGCGCAGCCACCCUCUGAUUUCGUCCGAUGAAAUUUCUUCUUCGUUUUCCAGCCCCAAUUCACCCAAACUCGGUUCUUUUUUCUCAAAUUGCUUUUAGAUACAGAUACCCAGCAAAAGUACUUAAGAACCUAAUUAGAAACGACUCUAUAAUGCGACGUAACGAACUCAGAAACUUCCCAACUCAGUUAAAUUCAAGAAUAGGCAUCAAGAUCAUCAAUAUUCAAACACUUUUAGGACGAAUCCAAACUGAAAUAAUAUGCUUGGCACGUGGGAGAACAAUCCCAACAUUAUGAGAGCUUCACAUACCUGAUCGAAGUAAUUUCUUGGCGAAACAACGAUCAAACUAGAGCAAUCUUGGCGAAUCUUGCCUUUUUGUUCUUCUUCUUUCUCCUUAGCCCUAGCGUGAAAUCCAAAUUCUAAAAUUGACUAAAUUCUGAAUUGACCCAUAUUAAACUCCUAAAAUUGGAUUAAAAUAAUAGGGUAGUGAAAAGACUAAAAUACCCUUUAAAAUCCCGGUUUUGGAGAUUUCCUUAAUCCAACAGCCUAACUUCCAAAGGGCAUAACUUGCUCAUACGAACUCGGAAUCGGGUAAACUUGGCGGCGAUGGAAAGAUCAUUCCAAGGGAUUUAUAACCCUCUCUAGAAUUAUACCUAACUAAUCCUGAGCUAGGAGUUAUGGUCUUUUGAAGUAGACCAAAAACUCACUUUCUUAACUUAGACAAUUUUCCAGAUUUCCUUAUUCUUUCCAAAAAUCAUUAUUUUCAGAUUUUAAACUCUUUCUAGUUGUUUCUAGGUGCGAGAUGUUACAAAAGUGACUUAAAAAGUUCGCACACUUUAUUUUCUUUACCAGGAACCACAAUACCCUCGGGUUUUUCCAUGUAAAUUUCUUCCUCCGAUUCUCCAUUUAAGAAAGUUGUUUUCAUAUUCAUUUGAUGAAUUUGGAGGUCAUAUACCGCAACUAAUAAUAUUAACAUCCGAAUGUGUAACAUCUCGCAAAUCGAAAGAACUAGAAAGAGCUAGAAUUAGAAAUAGUGACUUCUUUUGGAAAUAAUAAAAAUCUGGAAAAUUGGUUAAGUUAAGUUUGAGUUUUGGUCAACUUCAAAUGGCCAUAACUCCUAGCUCAGAAUGCGUUAGGUGUGUUUCCAGAUAUCAUAGGAAAGAUCUUGGAAUAAUCUUUCCAACGCCGCCGAGUUUGUGCAUUUCCGAGUUCGUAUGAGUGAGUUAUGCCCAUUAGAAGUUGGGUUGUUCAAAUAAGGAAAGUUCAAUCCGGAUUUUAGAAGGGGAUUAUGGUCUUUUCACCAUCCAAUUAAUUAUUUUCGUUUUUGGUAAUUAAUUUGGGGUCUAAACUGAUUGGAUUCAGUUUACGCUUUUGAGAAACAAGUUAGGGUUUUGAGAGAAGAGAAAAGAAGAGGAGAAAAGAGGAGAAGGAGCAAGGAAUCGUCAAGUUCUUGAAGCUAGGCUCGUGGAUUUCGUCGAGGGGUGAUCCCUACGAGGUAGGUGAGUCUUUCAUAGCGUUGGGUUCGUUCACCCUAGCGCCAAUCAUGUUUAUUUCAGCGAAGUUUGUUCUAGAAAGUUGAAAGUUGAUGAAUCUUGAAUGGUGUUCUUGAAAUUGGCCUUUGUUCUUGAGUUAGGUUGAGAUUUAGGAGUUCCUUUGAGGUUAAAAUGUUGUUUCCUUGGGUUGUUUGAGUUAGAUUCUUGUGUAUACAUGCUGGGUAUCUGAAUCUAAAGAAAAAUUGAGAAGAAUAGUCGAGUUUGGGUGAAUUGGGACUGGAAAACAAAAGCAGGAAAAAGUCGGGCAAAUCUGGUGCCCAGGCCGUGUCGUGGACCUGCUCCUCAGUUUCAAAAAAUUCAUGCUCGCGUCACGGAGCGGUCACGGACCGUUCUGCCUUAAAAAGUAUUUUCACGACCAAAAUUUAAAUACCUCUCCGCAUAGCGAACCCACCCUCAGACAGUGAUUUCUUGAUCCUUUUCUCAUAUUUAGCUAUCAAAAAUCAUUCCUAAACAUCAAGAGAUCUUUCCUAUCACUAAGACAAUCCUUGAAUCCAUAAUUCAAUUCAAGGAAAGUUAAGAGUCAAGUUAAGAGAAGUUAAGAGUCAAGUCAAGAGAAGUUAAGAGUCAAGUCAAGAGAAGUCAAGAGUCAAGUUAAGAGAAGUUCAUAAAGUUUUCCGAAAGUCUAUUACAAAUGUUUUAACUUUGUUUUAAGACUUGAGUUUUGAGUUGAGUAAAGAGUAAAGUUUGAAGUGCAUUUCUUCAAAAGAGUAUAUCGGGACUAUGUAUUCCGAAAGAGUAAAUGUUUUCACAUUUAAAUAAAAAAGGAAACUGAGAUUUCCAAAAGAGCCUUUGAGCUAGUUUUCAGUAAAGAGUAAGAGUAAAGUUCAUUAUUCAAAGAUUAUACGGGAACUAAGUAUACCCAAGAGUUAAAAUGUUUUCACAUUUGAGCAAGAAGGGAAACUGAGAUUUCCAAAAGAGCUUUUAAGCUAAAUUUUUGAGUAAUUAUCUCAAACCAAAGAAAGAGUUUUGUUUUUACAAAUAUAUGAGCUACAGUAUAUUUUGGGAGUAGUAUUGAGCAUCGAUAUGGGGACGAGCUUGAGUUCAGAUAACUUACGUCUCCAUAAACCAUGUAGCCAUCAUGGGUAGUAAAUGAUCAUACUUUUUAGAUGACUCCUUAAGAUGCUUUUAGCAUAAGCUAGUGAAUCCACUAAGUUAAGUAGUUCUAUAUGACGGCAAAGUAUAUGACAGUUCUGGUAGCGUGGACAAGACGUUGUAUCACCACUUAGGCUCAUAGUGGUGGUUGUCGGUUAGAGAAUCUCCCACAUAAACUAUAUUACUUUAUUUUAUGAGUAAAAUUGAGUUUGUUAUUGCAUUUUCUUUAAUGAACUAAGUUGUUUCCACUGUUUUUUACAAGCUUUCUAUAUAUUGCAUAUGUUUUAUUACUUUAUAUUAAGUUAAGUUAUUCAGGAGUUGAGUAAAGCCAAGAUAAAUGUUUCUUUCAGAUUCUUUCAAGCUUAAGUUGUGUUUAGCAUUCCAACUCGCAUACUCGUACAUUCAAUGUAUUGAUGCCAGUUGGCCUGCAUCUUAUUAUGAUGCAGACGCAGGUAAUCAGGAUCAACAUCCAGUGUCUCGUUGAUCCAGUUGAGCACACAGAGUCCAUUGGUGAGCCUCCUAGCUUUUCAGAGGAUCCUUUUUAUUGAUUUCAUGUAUUUUAGUUCAUUAGGAUGUCGUGGGUCUUGUCUCGACGUCCAUUUCAGUUGUUUAGAGGCUUCAUAGACAGAGUCAGUGGUUUUAGUUCAUGAGUCUUUUCUUUUCCUUUUUGGUUAAAUUGAGACUUAAGUUGUCACUUUGUCAGUGAAUGUUAUUAUAAUACAUUCUAAGUUAUAUUUUGAGCAGUUCAGUUUAUUUAAAAGUAUUUUUCUUCAUGAGUUAAGUCUUCCGCUGAGUAAGUAAGCCAGGCCAAGGGUUUGCUUGGGGCCAGCAAUGGUUCUCGAGUGCCGGCCACGUCCAAGGUGUAGGCUCGGGGCGUGACAAAAUGGAUGUAAUUCUAGUUACUGAUGAGUAUAUAUCAACAAAAUCAAGACCUUGUUUUUGUCUAAAGCCUUUGGCAAAAAGUCUUGCUUUAUAUUUGUCAACAGUUCCAUCGAAUUUGAUUUUCCUUCUGAAGAUUCACUUUGAACCCAAAGGUUUAUUUUCCGGAAGAAGAUCAAUUAACUUCCAACAUGGUUGCUCAAGAUUGCAUCAAUCUCAAUAUUGACACCAUCUUUCCAGAAGGAUGAGUCUGCAGAAGACACAAGAAAUGUUACAAAAUCAUAUUUGAAGGAAGUAGAUGUCCUUUGACAUUUACUACGCCUCUGAAUCUCUUUAUUAAGUACAUUUUCUUUUUUUUGUUUCUAAGAUCUUUUAGACCCUUCACUAGACUACUCAAGUCUAAUUUUAUAGUCCACAAUCAAAGGUCCUAUUUAAAUCCGUUUAGUUAUAGGAACUUGGACUUUGGCUAGACACCCCACACUUUGAAGUAUUUCAAGUUGGAUUUCCUUCUUUUCCAUUUCUCAUAUGGAAUAGAUUGUGUCCUGAACAAACAAAAUUGCUUUCUUUCUGAAAAGACAAAACUUUUUGUUGUUCCCUUUUGCAGUAAGGAUAGUUUCUCCACACAAGUCUUGUGGUAAACCUGAACUUAUAAGUAAUGCAACCAUCAUUUUCUUCAAAGUUUGGUUAUUUUUAUUUCCAUCCUGCAAUUCCAUUAGAUUUAGGUGAAUAGGACAAUAGUUUGAUGGAUAAAUCCAUUUUCUAAACAUAUUUCUGCAAAAGGAGAUUUAUAUUCUCCAUCCCUAUCACUUCUUAUCUUUUUCCCAACUGAUUUUCAACUUCAAUAUUAGAUUGUCUAGACAUUUCUAUUGCUUCAUCCUUACUAUUCAACAAAUAGACAUAGCCGUUUCUAAUGCAAUUGUCAAUGAAAGUUAUGACAUUCUUUUUCCCACCACGAGAUGGUGUUGACUUCAUAUCACAAAUGUUAGUGUAAAUCAACUCUAAGGGAUUAGAAUUCGUUUCAACAGAUUUAUAAGAAUGCUCAACAUACUUAGAUUCCCCACAAACUUGACAUUUUUAUUUAUUGCACUCAAAGUUAGACAAAACUUCUAAGUUGAUCAGUUUUCCUUACAAGGUUUUGUAAUUGACAUGGCCCAAGUCACAAACAGUUUGACUCAAGCAAGUAGGAACAAAUAAAAAUAUUGAGUUUGAAAAGAUCUCCGCGAGGUAGCUUUUUCUCACAAAUAUUUUGUUCCUAUUUCUUACAAUUUUGUGUGAUACAAACAUUGUUUAGAGUCAUCACCUUGUCAAAUGUCCUUUUCAGAAGGACCUUUCCAUAACUUUCAAUUUGAUUGUUAUAGAACUACCCAUGAACAAAGUUUCAUCAGGUCCAAUAAAGGCAAUAUAGUCCAAACGCUUCUUUUACAUAACAUGACAAAUGACUAUUCACCAAUAUUCAUGUCUACACAAAUAGUUAUAUUUAAUAGACAUUUUUUCUUGAAAAGUCACAACAUUUUAAUUGACACUUUUUCAUAAAAGAACUCAAUCAUUUUGAACAAGUAUACAUAUAAUUUGAUAGUUUCAUACUAGUCAUACCAUAUACUAGUAAAAGAGAAACUCAACGACCACAAUAUCAAAUAUACUCCAAGAAUUUUGUGGGUCUAACAUAAUACAAAAGUAUUAUCGAAUUUCAUAUCUUGUGCUCCAAAUUUAAAUUAGACACUAAGUCUAAUUUUAUCUUUGUCAUAAGCAUAGAACCCCCCACAUUUUAAAUAUGAUCUCAAAAAUAUUUUUCAAGUAUUUGAAAAUAGUUUUUCCACAUAUCUUUUUUUCUCAUGCUAUCAAAGUGUCAUUGGCAACAUGAAACCUCUUUUGAAAAUAUUAUUCUACAAAAGAAUUAUAGUGCUUUAAUUCUCUUUGACAAUCUUUACACAAUGUCAAAAUUUAUUCCAUAGAGGCACAAAAUCACAAACUCUAAGUCACUGGUAUUUUUCCUCUAUCACAAAUAGACAUAUCACUUAGUACAUAGAAUACUAACAAUAAGGACACUUUUUUUGUACAAUUUGUUUCUAUAUAACAAUGAAGUUUAUAGAAAAUUAAAAGUACAACACUGACUUAUUAUGUGAAGUUUUCAUAUUCUUCAAACUAAUUGCAUAGUCCAAUUUAUCCAGAGUAGAAAACUACAAAAGUUUUUAGUCUACAAAAAUUAGGUAUAAUCAAAUUUAACAUGGAGUACAAAACUACAAAAGUUUUUUUUUAGUCUCCAAACAGAAUUAAACAUAUUCUUAGAUUAUCACAUAGAUAUGCUUUUGUUUUCAAAUAGCCUUCCAACUAUAACAUUUUGACAUACUAUUUUACUAAACAAAAAUGUGUCAUCUCUCAUUCUGCAAACUAAAGAAUUUGAAAGGCAACACUUUUUGCCAAGGAAAAUUCAUUCAAAAUCAUAUGGUUUGCAUAUCUUUUUCCAAAGACAUACAUGAUACCAAAGCUAUUAACUUUUAUAAACUAUUUUCCUCCUUAGAUAAAUAAUAAGAAGGUUACCUAGUGUACUCUUUAACCGAAAUACCACAAAUUCUUCUAGUACAUUCUCACUUCGACCUUGCUAAACAAAGUACCGAAUUCUGGAGAAGUAAUGCAUUAAUCUUCUACUUCCAUGAUCUGUUUCUCUCAAUCAGUAGAAUACAAGAAAUACCAACAGUAUAUAAUUUCCUUAAGAUUGUUGUUCAUCUUGCAUUCCUAAGAUACUUAGAACAAAACUUUGAAGAACUUGGUAAGAAACAACAAAGUUUAAAGAGUAUUUUCAAACUAGAAAAUUAAAACUAGUAGAGAAAAUAGAAUCAGAAACAGAUUAGAAACAAUAUUUAAAUAUUUUCUCAAAGAAAGAAAAUCGAGCCCAUUGAAUGCACAGUGUUCCCUUAAGGAAAUUAUUCCCCUCAAGUACCCGAGGUAAAUGAAAUAUGUCCCCCUAGGAUAGAACGAUCUUACUUACCGAUGUAUCGGUACCUAAAACCACGGUGUUAGUGAACCACUCAAUGGUAGUAAAGUACACUUAGAAUACUAAAUUUAGUAGUAGUAGAAGAAGUCCAGAAAAAUUCGUUCAAUUAAAAUGAGAGGAAAUCCCUCAAUUUAUAGAAAACAAAGGGUAGUGUGAAAAUAUUCUUAUUGUGCCUUACCAAAAAAGUCACAAUCUUUCGGAAAGGUCACAACCUUUCAUAAAAGUCACGACUUUUUAUAAAAGUUACAACUUUUCAUAAAAGUCGCAACUUUUCAUAAAAGUCACAACUCUUCAUAAAAGUCGCAACUCUUCAUUUUUCCAUUCACACCUUUUAAAACCCAACAAUAAAUACCGCCAUGUCUGUAGUACUUUUGCCCAACUAAAAAAGAGAGUACAUUCCUAUACAUUGUCAAGAUUGAUGUGCGGUCACUUUAUGCUACCAUUAUUGUCAAGAUUAACAAUGUGCACAUUUGCUUAUCAAUUAAAUAAGAAAAAGUAAUAAAAUAUUUUUAGUCCAUAAUAUAAUAAACAUAUAAAAUCAACUUGUUUGUUAUAUAUAAACAAGAAAAGCAUGUAUCCAUAAAAUAAUAUUCCAUUUCCUACUUUCUAAAAAAUGGAGACUCAACAAUUACUCUCCACCCUCUUUUUGUUUUUUUAAGCAAUUCUGCUAGGCAAGGUGUGCCUAGGACUAAUUUUGUUAAUAAAGUGAAAAUGAUCUCAAAGAGAAGAGUACAAGCAAGGGGGACUAGGCCUUACCUUGCUAAUCUUAAUGAGGUAACAAACCUCUACUAAUUAACAAGCAUGACGAAAAUAAGAGCUAGAGAAAACUAGAUAUUUUAUGAUCAUCAUAGAGUUUAUAAUACACUCUGUGAUGAUACUACAAAUGAGAAUGUUUAAGUAAUGCAAAAAUCUAAAAUCUAAGAAUAAAGCUAGGUUAUCAACCUCAAACUUCAUUUUAUAUAUGUAAGAAUUAAAAGAGAUGGAUUGCCCGUGUAAUGUAACCUGAAGUAUUUCCCUCUUGUCUUCUUCAUCAAAUAUGUCCAACAAAACUUGAUAGUUCAUCACUUCUUUUUGGAUCGUGUUGUUGUUGAAACUGUCAUAUGAUUUUGCUUUGCUAGUCGCAUUGUUAGAUGCCUUGGAAUAAAUUCCUCAGUCACCUUACCAUCCCAACUAUGUUGCCUUUCAUGUGUCUUCUUUUGUUUUUGUUGCUUCCACUUCUUUGUUGCCUAGGCGAGAGAUCUCCAUCCUUGGCUACCUUAUCAAAUAAUAUGUCUAACAUAUCAUCCUCAUCAUCUUCGUCAAACAUUUCACUGCCCAAGUCACUAUCAUAAGUUGUGGUUGGACUACGUCUUGAAACUUCAGCUUCUGGCUCAUGACUUAUUUCCAAUACCUUGGUGUUAAUGGUCAAGAUCUUUUUGGAGUUAUCAAUUCUCACUGCCAUAUAUGGAUUUGCCUUACUUGAAGGCACAAAUAUGGGUGCUUGAGGACUUAACUUACUCCUUGUAGGUGCAUGCUCCUCUUCCUCAACUAAAUCUUCCCAUCUAGAAUCACUCGUUUCCUUCACCAAACUUUUUUCAUUCCUUUUGGAAUGUGGUUUGAUCAUUGGGUUUUCUUUAUUCAACAUUGUGGCAUGCGACUCUUUAAUUAUUCGAGUAGUUUCACUACUAAAAAAUUGCCAAAAAAUGACGAAAAAAAGCGACGGACUGCAUCGCUUUUUUUGUCAAAAGCGACGCAGUCAAUCUCGUCACUUUUUGGCUCGACGCUUUUUCAAAAGCAACGGACUGUGUCGCCAAAAAGUGAUGGACUGUGUUGCUUAUUGUUUUUAAAAAAAAUAUAUUUUUUUAAUAAUGAGAGCCGUCCGUCGCUUUUUUUUUUUUUUUUUUAAAUUUACAAAAAGAGACGAAGUCCGUCGAUUUUCUUAAUCUUUAUUGUUUUUUAGAAUCUUGAAAAGAGACGGACAAUGAGACGCCGUCCGUCGCUUUUCUGAAAAUAAAAUUUUGAAAAAUCCAGAAAAGCGAUGGACUAAAGGACCCUGUCCGUCGUUUUUCUGGAUUUUUCAAAAAAUAAAAAUCCAGAAAAGCAACGGACUAAAGGACCCUGUCUGUCACUUUUUCUGCACUUUUUUUGUAGCAAAAACUACAGUUUCUGCUGCCCACCUACAAAUUAAAUUAAAUUCAAUAUCAAAUCAAUUCAGCUCAUUCAAGCAAAAACACAUAAUUAACAUGCUACACAAAAUAUAAACUAACAAGCUUAAUUAAGCCUUCAAAAAUACCUAAAUCCCAAUUUAGUGAUUUAGAAAGUGUUUCAAAAUUCAAAAAUUAGUUCAUAAAUACUACAUUUCAAGAUCUACAAAGUUCAAGCUUAACUAAUUCAUAAACAACAAUUAAGUUUAAGAUUUCAAAUAAUUAAUUAUAUUCCUAAUUAAGUUCAAGUUAUUAUAAAUUUAGUUCAAAGUUCUAAUUAAGUUCAAAUAUAUUAAGGUCAAUAGGAUUUUAAGUACUUCAAAAAUCAAAUUAAGUUCAAAGUUCUAAUUAUGUUCAAUUAUUAAGUUCGUAUUAAGCUCAACAAGACUUUAAGUUCAUAUUCUUAAUUAAGUUCAAGUUAUUAUAAAUUAAGUUCAAAGUUCUAAUUAAAUUCAAAUAUAUACCAAGGUCAAUAAGAUUUCAAGUAAUUCAAACUUCAAAUUAAGUUCAAAUUUUUAAUUAAGUUCAAGCUUAAUUAAAUAGUUCAUAAAUAUUACAUUUUAUCAAGAUUUCUAAAGUUCACAACCUAAAGUUCUAAANNNNNNNNNNNNNNNNNNNNNNNNNNNNNNNNNNNNNNNNNNNNNNNNNNNNNNNNNNNNNNNNNNNNNNNNNNNNNNNNNNNNNNNNNNNNNNNNNNNNNNNNNNNNNNNNNNNNNNNNNNNNNNNNNNNNNNNNNNNNNNNNNNNNNNNNNNNNNNNNNNNNNNNNNNNNNNNNNNNNNNNNNNNNNNNNNNNNNNNNNNNNNNNNNNNNNNNNNNNNNNNNNNNNNNNNNNNNNNNGAAAAUCCUACAAAAAUUAAGGUUCACAACUUAAAGUUCUAAAAUCCUUCAAAAAUUCAAAUUCUCUAAAGUCUACAACUUGAAGUUCCAAAAUUCUACAAUAAUUCAACAUUCUCAACGUUCACAACCUAAAGUUCUAAAAUCCUACAAAAUUCAAGUUCUAUAAAGUUCACAACUUAAAGUUCUAAAAUUCUACAAUAAUUCAAGAUUUCUAAUGUUCAUAACCUAAAGUUCUAAAAUCUAACAAAAAUUCAAGUUCAUGUCUAAUUUCUAAAAUUAGUUCUAUAUAAACUUCAAAUGCAAGAAUUUCUAAGUUCAAGAAUUCAAGUAACCUAAUUUGAACUUUCAUAUACUAUCCAAUAUUUUUGUAACUUUAAAGUUAUCUAACUUUCAUGUACAAUUGCAUCUAAUAUUUUUCUAAAUUCAACUUUCAAACUUACUAAAUUCAAGAAUUUCUAAAGUUGGAAAAUUCAACUAAUCUAAUUACAACUUUCAUAUACUAUCCAAUAUUUUUCUAAUUCAAAGUAAUCUAACUUUCAUAAACAAUUCAAUGUUUUUCUAACUUCAACCGUCAAAACAUACUAAAUUCAAGAAUUUCAAAGUUGGAAAAUGCAACUAAUCUAACUUCUAACUUUAUAAGUUCUAACUUCUAAUUAUUUGUUAGUUCUAACUUCUAAUACUCAAUUCACAAUCAUAUUUUAAAAAAAUCCCAAUUUAGAAGAAAAUUCUAAAAUAAAAAAUCUCCAAUUCUCUCCCUAACUAACAAUAAUCAAAUAUACAAAUUAACAAUUGAAUAACACAAUUCAUCAAACCAAAACAAUAUACUAAUUUAUAACAAAUCAAAUAUUACUAGAAUUGAAAAAACCUAAAAUUAAACCCUAACCUUAAAAAGCUAAGGAAAAGAGGCAGUGAGACGACGGGUGGCGGCGCCGGCGCCGGCGGGGUAAGGCGGCGCCGAGACUAGUGCUAAGGGAGAGAAGGACGACGUGGGGCGGCGGCGAGGUGGAGCGGCGGCGGCACAACGAUUUGGAUUUUAGAGAGAAGGGAGAGAAGAGGGAAGAGAGAGAAAGAGAAAUGGGAAAAUGGGGGAAAACCCGCUUUUGGUUCAAUAUAAUUUUAAAAAAGCCACGGACAACGUCUCUUUGUCCGUUGCUUUUUUAAAAUAUUUGACCAAAAAGCGACUGACUAAAAGACGCUGUCCGUCGCUUUUUUAAAAAUGUUUGACUAGAUAUUUUGACCAAAAAGCGAUGGACUAAGAGAUGCCGUCCGUCGUUUUUUAAAAAAACUAAUUAAUAAAAUAAAAUAAAUUAAAAACGACGGACAACGUGGUUUUUUGUAAUUUAUAAAUAAUUAUUUUUAAUGAAAAGCGACGGACGGCGUCUCUAUAUAUAUUAAAUAAAUAAUAAUUAAUUAUAUAUAUAUUUAGUGCAAAAAUCCGCGAGCGACGGACUACGAGAUGCCGUCCGUCGCUUUUGUAAAAUAAUUUAAAAUAAUUAUUUUUAUUAAAAAGACGAUGUACAGUGUGGCAAAUGGCGUCGCUUUUUGGAGCGACACCGUCCGUCGCUUUUUUGUCCGUCAUUUUUUAGUCAUUUUUUAGUAGUGUUUCUGGAUUAGAAACUUGAAGAAUUGGAGUGGACAAAGCAUGGAGCUCUUGAUCAGAAUUGAUCAUUAGGGCAUCAAAGGUGUUAGAGCACACAAUCUUCCCUUGAUACUUUAUAUUCACAAUUUACCGUUUUGCUCCUUGCGUGGUGGGUUAGUGCAAUCUAGUUGUUGUAGUUUGGCUAGAGAAAAUGUUUUGCUUGGCACUUCAGUCCAGCCUCCCUUAUCAUUGUCCUUCAAAGUGAAGUCAUGAUCUCAUGUACCACCAGAUUUGAAAAUUUGAUCCAACUUCUCUUCACACUGUUGAACCUUAUUGGCCUGGCCAUAAUCUUGAAUCGUAGACAAACUAGGAUCUUUCCCAGAUAAAGCACUAGCAGUAGGUAGUUUAGGAUUCGAAGCUAGAUCAGACUCCAAAUUAAUCACGGGAACCAUCUAAUCACUAGUAACAUCAUCCUUUGCACUCAAAACCAAAGUAUCAUCUUGAACACAAGUAUCAACUACUUGAUCUCCAUUAUUUUUAAUGGCUUCCACAAUUGUUAUUUCAUUAUUAUUUGCAUCUGCAACUCGAGUAUUAUCAUCAAUACUUUGAUCUAUGUUUGCUAGUCCCCUCUUCUCAUUUAAAAUUUGUCUCAAAUCACUUUGAAAUUUCUCACCAUUGAAUUGUUCAUCUCCAACCAUUCCAUUAUCUUUGUGAUUUUUAUCUUGAUUCUUUUUCAAAAUCGAUCGACAAUUGUUUUCAUCAUGACCUUGAUGCUUACAAUGGUUACAAUAUAAAGGUAAAUUGUCAUAAAUAAAUUCCUGAAAAACCUCUUGAAUCUUACCGGUCUGCUCGUCCAAAUACUGGAGACGCAUCCUCUUAGGCAGCUUGUCCAUAAGAUCGAGUAUCACCUUCACCCUAGCAGUGCUAGGCCUUGUCUUGUCUUGUGUUGCCUUGUCAAUAACUAUUGGCCUUCCAACCGCUGAUGCCAUCGACAACAAGGAUCUCUUGGCAAAUAAAUCUGGUGAUAAUCGAGGCAAAGAAAUCCACACCGUGGCCAUUGAAGUUUCUUCUCUAGAAUUGAAAUCUAUUGUCCAAGGAAAUACCCUAUAAAGAUGUUGCUCUCCACGAAAAGGUAAAAAGCUUACCGAUUUUAAUAGAGCAACCACAUAAUCUUCAUAUUGGUCUAUCUUUAUUAGAAUAUGUCUACGAGCAAGUAAACCAACUAAAUAGUUUCCUUUGAUGCCCAAGUGUUUAGGUAAAAAUGUUCGCAAAUCCUUCACUUCUAAUGUAUCAGAUAAGAACUUAAUAAUUACAACUUGAUGUAAUCCUUCUUCCUGGGCGAAAACCUGUCGUUCUCCCUUUGUGAAUUGAAUCGUAGGCUCUCCAUGUACAUAUUGAAUCUGUUUCAACUGAUUUUUUGUCAAAUUUUUGACAUCUUGAUUUGUGGUUAAUCGAAUAGCAAAGGAUGUUUGUUGAUUAAGAUUAGGGUUUGUCUCUCCCACAACCAAAGGCAGGAGAGAGAUGUGCGGAGACAUGGCUGCUGCUAAGUCUCCAUCGCAAUUGCUCAGGGUUUAGGGCGUCCGCUGUUUCGAAUUACUCCACCCUCUUUAUUUCACUCUUGCUAUUUCUUUACUUAAUAUUCCAUCUUUUUCAAAUAUGGAAAAAAUGUUGGGUUGUGAGGGUGAAUUAGGGUAUCAUGCGGAAGCUUACAAUUUGCAAAUCAUAUAGUUGAUAAAAUCAGAUAAUAAAAACUUAUACUAAAAAAUCAAAAUAUUAUUAUAUCAAAACUAAUAUAAAGAAAACAUUGAAACUUUAGAGAGAAUAAAUCUCCCCAUAAACAAGACUCUUAAACGACUACAUUGUGGAUGCUAUGAUUCUUGUGUUAGAAGAAACAAACCUAUAUUUAUAGAGUCCUAAAAACCUUUUCUUACUAGAAAAAGGACUAGCUACUUCAAAACCUUUUCCUAAAAGGAAAGAAUAAAUCAAAUAUGAAAGAAUAUUAUAUUUUACUUUCAGGAAAAGUAAAAACAUUUAUGGUAAUGUUUUGUCUUUUCUUUAAGGAAAAAUAAAUCUUAAAUUAUGAUAAAAAAAUCAGGACAAAACCCUAACAUCUUUUACUCUUGAAAACUAUGUUAAGGAUUCUUGCCAAAAUCCUCAUCACCUCACAAAGGUAAACAAAUUUUGGUAAUAAAUAAAUAAAUUAUGAAUCUAUGAAAAGUAUUUGAUAUUGAAAGUGGGUUGCAUUAGUAUCAUCAUCGAUGUCUUCUUUAUUAAUGUGAAAUCUCUCAUUUCAAACAGAGUAAAUUAUAUUUAUCAAAAAAAUAAUAAUUCAUUAUAUAGAGGAGUAAGAGAUUAGGUUUUUUUAGAAGUCACAAACUUUCUUAAAAUAUGUUACUUUUCAGAACGUCAAUAAAAAAAUAUGAAUUUCUUUUUUUGUCGAACUCAUUUACUAUUUGUUUGGGUGAAACAAAGAUACUAGCAAACAUAAUGAGAGUUUAUAAAGAAGAAACAAUUGCAUUUAAAAUAUAUUGUUUGUGGCUCAAUUAAUAUCAACGUAAACUCUAAGCCAACAGUAAUUAAUAUAUGUUCAAUCCAGGGGAGGAUGUACAGUGUUUCCAGGGGUUCAUCCGAACCCCCUCGAUAAAAAAAUUACAUUAUAUAUAAGAUCAAUAUUUUAAUGUACGUGUAUAUAUUUAAAAUUGAACCCUCUGAACAUAUGUCAAAGGAGUAGCUCAACGGUUUAUGUGUUCAAAAUUUCAAUUAUAUGAGCUUUGUGUCACGGGUUCGAGCCAUGCAACAUCUUCUUCUUCUUUUUUUUGUAAUUUUUAGCGAUUUUGCAGGCUUCAGGCUUAAGUUUUAAGUGUUUUUUUAAAUUAUUAAAUACAUAUAGACCAAACGACGACAUUUCAUAAGUCAUAACUAAUCAAAAAAAUUAUAUUUUAAAUCUCUAACUGAAAAGUCAAGAAAUAAAAAAACCCCUCUUUUCUAGGGAUUGCAAUAUAAUAUUUUUUCCUCCUAGUCUUCUUGUUCAACUUCACCUUUGCUGCUUGCUGCUGCAGUCGCGAUAACAAAAACCCCUCUUUGUCAACCCAUUUGUUAUUCAAUCCGUUCAUAUAUGCUCCGACCCGUUUAUUUAUGGAUAUUAUUAACGUGUUUAAUUAUUAUUUUUAACCCCCCUUUAUAAAAUUUCUGCCUCCGCCACUGAUUCAAUCUAUCACAAUUCAGUUAUUAUUUACAUUAGAUUUCAUUAAUUAGAAUCUAACAUAACUCAUUUAGGGUUAAAAGAUAGCUUCAAGCUGCUUAAAGCCUCAUUUCUUCAAUUAUUCGAUUACUUGUGUCAAAAUCCAUUUGUGACAUUAAUUAUGUUAUCAAAUCUAGUGGAAUAUUUGCUAUUAUAAUAUACAUGAUAGGUCGAUUCUAUCUAUAUCUUUUCGUAAUCUCAUUUAUAAUAGAGAUAAUAAUGGGUGGAGCAUCCUCCCUAUUUAAUUUUUUUAAUAAAUACACCCUAAACUAAUGGUCCCAUCGUAUUGCAUGGUUACAUCAAAAUGUUAUCUCUAACUAAUUUUCAAAACAUUUAUAAUUUGAAUUAUUGGAGCUAAUGUCAUUAUAUAUAUAAUUUUAUGAUUAAUCAAUCUUCAAUCAUUUACCUACUAACUCCUCAAGUUUCUAUUUAAUUUGAUACUUUCUUCGUUUUAAUUUAUAUGUCAUCAUUUUAGAUUUCACGUGCAUUAAGAAACUAAGUAAGUUUACUAUUUUACCUUUAAUUAAUGUUUUUUUAAAUCAAGUUUUCAACAUGAGUUAAUUUAUUUUGAUUAAUUAAUUUGACCAAUGAACAUGAAGUAUUUACUUAGUUUUUCUAUGUUGGUUAAAUGUAUAUUUUCAAGGCUAAUAACUCGCAAGGGUAAAAUAGAAAGAAUAAUGUCAUUAUACAUUGAUUUUGUGAAAUGACAAAUAUUAAUGAUCAUCUAUUUUUAGUUGAAUUUUCUAACAAUUCAUCACUAAUUGAAUUUUCUAACAAUUCAUCGCUAAUCCGUAGCUAAAUAAGAUUGAAAUUUAAUUUGUUGUUUAGCUACGAAAUUCUGUCCAUCGCCAAUUCCUUAUUUUCUCGUAGUAAAGAAACCUAUUUCUAAGGAAGACAUUUAUUUCCUUAUUUUUAAGGAAAAAAAAAUUGUAGAGAAAAUAUUUUGAAAAUUUUGACUGGAAAUUAAAAAACUAAAAAAACAUCUUCAACUUAUUUUACACCACGAAUUUUAAAUUUUGCAAAUAGUAAAACACGAUUAGAGAAUAUGACAAAAAUGGUUAAUUAUCUUGGAUGAUAAGUUUAAAAUAGUCACUUAAGAGGUAAGUGUCACUUUGAUCAGCAGUUUUGGUACUUUAAAUUUGAGAAAUGACCAGAAUGGUUCUUAAUGUAUGGGUAAUGUUGUAUUUUGGUCUUUUAUGUAUUUCACUAGACUGAAACGGUCCUUAAUAUAUAAGAAAUGUGUUCAUUUUAAUUCUUAAUGUAUUUCACUCGAUUGAAAUGGUCCUUCAUGUAUAAAAAAGGUGUUCAUUUUAGUCUUUAAUGUAUUACACUUGAUUGAAAUGAUCCUUAAUGUAUAACAAAAGGUGUUCACAUUUUGGUCCUUUGUUUGAAAUGAAAUUUACUGACAAGUUUAAUGAGCUAUUAAUAUAUAAAGCAAAGUUAUAAAUUCAUUUUAUUAAAUAAUAUUAAAUUACUAUAUCUAAUUCGCACAACCACGGUUCAAUUCAAUUUUUUUUGUUUAUAACAAAAUAACAAAAAUUCAUGUAAAGAUCUUAAAGAUGAGAAUUUUUUUUUUUGAAAUAAUAUUUUUACUUUGUUAGAAUGAUAAAUAUUUGUUUUAUUUUUAAUCAUGGUGAGAUGAUUCAUACUUAAAAGUAUAAUUGUCAUUUAUGUCUAGUGAAAAAGAUAUUACAUAUAGUUCCAAAUCACAAGUUAUAUUGGUAAGUUUUCUAUCUAGAUUCAAUUGAUAAGUUUUGUAAUAAACUUUUUCUUAUGAAUAUAGUUAGAUAAAAAAAAUAAUUUUGAAAUUUAAAUUUGUCAAUAGAGUAUGUUCAUAAAAUUUAUUAAUAUUAGAAAAAAGAGAUAAUCUGCUUAAAAAUAAAUUAUUUCCCCCUUCUUAUUUGAGACAAGAGAAUAAUAGUAUUGAGAAUUAAUUGGUAAUUUGUCAAAUUUUGCAUCAUUUAACUUUCAAAGAGAAAACUAUGACAAGUACUUAAGAAUGAUAAAAUCGUAUUUUACUAUUAAAGAAUAAUAAUAUUGAACAUUUAAAUUCUAAAAUUGCCAAAAAGAUAAUUUAUAUAGUUAAAAACAUUUUGAAAAUUGUAUUGAAAAAACUAAUUUAAUUUCAAAUUGUGAGGGUUGAAUAUAAAGCAAGUAAAAUAUAUAGUGAAGAUUGAAUAACAAAUGGGGUGCACAAAAUAUGAAUGAAAUUGAUAACAGUUAAGCAUUUUAAAUUUAUAUAAUAGAUAAUAAGAUUGAAAUGAUAUAAAGAGAAUAGACCCACAUGAUUAGAGGUUAUUGGUGAGGAAAUAAGAUAUGAUCAAGUACAUAGUAUACUUUGUAUUGCCUAUUGUACAACUCUUCAUAGUCAUAAUCGUCCUACCAUGACUUCUCUAUAUAAUAGAAAUGUGCUGAAAAUGAUAUUUUAAAGAUCAUCAAAAACCAAACCAUUCAAUAUAAAGACGAUUUUCAGUACUAUUUUUUUUUAAUAGAACUUAUUAAGGCGGAGAAAAUGUUUUCAAAAUAUUAAAUUUGAAAAAGUUCCUCCCUACUUAAUACACCCUAAACUAAUGGCCCCAUCGUAUUGCAGGCUUACAUCAAAAUGGUUUCUCUAACCAACUAAUGUCCAAAACAUUUUAUAUUUUGCGUAAUUGGCGCUACCAAACAAAUGUCAUUAUGUAAUUUUAUGAUUAAUCAAUCUUCAAUCAUUUCAAAACGAUAUUUUAGUAAUGCUCUAUUUUUUUUAAUUAAAGAAGCAGAACAAAAUUUGAAAUAUAUUUUUAGUUUCUGGCAUUUUGAUUAAAUCUGUAGUGUUCUAAAUUAUUCAAAUUUUGUUCAAAACGAUAUUUUUUGUUAAAUGUAUUCUAAUUUUAAAAUUAUUUAUCGAUAUAGAUUUUCAAAAAACCAUUUGAUGUGAUUUGUUAGUUUUUUUAAUUAGUAAAUUUAUUUUUUGAGAAAAUCUAAAUUAUUAUCAAUAUAUAACUAUCAUUUUUUUUUACAAUUUUAUUUGAUAAAUUUUGAAUUAAAUUUGUGAACAUUAUUACAAAAGAAUUAACACGCUUCUCAUAAAUCAUAAUAAGUUAAAAUUGAUUAAUAAUUAUCAUCACUAUAACAUGUGAUGAAAAUUAGGAAUGUAUUGAUUAAAUUUUUAUUGUAUAUAUGAAAAAAAAUCUAUACAUAUGUAAGUUUGGGGGUUAUUUAGUCUUCACCUUUGCUCUCUCUAUAUCCCUUUAUAUCUACUCUCUUCAAGAGGAGGCGGUUUNNNNNNNNNNNNNNNNNNNNNNNNNNNNNNNNNNNNNNNNNNNNNNNNNNNNNNNNNNNNNNNNNNNNNNNNNNNNNNNNNNNNNNNNNNNNNNNNNNNNACCAUACUUAAUUUUGAGAGGAAAUCAUGAAUUUUUUUAUAGAAGGAACAAGGAUUAAUGGUUGGGUAGAAGAAACAAUGGUUUAUUUAAAGAUGGGGAAGAUGACCGUUGGAAAAGGAGGAAUUUUUCGUCAAAAUUAACCUUCUAACGCGCCUAGAGGAGGUGAGAACACCUCCCAUGACAGGUCAGCACUUAGGUGUGUAGAAAAUAUAGAAAUUUAAAGUUCAGGUGGGUCCAUUUUCUCUAAAUACAUAGACAUAAAGAACUUUGAAUUUUAUUUAAGGUAAUAAAUAGCAUAUUUAAGGUGAUGAAUAAUAAGGCAAUAGAGUCUAUUGUAUAAUAGAGUAAGUUUUUUCUUUUUGCAUGUAUCUGUAUUUUCAUAUUUGUGACUUGUAAACAAUGAUCCAUAUAUAUGUGAAAUAAAUAAAACAUUUAGAUAUAUGAUAUCCUUUUUCAGAAAUAUAUAUAUAUAUAUAUAUAUGGUCUUAAUAUUUAUAUUGUUUGAAUUGUUUCAUUCUUCAUUAUGUAGCUAAAUUUUGACGGAUCUUUUAGUUCCAUAUCCAAUAUGGUCAUCAAAUUAGGCCCCUUGACCUUUUCCAAAGUAAGUGAAACUUCACAAUCAACUUUAAUGGUUGUAACUUGUAUGGACAAACGUUGAAAUUUCAAAACCUAUUCGAUAUUGACUUAUCAUUUGUGAUAGUUCAGGAAUAUAUUUGUUCUUUUUUCGAAUAUUUAAUGACACUAUCAACAUUUUACUAUUGUUGGUUUCCAUAAAAUAAAACACGAUAUAUUAUGAAACAAUACUUAACAACCAUCCAAACAAAGUGUAAGUGGUAUCAUGCAACCUCUCUGUAUCUGAAAUUGAAUGUUGAUGGGACUUUUCCAAUGGGAGGCAGCACUCCAUCAAAUCAUGUAAAUAAAAUAACAAGAUAGGUAUAAUAAAGAAUAAGUUUAGCUCGUCCAUACAACUUAUGAACAAUUGAAUAACACAAGUAAAAUCUAUCCAUCCACCAAAUCUUUGUGAACAAUUGAAGAUAUAUGCAAUAUUUGCUCAUCAUUUAUUUAUUUAUCAUCAUAUUCAUAUUCAUAUUCUUCAUAUUAUAAUAUAUUGCUAAAAGUGGGAACAAAAAAUGUUAAAAGUUGAAAUACCAUUUUACCCCUACACUAAUAAAAUAUUAUAAAAUAGCUGAUCAAUUAAAUAUCAAUAGUAAUUGUAUAAUAUUAUUAUUAUAUUAUACUAAAUUCUAAAAAGUGGAAAGGUGUUAAGUCAAAAAAUUCAAAGAAGAAAAUAUUCAUAGAAAAUUGUUAGACAUUUUUAUCCUUUUAAAAAAUAAAUUAGUUAUAUUUNNNNNNNNNNNNNNNNNNNNNNNNNNNNNNNNNNNNNNNNNNNNNNNNNNNNNNNNNNNNNNNNNNNNNNNNNNNNNNNNNNNNNNNNNNNNNNNNNNNNNNNNNNNNNNNNNNNNNNNNNNNNNNNNNNNNNNNNNNNNNNNNNNNNNNNNNNNNNNNNNNNNNNNNNNNNNNNNNNNNNNNNNNNAUAGAAAAUUGUUAGACAUUUUUAUCCUUUUAAAAAAUAAAUUAGUUACAUUGUUUCAAAAAAAUAUUGUAUUUAUAUAUAUUUUUCUCCUUCAAUUUACUUAACAUUAUAUAUAUAUAUAUAUAUAUAUAUAUAUAUAUAUAUUAGGCAUUUUAAUAAUCUACUUUAAACUAUUUCUUAUUUCUAAUUACUUUAUUUAAAAGAUUAAGUCUAUAAUUUUCAUAUUUUCAUUUUCAUAACUUCCACAUCACAGUAAAGAGUUUCAAAAAAAUAUUGUAUUUAUAUAUAUUUUUCUCCUUCAAUUUACUUAACAUUAUAUAUAUAUAUAUAUAUAUAUAUAUAUAUAUAUAUUAGGCAUUUUAAUAAUCUACUUUAAACUAUUUCUUAUUUCUAAUUACUUUAUUUAAAAGAUCAAGUCCAUAAUUCACACCUUUUCAUUUUCAUAACUUUCACAUCAUAGUAAAGGAUGGUGAAUUAGAAAGACAUUAAUGUUUUCAUGAAGUAACAUACAUUCAUCUUAAUGCAUUAAAUGGAUUACAAAUUGUAACGAUCGGGUUCCAUCGUUAUAGAAAUGCCAACGGGGGAAAAUUUGGGGCUGGAAAAACUUUUUCGUAGUAUUAGAAUUUUCCCAACCUUGUCCAGGUUUGAAUGAAAUCGGAGUAGUUGAAGUGUAGGGAAAUCUGGUAACAAUCGAGUGGAUUAAUUAUGGUUUUGAUUGCAUGAGUGGUUAGGUAACUCAUUAAGGAAUCCGUACGACCUUACAUAAUUGAAUUUGGAUGAGUAGAUCUCCGAGAAUUGAUCUUAGCGUGAAAGGUAUUUUCUGAGCGUCGUUGAUGAGAGGUGUGCUGUGGAAUAGGGAUUUGGAAUUCUUUAAAAUAGCAUUCUGUUUCGAUUUUGAUGCUUUGGCGGGCGUCUCUGCCGCUUUGGCGGGGCCGCUGUGGCAGGAUGGUGGCCACUGUGGCGGGAGAGACGGGACUUAAAAUCGUAAUUAUUCACUGGUUUGAAAAUGCCACUGUGGCGGAGGAAGGUGUCGCUCUGGCGCUACCGUAAUAGCGGGAUGAGGGUCGCUGUGGCGGGCCAGACGCGACUUAAGGUCAUUAAUAAACCUCUAAACGACCUUAUUUGGCACUUUUUGACUUUUCGAGCUAGGAACGAAUCGUAGGCAAUUUCUACUCGUUUUUCACAAUUCUUGAGGCUAAAGGUAAGCUUUUAACUCUCAAAAUUUAUCUUUCGAUCCGUAAAACGUAAUAGGACGGGUCAAUGUUGAUGGGGGAGGGUUUUGAUAUUGAAUUUAUGGUGGAAACAACCCUAAAUUGGAUAAUUGGGAUUAUGAGUUGUAUCUAGGGUUUGUUAGAAUUGUUAGUAAUCUGGGGUAAUUAAUGAUUGUUUAUUGAUUCCCGUAUUAUAUUGAUUGUUUGUAGACCAAGAACAAGCGGAACAAAUCCGAAAAGGGAAUAAUCAAGUUUCUUACGGUUUCAAGCUUGUUUCGAGGUAGGUGGUGGUUGUGAUUCUAUGAUAUUGCAAUGUUGAUCACACUUGAUGUAAAUGAGAUAGAUGAAUGAUGAUUGCCAUGAAAUCAAGAUGUAAAUAUAUGAUCUUGAUGAUGUACUUGUGAUUGUGAAUGUGGUGUGUGAAUGGGAUCGGUUGCCACGUUCCGGCAUAACUAACUUGGAUCGGUUGCCACGUUCUGACAUAAAUAUGGGAUCGGUUACCACGUUCCGACAUAACAUUGGGAUCGAAUACUACGUUUCAGUAUGCUAACUGUUUGGGUUUGGGUUCCGUGAGAGGACCAAUGAUUUGUGAUAAAUGUAUAAUGAUGAACAUGUUGAUAAUAUUGUAGAUGUUGAUAUAUAUGCAUGUUAUUAUAAUGUUUUUUGACUUUCUUAUGUUACACUAGUGGGAUAGUCGCGUGAUCCUACCAGUACACUGUGGUUGUGUACAAAUUCUGGACUUGCUCUUAUUUUUGUUGAGUACAUAGAAUUUUCAAGCAGCUAUUGACAGACCUCGCUUAGGAGAUUAGAGAUCAUCGCAUCGAAUUCAAGGGUGAGCCAAAUCUUCCGGGAUGCCAUGUAAUUCUCUCUCGUCUAUGUCCACCAUUUCCGAACUUAGACAUUUGUUUUAGUUAGUUGAUUAGUUCAUUAGUUGGGGUUAUAUCCCUUCCGCUCAUUAGUUUGGGGUUGUAUCCCUUCUUGUUUAGACUUGUUGAACUUUAGAUGUUUUGGUACAUUGACUUUCAGGUUCUAGGUUGUUUCUUCCACACUUUUGUUAGAGUUUAUGGGUACUCAUUUUUAUUUCCUUAGUGUUUGAUUUAAAUGCCAUAGUUUUUAGAUUAUUUGCUUGAUUUGGGUUAUAGUAGUGGUUCUCCCACCGGAGGGUUAGUGUGGGUGCCAAGCACGACUGUCUGGGUCGUGACAAAUUGGUAUCAGAGCCUAGGUUCAUGGAUAUUGAUGUUCUGAAAUAAGUCUAAUAGAGUCGCAGAAUGGUAUAGGGAUGCCUUUACUUAUCUUCGGGAGGCUAUAAGACUUUAGGAAAUCGAUAUAGUUUUCUCUUGUCUCCUUUCGUGCUAUGACUUUAUUCUUAUUGGUAUUUGGCGAUUCCAAUUGGUAUCUAACCUCCUUCACUCUUCUAUCCGUAGAUGGUUAAUAGUAGGUUCAACGGCACCAGGCCCGCAGCUCCCGUCAAUGCUCCGAUUGAGGAAUCUACAACGAGAGGUCGCGAUCGAGCUAGAGGUAGAGGUCGUGGAAGAGUAGCACCCGCCGUGAACAAGGUACCUAUUAAGAAUGUGCCUGUGAAUGAGAACCCUCUGGUGCAACAUAAAGAGAUAGAGGAGAAUGUGGAUGUUGAGGAUGUUGAAGAGAUUGGACAAGAGGAAGAGGUACUGGUUAGAACUAUAGGUACUCCUCCCUUGGACCCAGUGUUAGCUCAACAGAUCAUGUCGUUCUUAAAGGGAUUGUCUAGUCCUAGAGUGCUUCCAUCUGGCCAAGCAACUCAAGCACCCGUUAAUCCCCCUGAUACUAGCACUACGCCUAAGAUUGGUGGAACUGGAGGUAAUGAUGCUUUCUUCCGUCUUUUGUUGUGUUCUGUUAUGACGGGAUAUGAGCAUGACAUGUUGACUAAGUUUCUGAAGCUUAAGCCUCCGGUAUUUCUUGGUUCUGAGACUGAAGAAGCUUAUGAGUUUAUCUUAGACUGUUAUGAGAGGCUGCAUAAAUUGGGUAUUGCUCACCAACAUAGGGUUGAAUUCGUGUCCUUUCAACUUCAAGGUGAGGCCAAGCAAUGGUGGAGAGCUUAUAUGAAUGUAGAUCUUCUACUUUACCUCCACUCACUUGCACCCAAUUUCAUGCUUUGUUCCUAGAAAAGUAUGUGCCUAGAACUUUGAGGGAUCGCAAGAAGGAUGAGUUUAUGGCCUUAGAGCAAAGUGGUAUGUCUGUGGCUGCUUAUGAGGCCAAGUUACAUGCUUUAUGUAGAUAUGCUACGCAGUUGGUUACUACUGAGGAGGAGAAAAUUGAGUUAUUUAUUAGAGGUUUGAAUUCUGAGUUGCAAGUAUUAUCUGUUCAUAUGACUUCUGCAGGGAAGAGUUUUAAUGAGGUGACGGACUAUGUUAAGAAAGUGGAGGGGGUAAGGCGAGACGGACAAGCCAAGGCGUUGGCAAAAAGGGCCAAGAACUCGGGUAACUUUCAAGGUUCUUACGCUAGAGAGUCCGGAAGGCCAACGCUUGCAACCAAGCCAAUUCAGUCUGCUAUGCUCGCCUCUACAGGUAACUACUCGAGAACUCCAUUUUAUAAUUUUUAGGAUAGCCAAGGAAUCGCGCCUUCAGCGGGAAACAGACCAUCAUUUGAUCGUAUAUGUUAUAACUGUGGAGAACCUGGGCAUAUGAGGAGAGAUUGUCCCCACCCAUGUGUGUUAGAUUCCGCACAGUAGCAUUCUAGAGCAGUGAUACCCACGGGGAAUGGUAAUAAUGGUCGAGGGCGUCCACAAUGUGAGCGAGGAAGUAAUCAGCGAAGCCGUAGAGGUAGAGGAAAUGGUAAUGGUAAUGCGGGCAGAGGUAAUGUGCAACUAGGCAGGGAAGUGGUUCAUAAAGAUGAUAGGGACUCAAUUUUAUGCCUUUCCGGGCAAUAAUGAGGCAGAGACAUCUGACGCGGUGAUCACAUGUACAUUCUUGUCUGUGACCAAAUGGCUAAUGUAUUAUUUGAUCCGGGUUCUAUUUAUUCUUAUGUAUCUGUGCGAUUUACCUACGAGUUUGAUAUGAUUUGUGAUGUACUUGAUGCCCCUAUCCAUGUUUCUACCUCAGUUGGAGAGUCAGUCAUAGUCACUCAUGUCUAUCGUGCUUGUCCUAUUUUGUUUAUGAGUUUUUAGACUUGGGCUGAUUUGGUGAUUUUGGAUAUGGCUGACUUUGAUAUUAUCUUAGGCAUGACUUGGUUGCCCCCCUAUUAUGUUGUGUUAAAUUGUAAUACUACGUCUUGAACUCUAGAAAUUUCGGGAAGGGAAAAAUUAGAGUGGGAAGGGGUGUACAAGCCUAAGCAAGCUAAAAUCAUAUCCUCCAUUCGAGCUAGGAAACUGGUAGGGUAGGGUUGUUUAGCUUAUUUGGCUCAUAUCCGGGAUGUUGAGGUUGAGUCUCCAUCUAUUGAGUCUAUUCCUGUGGUGUCGGAAUUUAGAGAAGUGUUCCCAACUGAUUUGCCUGGUAUGCCUCCAAAUAGAGAUAUAGAUUUUUGCAUUGUUUUGGAGCCUGGUACGCGCCCCAUUUCUAUCCCUCCAUAUUGCAUGGCUCCGGUAGAAUUGAGGGAGCUUAAGGCUCAAAUCCACCAACUUCUUGAUAAGGGAUUUGUUCGUCCUAGUGCUUCCCCAUGGGGUGGUCCUGUCUUGUUUGUUAAGAAGAAGGAGGAAAAAAGAUGGUAGUAUGAGAAUGUGUAUAGAUUACCGGCAAUUGAAUAGAGUCACUAUUUGAAACAAGUAUCCCUUGCCUCGAAUAUAUGAUUUUUUUGACCAAUUGCAAGGUGCAUCAGUCUUCUCAAAAAUUUAUUUAAGGUCUGGUUACCAUCAAUUAAAAAUUAGGCCUGAAGAUGUGCCCAAGACAACGUUUAGGACUCGCUAUAGGCACUAUGAAUUCCUAGUCAUGUCCUUUUGGUUGACUAAUGCGCCUGCAACUUUUAUGAGUUUGAUGAAUCGGGUGUUCAAACCAUUUCUUGAUUCGUUUGUGAUAGUUUUCAGUGAUGAUAUUUUGGUAUAUUUGAAAAGUGAGGAAGAGCAUGCCGACCAUCUUUGUAUUGUUCAGGGUGUUCUUGGGAAACAAAGGUUGUAUGCUAAAUUUUCUAAGUUUGUGAAUUUUGGGUGAAUUCUAUUGCGUUUUUGGGGCAUGUAGUUUCAAAGGAAGGGGUAAUGGUAGAUCCUCAAAAAAUUGAGGCGGCUAAAAAUUGAUUUCGGCCUAGCUCUGUGAUGGAAGUUAGGAGUUUUAUGGGGCUCGCUAGCUACUACCGUCGAUUUGUGAAGAAUUUUGCUUCUAUUUCCACUCACAUGACUAAUUUGACUAAGAAGGAGAUAACAUUUUAGUUGACUGAAAAAUAUGAGGAGAGCUUUCAAAAGCUCAAGACUCUCUUGACUACUGCACCUAUCCUAGCAUUACCGGUGGAAGGUAAGGAUUUUAUAGUUUAUUAUGAUGCUUCUCAUUCUGAAUUGGGCGCUGUGUUAAUGCAGGAUAAGAAUGUUAUAGCCUAUGCAUUGCGCCAAUUGAAGGUGCACGAGAGAAAUUAUCCAGCCCAUGAUUUAGAGUUGGCGGCGGUAGUAUUUUUUCUUAAGAUUUGGUGGCAUUAUCUUUAUAGUGUUAAGUGUGAAGUGUUUACUGAUUGUCGUAGUUUGUAGCAUGUGUUCACUCAAAAGGAUCUGAAUUUGAGACAACGAAGAUGGAUGGAGUUACUCAAGGAUUAUGAUGUGACUAUUCAAUACCAUCCGGGUAAGGUUAAUGUUGUGGCAGGCGCUUUGAGUUGAAAAGCGGUAAGUAUGGGUAGCUUAGCUUACUUGAGUGUAACCAAGCGACCUUUGGCCAAGGAAAUUCAGACCUUAAAGUCUAAGUUCAUGCAGUUGGGCAUCUCUGAAAGAGGCGGGGUGUUAUCUAGCAUUGAAGUUAAGGCCACAUUCAUUGAGGAGAUCAAGGCCAAACAAAUUGAGGAUGAAAGUUGAACAAACUCAAUGAGAAAAUGGCGAAUGGUAAGGCACAAGAGACCACACUUGAUGUGGAUGGUGUAAUUAGUAUGAAAGGGAGGAUUUGUGUUCCUUGAGUUGAUGACUUGAUUCAAAAAUUGUUGGCAGAAUCUCAUGGUUCAUAAUAUUCUAUUGAUCCGGGUGUAACCAAGAUGUAUAGAGAUCUGAAACGAAUUUAUUGGUGGUUGGGCAUGAAGAAAGACAUAGCGGAGUUUAUGGCUAAGUGUCAAAAUUGUCAACAAGUGAAGUAUAAACAUCAAAGGCCUGCAGGUUUACUUCAAAGGAUGUCAAUUCCAAAAUAGAAGUGCGAAAGAAUAACUAUGAAUUUUGUGGUUGGUCUACUCAAGACUUUGGGGAAGUUUGAUUCUAUUUGGGUAGUGGUAGUGGUUGAUAGAUUGACCAAGUCAGCUCAUUUUAUUCCGGUAAGAAUAGAUUAUAAUGUUGAGCAAUUGGCUAAGAUUUAUGUGAAAGAGAUAGUGAGAUUGCAUGGUGUGCCCCAUUCUAUCAUGUCAGAUCGUGGUACCCAAUUCACUUCUAAGUUUUGGAGGAAAUUGCAUGAUGAAUUGGGAACACAAAUCAUUUUUAGUACAACCUUUCAUCCACAGACGAAUGGACAAUCUGAGAGGACCAUUUAAGUGUUGGAAGACAUGUUGAGGGCAUGUGUGAUUAAUUUUGGAGGGCAUUGGGAUAAAUUCAUACCUUUGUGUGAGUUCUCUUAUAAUAAUAGUUAUCACUCCAUCAUUAAUAUGGCACCAUUUGAAGCACUAUAUGGGACGGGAUAUAGAUCACCCAUAUGAUGGUUUGAGGCUAGAGAUGUGAAACCUUUGGGGGUUGAUUUAGUGAAUGAUACUCAAGAUAAGGUAAGGAGUAUUCAAACUAAGCUUUUAGCAGCCCAGAGUAGACAGAAGAAAUACACGGAUCAUAAGGUAAGAGACAUGGAAUUUCAGACCGGUGAGAAUAUUCUUCUUAAGGUAUCACCUAUGAAAGGGGUGAUGAGAUUUGGUAAGAAAGGUAAGCUAAGUCCUAGAUAUAUUGGUCCCUUUGAAGUUCUUGAAUGUGUAGGGCCGGUGGAAUAUAGAUUGGCUUUACCUCCUAAUCUAUCCGGUGUUCAUCUAGUAUUUCAUAUGUGUAUGUUGAAGAGAUAUCAUGGUGACGAAGAUUAUAUCAUUGAGUGAGACUCAAUUGUGUUAGACAAAGACCUCCAAUACGAAGAAGAACCAAUUGUUAUUCUUGAUCAUGAUGUGCGUAAAUUGAGGACCAAAGAGAUUAAGACAGUGAAACUUCAAUGGAAGCAUCGUCCAGUUGAAGAGGCUACUUGGAAAACCAAGAGGGACAUGCAAGACAAGUAUCCCCAAUUGUUCGUCGAAUUAGGUACUACUUCAUUCUUUCCUUAGCCUACUUUUCCUAAGUUUUGUCACUCGGGGACGAGUGAUAGGUAAAUUGGUAUCUAUUGUAACGACCGGCUUCCGUCGUUAUAGAAAUGCCAACGGGAGAAAAUUUGUGGCUGGAACAACUUUUUUCGUAGUAUUACAAUUUUACUAACCUUGUCCAAAUUUGGAUGAAAUCAGAGUAGGUGAGGUGUAGGGAAAUCUGGUAACAAUCAAGUGAAUUAAUUAUGGUUUUGAUUGCAUGAGUGGUUAGGUAACUCAUUAAGGAAUCCGUACGACCUUACGAAAUUGAAUUUGGAUGAGUAGAUCUCCGGGAAUUGAUCUUAGCGUGAAAGAUAUUUUCUGAGCGUCGUUGAUUAGAGGUGUGUUAUGGAAUGGGGUUUUGGAAUUCUUUAAAACAGCAUUUUGUUUCAAUUUUGCCGUUUUGGCGGGCGUCUGUGGCACUUUGGCGAGGCCGCUGCGGUGGGAUGGUCGCCACUAUGACGGGCGAGACGGGACUUAAAAUCGUAAUUACUCACUGGUUUGAAAAUGCCGCUGUGACGGGGCAAGGUGUCGCUUUGGAGCUGCCGCUACAACGGGAUGAGGGCCAAACGCGACUUAAUAUCGUUAAUAAACCCCUAAACGACCUUAUUUGAUACUUUUCGACUUUUAGAGCUAAGUAACGAACCCCUGACGAUUUCUACUCUUUUUUUCACAAUUCUUAAGGCUAAAGGUAAGCUUUUAACUCCCCAAAUCCAUNNNNNNNNNNNNNNNNNNNNNNNNNNNNNNNNNNNNNNNNNNNNNNNNNNNNNNNNNNNNNNNNNNNNNNNNNNNNNNNNNNNNNNNNNNNNNNNNNNNNCGAAAAAAUAUGGCCCAAUCAUGCACUUACGUCUUGGAAAUAAUUCAACAAUUGUUGUAUCUUCAUCAGAAAUGGCAAAAGAAAUCAUGAAAACUCAAGACCUCCAUUUUGUAGAUAGGCCACAAAUUAUGUCCACAAGUAUCAUACUUUAUGAUUGCACGGACAUAGCCUUUAGUUCAUAUGGAGAUUACUGGAGAAAUAUGCGAAAGGUUUGUGUCCUAGAACUUCUUAGUACAAAAAUGGUCAAAUCAUUUGCUUCAAUUCGACAAGAAGAGAUAUCAAAUCUCAUUUCAUCUCUCCGUUCCAGUUCAUACAUGAUCGAAAUAAGUUUAUAAUGUUGGUAAAAGAUAUUUGUUCAUUAAUUGGAGGAUUCGACUUAACUGAUUUAUUCCCUUCCCAAAAGUGGCUCCAUAAUAUCAGUGGAAUGAAAUCCAAAUUGUCAAAGGCACACUCAAAGGUUGAUGAAAUCUUGGAGAAAAUCAUUAAUGAUCAUCGAGAUAAUCGAGCAAAAGGUAAGAAAUAUAAUGGUGAGUCUGGAAAUGAAGAUUUUGUUGAUGCUUUACUUAGAGUAAUGGAGAGCGAAGAAUUUGGACUUCCCAUUACAAAUCAAAACAUUAAAGCAAUCAUACUUGUAAGUAUAGCGCAUCUUUAAAAGUAAUUUUAUUUCGUGUUAUAAAUCUUUUAAACUUCGAUAUUUAUACCUUUAAUUUUACAUGUAGGAAAUGUUUCUAGCAGGAACUGAAACAGCUUCUACAACAAUAAUUUGGGCAUUUUUAGAACUAAUGAAAAAUUCACGUGUCAUGGAGAAAGCACAGCUCGAAGUGAGAGAGCGAUUGGAUGGGAAAAAAACAUUUAACGAUUCUGAUUUGGAAGAGUUGAACUACUUGCAAUUCGUUAUCAAAGAAACAUUAAGGCUACACCCUCCGGCUCCUCUAUUAUUCCCAAGGGAAUGUAGAGAGGAAACAAAGAUUGAUGGACACAAUACCUGUGAAAACCAAAGUUCUGGUUAAUGCAUGGUCGAUUGGUAGAGAUCCCAAAUACUGGCAUAAUUCAGAAAGCUUUAUACCUGAGAGAUUUGAGAAUAGUAGUAUUGACUUUAGAGGAAAUCACUUUGAGUUUAUUCCAUUUGGUGCAGGAAGAAGAAUGUGUCCCGGAAUGUUAUUUGGUUUAGUUAAUGUUGCACGUCCUUUAUCCCAAUUACUUUAUCACUUUGAUUGGAAGGUCCCUCAUGGAGUUAAUCCAAAUGAUUUGGACACGAUUGAAACAGAAGGAUUAACAGCCAGGAGAAAGAAUGAUCUUUAUUUAAUUGCUACUCCAUUUGGUCACUCUAAUUAAAUACAUAGACAUAAAGAACUUUGAAUUUUAUUUAAGGUAAUUAAUAGCAUAUUUAAGGUGAUGAAUAAUAAGGCAAUAGAGUCUAUUGUAUAAUAGAGUAAGUUUUUUUUUUUUUUUUGCAUGUAUCUGUAUUUUCAUAUUUGUGACUUGUAAACAAUGAUCCAUAUAUAUGUGAAAUAAAUAAAACAUUUAGAUAUAUGAUAUCCUUUUUCAGAAAUAUAUAUAUAUAUAUAUAUAUAUAUAUAUGGCCUUAAUAUUUAUAUUUUUUGAAUUAUGUAGCUAAAUUUUGACGGAUCUUUUAGUUCCAUAUCCAAUAUGGUCAUCAAAUUAGGCCCCUUGACCUUUUCCAAAGUAAGUGAAACUUCACAAUCAACUUUAAUGGUUGUAACUUGUAUGGACAAACGUUGAAAUUUCAAAACCUAUUCGAUAUUGACCUAUCAUUUGUGAUAGUUCAGGAAUAUAUUUGUUCUUUUUUCGAAUAUUUAAUGACACUAUCAACAUUUUACUAUUGUUGGUUUCCAUAAAAUAAAACACGAUAUAUUAUGAAACAAUACUUAACAACCAUCCAAACAAAGUGUAAGAAAGUGGUAUCAUGCAACCUCUCGGUAUCUGAAAUUGAAUGUUGAUGGGACUAUUCCAAUGGUAGGCAGCACUCCAUCAAAUCAUGUAAAUAAAAUAACAAAGAUAGGUAUAAUAAAGAAUAAGUUUAGCUCGCCCAUACCACUUAUGAACGAUUGAAUAACACAAGUAAAAUCUAUCCAUCCACCAAAUCUUUGUGAACAAUUGAAGAUAUAUGCAAUAUUUGCUCAUCAUUUAUUUAUUUAUCAUCAUAUUCAUAUUCAUAUUCAUAUUCUUCAUAUCAUAAUAUAUUGCUAAAAGUGGGAACAAAAAAUGUUAAAAGUUGAAAUACCAUUUUACCCCUACACUAAAUAAAAAUAUUAUAAAAUAGCUGAUCAAUUAAAUAUCAAAUAGUAAUUGUAUAAUAUUAUUAUUAUAUUAUACUAAAUUCUAAAAGUGGAAAGGUGUUAAGUCAAAAAUUCAAAGAAGAAAAUAUUCAUAGAAAAUUGUUAGACAUUUUUAUCCUUUUAAAAAUAAUAAUCUACCUUAAACUAUUUCUUAUUUCUAAUUACUUUAUUUAAAAGAUUAAGUCCAUAAUUUUCAUAUUUUCAUUUUCAUAACUUCCACAUCACAGUAAAGGAUGGUGAAUUAGAAAGACAUUAAUGUUUUCAUGAAGUAACAUACAUUCAUCUUAAUGCAUUUAAUGGAUUACAAAUUGUAACGAUCGGGUUCCGUCGUUAUAGAAUUGCCAACGGGAGGAAAUUUGGGGCUGGAAAAACUUUUUCGUAGUAUUAGAAUUUUCCCAACCUUGUCCAGAUUUGAAUGAAAUCGGAGUAGUUGAGGUGUAGGGAAAUCUAGUAACAAUCGAGUGGAUUAAUUAUGGUUUUGAUUACAUGAGUGGUUAGGUAACUCAUUCUGUACGACCUUACAUAAUUGAAUUUGGAUGAGUAGAUCUCCGAGAAUUGAUCUUAGCGUGAAAGGUAUUUUCUGAGCGUCGUUGAUUAGAGGUGUGAUGUGGAAUGGGGAUUUGGAAUUCUUUAAAAUAACAUUCUAUUUCGAUUUUGCUGCUUUUGCGGGCGUCUCUGCCGCUUUGGCGGGGCCGCUGUGGCAGGAUGGUGGCCACUGUGGCGGGCGAGACGGGACUUAAAAUCGUAAUUACUCACUGGUUUGAAAAUGCCACUGUGGCAGCGCAAGGUGUUGCUCUGGCGCUACCGUAACAGCGGGAUGAGGGUCGCUGUGGCGGGCCAAACGCGACUUAAGGUCGUAAUAAACCUCUAAACGACCUAUUUGGCCCUUUUUGACUUUUAGAGCUAAGGAACGAAUCCCAGGCAAUUUCUACUCCUUUUUCACAAUUCUUGAGGCAAAAGGUAAGCUUUUAACUCUCCAAAUUUAUUUUUCGAUCCGUAGAACGUAAUAAAAUGGGUCAAUGUUGAUGGGGGAGGGUUUUGAUAUUGAAUAUAUGGUGGAAACAACCCUAAAUUGGAUAAUUAGGAUCAUGAGUUGAUCUAGGGUUUGUUAGAAUUGUUAGUAAUCUGGGUAAUUAAUAAUUGUUUAUUGAUUCCCGUAUUAUAUUGAUUGUUUGUAGACCAAGAACAAGCGAAACAAAUCUGGAAAGGGAAGAAUCAAGUUUCUUACGGUUUCAAGCUUGUUUCGAGGUAGGUGGUGGUUGUGAUUCUAUGAUUAUGUGAUGUUUGUUUGUUCUUACUUCAUUAUGAUACUUGUGUAUAUAUGAAUGUUGCAAUGUUGAUCACACUUGAUGUAAAUGAGAUAGAUGAAUGAUGAUUGCCAUGAAAUCAGGAUGUAAAUGUAUGAUCUUGAUGAUGUACUUGUGAUUGUGAAUGUGGUGUGUGAAUGAGAUCGGUUGCCACGUUCCGGCAUAACUAACUUGGAUCGAUUGCCACGUUCUAACAUAAAUAUGGGAUCGAUUACCACGUUCCGACAUAACAUUGGGAUCGGAUACCAUGUUUUGGUAUGCUAACUGUUUGGGUUUGGGUUCUGUGAGAGGACCAAUGAUUUGUGAUAAAUGUAUAAUGAUGAGCAUGUUGAUAAUAUUAUAGAUGUUGAUAUAUAUGCAUGUUAUUAUAAUGUUUUUUGACUUGCUUAUGUUACACUAGUGGGAUAGCCGCAUGAUCCUACCAGUACACUGUGGUUGUGUACUGAUUCUGGACUUGCUCUUAUUUUUGUUGAGUACAAGGAAUUUUCAAGCGGCUAUUGACAGACCUCGCUUAGGAGAUUAGAGAUCGUCGCAUCGAAUUCAAGGGUGAGCCAAAUCUAUCGGGAUGCCAUGUAAUUCUCUUUCGUCUAUGUCCACCAUUUCCGAACUUAGACAUUUGUUUUAGUUAGUUGAUUAGUUCAUUAGUUGGGGUUGUGACCCUUCCGAUUUAGACUUGUUAUUUCGUUAGUAGUUUUGGUACAUUGACUUUCAGGUUCUAGGUUGUUUCUUCCGCAUUUGUUUAGUAUAGUUCCUUAGAUUCUUGUUGAAGUUUAUGAGAACUUCAUUUAUGAGUUAUUUAAUUUGUUUUAGUAGUUUAAAUGCCUUAGUUUUGGUUUAGUUGCUUGUUUUGAGGUGUAGUAGUGGUUCUCCCACCGGAGGGUUAGUGUGGGUGCCAAGCACGACUUUCUGGGUCGUGACAAAUUGGUAUUAGAGCCUAGGUUCAUGGAUAUUGAUGUUCCGAAAUGAGUCUAAUAGAGUCACAGAAUGGUACGGGGAUGCCUUUACUUUUCUUCAGGAGGCUAUAAGACUUUAGGAAAUCAAUAUAGUUUUCUCUUGUCUCCUUUCAUGCUAUAACUUGAUUCCAAUUGGUAUUUGACGAUUCCAAUUGGUAUCUAACCUCCUUCACUCUUCUGUCCGCAGAUGGUUAAUAGUAUGUUCAACGGCGCCAGGCCCGCAGCUCCCGUCAAUGCUCCGAUUGAGGAAUCUACAACGAGAGGUCGCGAUCGAGCCAGGGGUAGAGGAAGAGCUAGGGGUAAAGGUCAUGGAAGAGUAGCACCCGCCGUGAACAAGGUACCUAUUAAGAAUGUGCCUGUGAAUGAGAACCCUCCGGCGCAACAUAAAGAGAUAAAGGAGAAUGUGGAUGUUGAGGAUGUUGAAGAGAUUGGACAAGAGGAAGAGGUACCGGUUAGAACUACAGGUACUCCUCCCUUGGACCCAAUGUUAGCUCAACAGAUCAUGUCGUUCUUGAAGGGAUUGUCUAGUCCUAGAGUGCUUCCAUCUGGCCAAGCAACUCAAGCACCCGCUAAUCCCCCUGAUGCUAGCACUGCGCCCAAGAGGGGUGGAACUGGAGGUAAUGAUGCUUUCUUCCAUCCUUUGUUGGGUUCUGUUAUGACGGGAUAUGAGCAUGACAUGUUGACUAAGUUUCUGAAGCUUAAGCCUCCGGUAUUUCUUCGUUCUGAGACUGAAGAUGCUUAUGAGUUUAUCUUAGACUAUUAUGAGAGGCUGCAUAAAUUGGGUAUUGUUCACCAACAUGGGGUUGAAUUCGUGUCCUUUCAACUUCAAGGUGAGGCCAAGCAAUGAUGGAGAGCUUAUAUGAAUGCAAAUCUUCUACUUUACCUCCACUCACUUGCACCCAAUUUCAUGCUUUGUUCCUAGAAAAGUAUGUGCCUAGAACUUUGAGGGAUCGCAAGAAGGAUGAGUUUAUGGCCUUAGAGCAAGGUGUUAUGUCUGUGGCUGCUUAUGAGGCCAAGUUACAUGCUUUAUGUAGAUAUGCUACACAGUUGGUUACUACUAAGGAGGAGAGAAUUGAGUUAUUUAUUAGAGGUUUGAAUUCUGAGUUGCAAGUAUUAUCUGUUCAUAUGACUUCUGCAGGGAAGAGUUUUAAUGAGGUGACAGACUAUGUUAAGAAAGUGGAGGGGGUAAGGCGAGACGGACAAGCCAAGGCGUUGGCAAAAAGGGCCAAGAACUCGAGUAACUUUCAAGGUUCUUACGCUAGGGAGUCCAGAAGGGCAACGCUUGCAGCCAAGUAAAUUCAGUCUGCUAUGCUCGCUUCUACAGGUAACUACUCGGGAACUCCAUCUUAUAAUAUUUAGGAUAGCCCAGGAGUCGCGCCUUCAGCGGGAAGCAGACCAUCAUUUGAUCGUAUAUGUUAUAACUAUGGAGAACCUGGGCAUAUGAGGAGAGAUUUUCCCCACCCACGUGUGUUAGAUUCCGCACAGUAGCAUUCUAGAGCAGUGAUACCUGCGGGGAAUGUAAUAAUGGUCGAGGGCGUCCACAAUAUGAGCGAGGAAAUGGUAAUGGUAAUGUGGGCAGAGGUAAUGUGCAACCAGGCAGGGAGGUGGUUCAUAAAUAUGAUAGGGACUCAGUUUUAUGCCUUUCCGGGCAAGAAUGAGGCAGAGAUAUCUGACGCGGUGAUCAUAUGUACAUUCUUGUCUGUGACCGGAUGGCUAAUGUGUUAUUUGAUCCGGGUUCUAUUUAUUCUUAUGUAUCUGUGCGAUUUACCUCCGAGUUUGAUAUGAUUUGUGAUGUACUUGAUGCCCCUAUCCAUGUUUCUACCUCAGUUGGAGAGUCAGUCAUAGUCACUCAUGUCUAUCGUGCUUGUCCUAUUUUGUUUAUGGGUUUUCAGACUUGGGCUGAUUUGGUGAUUUUGGAUAUGGCUGACUUUGAUAUUAUCUUAGGCAUGACUUGGUUGCCCCCAUAUUAUGUUGUGUUAAAUUGUAAUACUAAGUCUGUAACUCUAGAAAUUCCAGGAGGGAAAAUUAGAGUGGGAAGAGGUGUACAAGCCUAAGCAGGCUAAAAUCAUAUCCUCCAUUCGAGCUAGGAAACUGGUAGGGCAGGGUUUGUUUAGCUUAUUUGGCUCAUAUCCGGGAUGUUAAGGUUGAGUCUCCAUCUAUUGAGUCUAUUCCUGUGGUGUCGGAAUUUUGAGAAGUGUUCCCAACUGAUUUUCCUGGUAUGCCUCCAGAUAGAGAUAUAGAUUUUUGCAUUGAUUUGGAGCUUGGUACGCACCCCAUUUCUAUCCCUCCAUAUUGCAUGGCUCCGGCAGAAUUAAGAGAUCUUAAGGCUCAAAUCCAAUAACUUCUUGAUAAAGGAUUUAUCCGGCCUAGUGCUUCCCCAUGGGGUGCCCCAGUUUUGUUUUUAAGAAAAAAGAUGGUAGUAUGAGAAUGUGUAUAGAUUACCAGCAAUUGAAUAGAGUCACUAUUUGAAACAAGUAUCCCUUGCCUCGAAUAUAUGAUCUUUUUGACCAAUUUCAAGGUGCAUCAGUCUUCUCAAAAAUUUAUUUAAGGUCUGGUUACCAUCAAUUAAAAAUUAGGCUUGAAGAUGUGCCCAAGACAACGUUUAGGACUCGCUAUAGGCACUAUGAAUUCCUAGUCAUUUCCUUUUGGUUGACUAAUGCGCCUGUAACUUUUAUGAGUUUGAUGAAUGGGGUGUUCAAACCAUUUCUUGAUUCGUUUGUGAUAGUUUUCAGUGAUGAUAUUUUGGUAUAUUUGAAAAGUGAGGAAGAACAUGCCGACCAUCUUUGUAUUGUUCAGGGUGUUCUUGCGAAACAAAGGUUGUAUGCUAAAAUUUCUAAGUUUGUGAAUUUUGGUUGAAUUCUGUUGCGUUUUUGGGGCAUAUAGUUUCAAAGGAAGGGGUAAUGGUAGAUCCUCAAAAAAUUGAGGCGGCUAAAAAUUGAUUUCGGCCUAGCUCUGUGAUGGAAGUUAGGAGUUUUGUGGGGCUCGCUAGCUACUACCGUCGAUUUGUGAAGAAUUCUGCUUCUAUUGCCACUUACUUGACUAAUAUGACUAAGAAGGAGAUACCAUUAGAAUGGACUGAAAAAUGUGAGGAGAGCUUUCAAAAGCUCAAGACUCUCUUGACUACCGCACCUAUCCUAGCAUUACCGGUGGAAGGUAAGGAUUUUAUAGUUUAUUAUGAUGCUUCUCAUUCUGGAUUGGGCGCUAUGUUAAUGCAGGAUAAGAAUGUUAUAGCCUAUGCGUCGCGCCAAUUGAAGAUGCAUGAGAGAAAUUAUCCAACCCAUGAUUUAAAGUUGGUGGCGGUAGUAUUUUCUCUUAAGAUCUGGUGGCAUUAUCUUUAUGGUGUUAAGUGUGAAGUGUUUACUGAUUGUCGUAGUUUGCAACAUGUGUUCACUCAAAAGGAUCUGAAUUUGAGACAACGAAGAUGGAUGGAGUUACUCAAAGAUUAUGAUGUGACUAUUCAAUACCAUCCGGGUAAGGCUAAUGUUGUGGCAAACGCUUUGAGUUGAAAAGCGGUAAGUAUGGGUAACUUAGCUUACUUGAGUGUAACCAACCGACCUUUGGCCAAGGAAAUUUAGACCUUAGAGUCUAAGUUCAUGCAGUUGGGCUUCUCUGAAAAAGGUGGGGUGUUAGCUAGCAUUGAAGUUAAGGCCACAUUCAUUGAGGAGAUCAAGGCUAAACAAAUUGAGGAUGAAAAUUUGAACAAACUCAAUGAGAAGAUGGCGAAUGGUAAGGCACAAGAGACCACUCUUGAUGCGGAUGGUGUACUUAGUGUGAAAGGGAGGAUUUGUGUUCCUCGAGUUGAUGACUUGAUUCAAAAAUUAUUGGCAGAAUCUCAUGGUUCACGAUAUUCUAUUGAUCCGGGUGUGACCAAGAUGUACAGAGAUCUGAAACGAAUUUAUUGGUGGUCGGGCAUGAAGAAAGACAUAGCAGAGUUUGUGGCUAAGUGUCAAAAUUGUCAACAAGUGAAGUAUGAACAUCAAAGGCUUGCAGGUUUACUUCAAAGGAUGUCAAUUCCAAAAUGGAAGUGCGAAAGAAUAGCUAUGAAUUUUGUGGUUGGUCUACUCAAGACUUUGAGGAAGUUUGAUUCUAUUUGGGUAGUGGUUGAUAGAUUAACCAAGUCAGCUCAUUUUAUUCCGAUAAGAAUAGAUUAUAAUGCUGAGCAAUUGGCUAAAAUUUAUGUGAAAGAGAUAAUGAGAUUGCAUGGAGUGCCCCAUUCUAUCAUCUCAGAUCGUGGUACCCAAUUCACUUCCAAGUUUUGGAGGAAAUUACAUGAUGAAUUGGGCACACAAAUCACUUUUAGUACAGCCUUUCAUCCACAGACGGAUGGACAAUCUGAGAGGACCAUUCAAGUGUUGGAAGACAUGUUCAGGGCAUGUGUGAUUGAUUUUGGAGGGCAUUGGGAUAAAUUCAUACCUUUGUGUGAGUUCUCCUAUAAUAAUAGUUAUCACCCCAGUAUUGAUAUGACACCAUUUGAAAAGCACUAUAUGGAGGGGAUAUAGAUCACCCAUAUGAUGGUUUGAGGCUAGAGAUGUGAAACCUUUGGGGGUUGAUUUAGUGAAUGAUGCUCAAGAUAAGGUAAGGAGUAUUCAAGCUAAGCUUUUAGCAACCCAGAGUAGACAGAAGAAAUACGCUGAUCAUAAGGUAAGAGACAUGGAAUUUCAGACCGAUGAGAAUAGUCUUCUUAAGGUAUCACCUAUGAAAGGGGUGAUGAGAUAUGGUAAGAAAGGUAAGCUAAGUCCUAGAUAUAUUGGUCCCUUUGAAGUUCUUGAAUGUGUAGGGUCGGUGGAGUAUAGAUUGGCUUUACCUCCUAAUCUAUCCGGUGUUCAUUCGGUAUUUCAUGUGUCUAUGUUGAAGAGAUAUCAUGGUGACGAAGAUUAUAUCAUUAAGUGGGACUCAAUUGUGUUAGACAAAGACCUCCAAUACGAGGAAAAACUGAUUGCUAUUCUUGAUCAUGAUGUACGUAAAUCGAGGACCAAGGAGACUAAGAUCGUGAAAGUUCAAUGGAAGCAUCGUCUAGUUGAAGAAGCUACUUGGAAAACCAAGAGGGACAUGCGAGACAAGUAUCCCUAAUUGUUCGUCGAAUCAGGUACUACUUCGUUCUUUCUUUAGCCUACAUUUCCUAAGUUGUCACUCGGGGACGAGUGAUAGGUAAAUUGGUAUCUAUUGUAACGACCGGCUUCCGUCGUUAUAGAAAUGCCAACGGGGGAAAAUUUGUGGCUGGAACAACUUUUUUUGUAGUAUUAGAAUUUUCCUAACCUUGUCCAGAUUUGGAUGAAAUCAGAGUAGUUGAGGUGUAGGGAAAUCUGGUAACAAUCAAGUGAAUUAAUUAUGGUUUUGAUUGCAUGAGUGGUUAAAUAACUCAUUAAGGAAUCCGUACGACCUUACGAAAUUGAAUUUGGAUGAGUAGAUCUCCGGGAAUUGAUCUUAACGUGAAAGAUAUUUUCUGAGCGUCGUUGAUUAGAGGUGUGUUGUGGAAUGGGGAUUUGGAAUUCUUUAAAAUAGCAUUCUGUUUCAAUUUUGCCACUUUGGCGGGCGUCUCUGCCGCUUUGGCGGCGCCGCUGUGGCGGGAAGGUGGCCACUAUGGCGGGCGAGACGGGACAUAAAAUCAUAAUUACUCACUGGUUUGAAAAUGCCGCUGUGGCGGGGGGGGGUGUUGCGCGCCGCCGCUACAACNNNNNNNNNNNNNNNNNNNNNNNNNNNNNNNNNNNNNNNNUCGUUAAUAAACCCCUAAACGACCUUAUUUGAUAGUUUUCGACUUUUAGAGCUAAGGAACGAACCCCAGACGAUUUCUACUCUUUUUUCACAAUUCUUGAGGCUAAAGGUAAGCUUUUAACUUAAGCUUUUAACUCCCCAAAUCCAUUUUUCGAUCCGUAGAACAUAAUAGAAUGGGUCAAUGUUGAUGGGGGAGGAUUUUGAUCUUGAAUCUAUGGUGGAAAUAACCAUAAAUUGGAUAAUUGAGAUCAUGUGUUGAUCUAGGAUUUAUUAGAAUUGUUAGUAAUCUGGGUAAUUAAUAAUUGUUUAUUGAUUCUCGUAUUAAUUGAUUGUUUGUAGACCAAGAACAAGCGGAACAAAUCCAGAAAGGGAAGAAUCAAGUUUCUUAGGGUUUUAAGCUUGUUUCGAGGUAGGUGAUGGUUUUGAUUCUAUGAUUGUGUGAUGUUUGUUUGUUCUUGCUUCAUUAUGAUACUUGUGUGUGUAUGAAUGUUGCAAUGUUGAUUACACUUGAUGUAAAUGAGAUAGAUGAAUGAUGAUUACAAUGAAAUGAUGAUGUAAAUGUAUGAUCUUGAUGAUGUACUUAUGAUUGUGAUUGUGGUGUGUGAAUGGGAUCGUUUGCCACGUUUCGGCAUAACUAACUUGGAUCGNNNNNNUGGGAUCGGUUGCCACGUUUCGGCAUAAAUAUGGGAUCGGUUGCCACAUUCCGGCAUAACAUCUGGAUCGCAUAAUAUGUUUCGAUAUGCUAACUGUUUGGGUUUGGGUUCCGUGAAAGGACCAAUGAUUUGUGAUAAAUGUAUAAUAAUGAGCAUGUUGAUAAUAUUGUAGAUGUUGAUAUAUAUGCAUGUGAUUAUAAUGUUGUUUGACUUGCUUAUGUUACAGUAGUGGGAUAGCUGCUUGAUCCUACUAGUACGUUGUGGUUGUGUACUAAUUCUGCACUUGCUCUUAAUUUUGUUGAGUAUAGGGCAUCUUCAAGCGGCUAUUGCCAAACCUCGCUUAAGAGAUUAGAGAUCGUCGCAUCGAAUUCAAGGGUGAACCAAAUCUUCUGGGUUGCCAUGGAAGUCUAUUGGGAUGUAUGUAUUGGUAAUAUCUAUGAAGGUCCUAAGAUGGAUUUGAGGAUCCUCAUGGGAGAGAUCAGUGAAUUGCCCAUUAGAAUGGAGGAUCUGUACCAUGCUCUACUUUAGUUCAAAUCUACCCCACGGUGGAGGUUUCCUAAUACUAGAUGCUAAAUUGGCUGUGAGUGGGACAGCCACAUCAUGGACAGGUCUUACAGGUACGACAGGGGGUAGUCCUUGGUUAUUCAAGUUCCCUUGGUUAUUCACGUUCUCCGGGUUAUUUAUGUUGUCAUAAUUAUUCUCAUCAAUGUGUUUCGAAAGACCUAACCCAAAUUCUCCUCGUCCUUGAUUCAUUUUUCUGUGCUGUCAUAGAACUCGUUCAGGUUCGUUGUAAGGUUCGACAAGUUCUCCUUUUCGAGCCACACCUGAAAGUCAAGUACCUGCAAUUAACAAGCUAAGAUCAAGUAAUUAAUAUCUAAAUAAUCUAAUUGUAGAAUAAAGAAUAUUGAAUAUAAAUCAAUUUCUGAAUCCCCGGCACCGGUGCCAAAAAGUUGUUGGUCCCCAAUAUACACGCAAGUGUAUGUGGUCGCGCAAGUAGUUUAGAUUCUUUAAGAAACGAGUUAUCGUUCCCAAGGGACUUAUGAUCAAUUUAUAUUUAACACUUAAUUCUACAACUAAAAUUAAAAGCAAUUGUUUCAAGAGUUGAUGUUUGAUUGUUAACUACGACUACUUUAGCAAUAAAUAAAAGUAACCAAGAUUGAACGACUUAAAUAUGAUGUUUCAAGCAAGUAAAAGACAAUUCCAGGGUUGCAACAUGUAUUGAAUCUCAUGUAUCGUAUUAUUGGCUUAGAACUAAUUUCAGUUGCCAAGUUACUGGUUUAUAGGGUUAAUUGUAUGAGUCGGGCUACACACCUCUAGUCGCCUACUCCAGUGAGCUAUCUAACUACAUCGUUGAGCGGGGAUACAUAUACUAACUGACGAGCAUUUAUAUUUCAUCCUAUUUCGUAAUCAAGCAAGUUGUUCGUCCGGGCGUCACUCCUAAACACAAAUCACCUCAAUCAAACGAGCUCUCUAUAUUCUCUGGUCUAUAUAAUCCCUCCUCUCUCGAUUUUAAGAUUAGACAACGUACUUAUCUUAUGGUGAUCAAGCAUAAAAUACUAAAACAAGAAUAUAGAAGUAGCUUGUAAUGACAACCAAGAAUUAAUUCAUAAAGCCUUUUAAUAAUCAACAAUCCUAUUCGUAGCUACAUCUCCAGAACUGGGACGUUUAGCCACUCAUGCUAUUAGAAAACAAGAAAAUACAAUAGUUCAUGCAAUUUCCAAAAAAUAGAAGAGUUAGAGGAUUAAAACCUAUUACAAACUUGAAUUCUUGCUCUUGCCCACUAAAUCAAAAGUCGAAACCUAAUUAUGGAGCCCUAAGGGUCUAUUUAUAAUGGUAGGAAAAUUAGAGCCAAAGUCUAUUCCAAUUAGGAAUCCUUUUUAACACUUUUAAGCUAGAAAAGUCGGGAUCCCACUGGCAUGUCGCGCCUAGCAUCGCACCCAAACCUCACCUCUAAAGUUUCCACCCUGGCGCGUCGCGCCUCUCAGCACGCCUGAGAGGCCUCUCUGAAUGUUGGCCCUUGGCACCUCGCGUCUAGCAGUGCGCUUGGCCCUGGGGCCUUCAUCCUUAGCCGCUUUUCAUGCUCUUUUUACAUCUUUUUUCUUCAAGUUGACUCCAAUUCCCUUGAGAGUUCCUGAAACAACUAAUCAUGCGUGUAAAGUGCACAAUCAUCACAAGUUACCCCCAAAAAAUUAAGCUAAUGACUAGAGAUCAUUCUUCAAUCUAAUCGACUCAUGGGCAAAUAUUGACAACUUAGGCAUAUAAUAUGCCUAAGCUCAGUUAGUUAAUUUGAACAAUUUUUAAUUUUUGUACAUAUUUGUUUUGUUUUCAAAAAAAUUUAAAAUAAAUAAAUGACAUCUAAUAAUUAUGUGUGGCUAGAUGAUGGUUAUUCCUAAUAGGUGUCUCCUCAAUAUUAUGCGUGGAAUAUGUGUGAUAAAUGUGAUGGUCAUGAUGAACACUUUUAUAAUUGUGCUUAUUUGUCCUGCCCUUUUUCGAGCCCAUAAAUAAUAUUGUGAAUAGUGACCAAGUGGAGAGUGAAUAUGAGGAAGAACUUGAGGUGCAAAUGCAAGAGUUCAUAAUGGAAUAAAACUAACCUAAUAAAUUAUAAUUUGAUGAUUUUUAUAUUGAAGAAGUGGUAUCAGAGUCAACCAAGUCCAUAAAAUAUACAAUUUUAGAUAACUCUAAUUUGUAUCACAAAGAGAAAGUUGACAAACCUAUAAUGUUUAUUAAAUGACCACACAAGAUUGUGAAAUGAGUAUGGAUUCUUACAAACAAGAAAAGGGUCAAGGAAAAAGAUAGAUGAGGCUUAUAUUCUAAAUUUUGUGAAGUUGUCGAGGCAAAACAACAAUCAUCACAUGAAAGUCAAAAAGAGUAGAAUAUAAUAUUUAUGUUUUGUCUUUAUUGAGCUUGUACCUCCACCAUUGGAGCAUAGUUGAAAACUUGAAGCAAAAUUGGGGAUCCAAUUCAUAAGCUCGAGAUGGAGGAAAAAAUGGUUCAUUGUCACACCCCAAAAUUCUAACCCCAAAUUAGACCUUGAAUUUUUUUUGCAGUCUGGUGCCACAGAAGACAUCUACGACAUGUAUCAAUAUCUACAAACUGAAUAUGGAUUCGUGGAACCAGGCUCUAGAAAGUUUAUUCUCAGGUCUAAGUUUCACAGACCGAACUAUGAAUCGUAGAAGCUUCCAUGGUCCGUAAAAGGCCCCGUGGAAUCAAGUCCUGAAACACCCUUCCAGUAAGUUUUCUACGGAUGAGCAUGAUGGCCCAUCAAAGUUUCUACGACCCGUAGACUUUUCUACGGAGAGUAGAUGUCCUUCCAUAGAUGGUCAAUUUUUAAGAGGGGUUAUUUUAGUCUUUUCUCACCUUUUGCUAAGCCUAAAUUUCAACGUUUUUACACCUAAUUAAGGUCACAAGAAUCUCCUAGCACAAAGUUGAGUUAAAAUUUUCCUUACCGAUUGAGUUUUGAUAUAAAAUUCUAUUUAGGUCAACUUAAAACGACCAUAUAUCUUAGCAUAUGAAGAAUUAAAUUGCCAUGACCUAUCAAAUUAAAGGGCUAUGAGUAUUAUUUCCAACACCAUCAAGUUUGCGUCAUUUCGAAUUUUGGAAUAAAAAUUUAUUCCCUUUUAAGUGAAGCCCUGUCAGUCAGUCGUUGUUUCACAAUUGACAUUACAGACAGUGAAACGUUCCACGAACUGUCGAGCCUUCCUUGAAGGCUUGCUGCAGUUUUUUCUAGGAAUUUUGUGCACUUGUUCCAGGGUUAUUUUGGUCCUUUCCCAAGUUUUUAGCCAUAUUCUAAGUCAUUUUUAGGUAUUUUCAAGGAGCAUAUCAUUCAACUAACUAAUUUUCCUCUCAUAAUUAUUAAUAUAAACAUUCAAGUUUCCAAAUUUUUUUCUUAAAACUCACCUAGGGCUAGGGUUCCUCUUCUUCAUCAAGAACCCUAAAAAUUCCAUUUCGAAAAUUCAAGAUACAAAGAGAAACGUCCCAUCCAAGGUUUUUCCAAGUUCUUCCACUGUAAGAACUUCAUAAAAGAGUUUAUUUUCUCAAGAUCAAGCACCAAGAUUUCAAGAUCAAAGAUUUCCUCCAAGAAAGCUAAUGAUCUUCCUCAAGCUCAAGAAAAAUGAAGUCUUCACCAAAAUUUUCAAUUCAAGAGCUUCAUAACCAGGUAUAUAAGACUAUUCACAGUGUUGAACUAAGUUCGUCCUCAAGCCCUAUAUGUAAAUUCAGUCCAUAAGAGUUGAAUUUAGUGUUCUACUCAAAAUUUCAUGAUUUUUUCUCAAUUCAAAUUGUGUUCUUAUCGAGUUUAAUUUCCUAAUUAUGAGAGUAUGAUAUUCUAUAUAUUGAUAUCUUUGAGUUGUUGUUCAUGCUUAUAUUUCACUUAAACCUUAGCUUAUGAGAUUUUGUUGAAAGCCUUUGUGCAAUUAUUCUCCUUGCAUUGAUUGUGAAGUUUAAAGUGAGUCUAAGUAUAUUUCUAUAAGCAUAAUUUUGAGAAGAGUUGUAAGGGAACUUUUAAGGUACCAAAUAUAUUAUUUUACAUUGAGAAAAAAAUUACUAUUUCAAGAAAAUAAUAAAGAGUUUUCAGAAUCAUUUCAAACAGAUAGAGUAAAGCCAGUUAUUCCUUAAAGAGGGUCUUUUGAGUAUUAACUCAACUAGAGAAUACUUUUAUAUGAGCAUAUACAGUAUUGAUCACCGAUUUGAGUAAGAGUUCAAUUAUUGUUUAUGUGUAUCUGUGCCACACAUGGUUAGUACGUGUGUCCUUGUUGUUUUUCGAGGAAUCUUAAUGUCCUGUAAAAUUAAAUUUAUUAUUGAAUUUAUUAAUAAUAAACAAGUCCAUUAACAACCAUAAAUAUUGAGCAAUUUAAUUUCUUGAUGAGUUCUUGAUAAGUGUUCUUCAAGUUUCCUUAUCGAUUAAGUUUUGAUAUAAGAUUCUACUUGGGUCAACUUCAAACGACCAUAUCUCUUAGAAUAUAAAGAUUUACGUGAGUCAUAACCUAUUAAAUUAAAGGUAUUUGAAUUUAAUUUUCAACGCCACCAAUUUCACGUCAAUCCAAUUUCUGAGUAAAAAGUUAUGACUAUUUUAGUAACCUAUAUAGUGUUGUUACGAAAUUAGCCGACGGGAGGAAAACAUUAAAAAUGGUCGUUUUUGUUUUUUUUUUUACCUCCAAGAAAACCCUAAACGAAUUUCUUGACUAAAAAAGGCUCAAAACAAUAAGAUUUUCUUCUUUUAAUCCAUCAUUCUCUUCUCUCUCAAACUCUAGGGCAAAACCCGGCCCUAAGGAAAAACUAAAGUAGAAGACUCCAUUCAAGAUUCUUUCAAUCUUUUUCAAGAUUCUUCUUCAAGGUAAGUCUUUCUCCAAGAAUUCCAUUUUUUCAACUCAAAUUCCUCCAUAAAAUUAUGAAUCACUAAUGAAAAUAAUGAUUUUUGGGCAUAGAGAUUUCAAGAAACUAAUUCAAGAAUCUACAAGAAAGGUUUUCUUGAUCGUUUACCUUCAAGCUAGGGUUUCAAAGCUUCUAAUCAAGUUUUUCUUCAAGAUUCUUCAAGAACCUUGCUCUUCCAGGUAUGUAAGGCUAUCAUAGUGUUGGACUAGUUCGUCCUCAAGCCCUACAUCUACUUUCAGAUCAGUAAAAGAGUAACCUAGGAUACUUUCCCUAGAUUUGAGUAUUCUUGAGAUAAGUUGAUUUUGAGUUAUUGAGUUCAUGCUUCUUUUAAAAGUUCUAUUCCUAAUUAUCAAAUUGCUAUAUUGUUAUUGAGAUCCUUUAUAUCAUAAGCCAUAACUCUUGAAUUCAUAAUUCACAUUCAAGAGAGAGUUAAUAGUAGAGUUCAAGAAAGUCUUUGAGUUCAAUUGUGAAUCCUUUGAGUUCAACUGUCGAUUUGAGCUAAGUUUUGAGGAAGUAAGUAUGAGAAUGAGAAGAGUCAUAUACAUGAGUUCCAUAUUGUUAUGGAGACCCUCAAGUCGAGUCGUUCAUGCACAUAAAUUCCGCAUGAACUCCAUAAGUUGAGUAUCUUUGAGAGGAGUAGUAUCUCGAAGUUCUAAGUCUUGAGUAUUGAGUUCUUAAUCCCUUUUGAGAUGUUAUUCCUAAUCAUGGGACUACUACAUGUUACCCAUGAAGCCCUUGAGUUGAGUUGUCCAUGCCCAUACUUUCGCAUAAACCAUAUGAGUCAAGCAGUCUAGAGAUGAGUAGUAUCAUUGAGUCUUGAGUUCUAAGUACUGAGGUUCUUUAUUUUUAUUAAAGAUCCCUAAGUUGAGUCAUUCACGUUCAUAAUUCCACAUGAGCCCUAUGAUUUGAGUUAUAAAUUUUAACAACUUUUUAAAGCAAACACUUGAGUUCUUAAACUGAGUUUUGAGAAAAGAGUACUUUUCUAAAACAUGAUUAGUAUGACAAUCGAGUAUGUCAUCAACGUAUGAGCAGUAUGGUAUCUAGAUAUAGCAUCAAUGUUUAUGCAGUAUGAAUUCCUGAGUCAUCAAUGAUCAUAUUAUAAUAUAUGGGAACUAAGUAUUCCCAAUAGUAAGUGUUAUCGCAUUUAAAAUAGGAGGAAACUGAGAUUUCCAAAAGAGUUUUGAGUAGUUUGAGAAACAUCUCUUUUAAGAGAUAGAUUUUUGAGUAAUUAUCUCAAACCACAGAAAUAGUUAUGUUUUUAAAACAUAUGAGCUAGUUAUUUUGGGAGUAGUAUUGAGCACCGAUAUGGGGGAGAGUUCAGAUAACUCACAGCCUCCAUAAACCAUGUAGCCAACGUGGGUAGAAAGGGUCAUACUUUUUAGAUGAUUACUUAAUGCUUUUUAGCAUAGACUAGUGGAUCCACUCAGUUGUGAUGUCUUAUACCCUGGUGAAGUAUAGGACAAUUCUAGCAACAUGGGCGAGACAUUGUAUCAUCACAUAACUCAUAGUGAUGGUUGUCGGUUAGAGAAACUCCCAUCGAGAUAUUUUGUAUUCUUAUAUACACAUAGUUUAUUUUGUAUUUUCAUAUACAAACAGAGGUUAUUUUGUAUCCUUGCAUACAAACUGAGUAUAUUGUAAUAUUCUUAAAUACAUUGAGUUGCUUUCUACUAUUUUAAAAGGUUUCCAUUUAUUGCAUCUCUUAUUGUUGCUUUAUAUUGAGUUGAGUAUCCUAUAACACCCUGCAACUAGAAAGAUCUAGAAUUAGAAAGACUCAUUUUUGGAAAGACUGAAAAUCUGGAAAUUUGACAAAAUUAAGUAUGAGUUUUGGGUUAACUUCAAACAACCAUAACUCCUAGCUGAAGAUGACUUAGGUGUGACACAAGAUACCAUAGGAAAGAUCUUUGGAUUAUAUUUCCAACGCCACUGAGUUUACUCAGUUUCAAGUUCGUAUGAGUGAGAUAUGCCCAUUUGAAGUUGGGUUGUCUAGAUAAGAAAAGUCAAAACCGGAUUUUAGAAGGGUAUUAUGGUCUUUUCACUGCCCAAUUAUUUAAUUUCAUUUUUGGUAAUUAAGUUGGGGUCUCAAUUGAUGGGAUUCAGUUUACGCUAUUGAAAAAUAAGUUAGGGUUUUAAGAGAAGAGAAAAGAAGAGGAGAAAAGAGAAGGAGAAGCAUGAAAAUCGUCAAGUCUUGAAGAAUAGCUUGUGGAUUUUGUCAAGGGUUGAUCCCUACGAGGUAUGUGAGAUCACAUAGUGUUGGGUUAGUUCACUCACGCACCAAUCAUGAUUUAUUUCAGAGAAUUUGGAUUCUUGAAGGUUUAGAAAUUGAGUUCUUGAUGGAUUUGUUUGAAGUACUAUUGGGUUCUUGAUUGUUAUAGUUGUUAAGGACUUCUUGAUUUUGAUUCAUGAAAUUAGAUGUCGUUUUUAGUAGUUUCUUGCAUAAUUUGAUUAUGUAGUCGAAUCUAAGUGUUUAGGGAAAGACCCAAUUGAGUUUAAAGGGUUUAGAGUUGAACCUGGGCAGAGGGGUUGGGCGUCGCGCCACUCAGAGCGCCCCACAAAGUUCUCUGAAGUUUUGACCCUGGGGCGCCGCGCCAUCCAGCGCGCCCCAACUUCAGUUCUAAAGUUUUGGGUCUGGCGCCCCGCGCCACUCAGAGCGUCAGGGAUGCCAAGUCUUCUACUUUUUCCCACUUCUUUCCGUACGAGUUCCCUUGAAACGUACCUACGUUUUCUAUUUGAUUUCUACACUCUAAGGUAUGUCUAAACAACAUGAAAUCAUUCAUAACAUGAGAUCAUGAGCCUUGAAUCCAUAAUUUAAUUCAAGGAAAAUUAAGAGUCAAGUAAAGAGAAGUUCUUAGAGUUUUCCAAAAGUCUUUUACAAAUGUUUUAACCUUGUUUUAAGACUUGAGUUGUGAGUUGAGUAAAGAGUAAAGAUUGAAGUUCAUUUCUUCAAAAGAGUAUAUGGGGACUAUGUAUUCCCAAAGAGUAAAAUGUUUUCACAUUUAAACAAGAAAGGAAACAUUGAUUCCAAUAGAGCCUUUGAGCUAGUUUUCAGUAAAGAGUAAAUGCUUUCACAAUUAAGCAAAAGAGGAAACUUUGAUUUCAAACAUAGCCUUUGAGCUAAGUUUUGAGCAAUUAUCUCAAACCACAUAAAGAAGUAUGUUUUUAAACAUAAGAGAUAGUAUUUUAUUUUAGGAGUAGUAUUGAGCUCCAAUAUAGGGGAGAAUUCAGACAACUCCUAGCCUCCAUAAACCAUGUAGCCAUCAUGAGAUGAAAAGGGUCAUAAUUUUUAUAUGAUUCCUUAGUGCUUUUUAGCCUAGACUAGUGGAUUCACUUAGUAGUCAGGUUCUAUGCCCUCGGCAAGGUAUAGGACGUCUCUGGUAGUGUGAUUCAAAAUGUUGUAUCAUCACAAUAGCUCUUAAGUGAUGGUUGCGGUUAGAGAGACUCCCACAACAGUAUUAUUUUGUAUUUUAAUAUACAUUUCAGAGUUAUAUUAUAUCCUUGCAUACAUACAUAGUUACUAUUGCAUUCCUAAAUACACAGAGUUGUUAUCCAUGUUUUAAAGCUUUUCUUUAUAUUGCAUUCAUAUUAUUGCUUUAUAUGGAAUGAGUUCAGUUCAGUUCAGUUCAGUUGAGACCAGGUUUGUUCUUUCAGUUCCUUUCAAGCUUAUGUCGUGUUUAGUAUUCCAUUCUCAUGCUCGUACAUUAAAUGUACUGAUGCCAGUUGGCAAGCAUCUUUUUAUGAUGCAAAUACAGGUAACCAGGAUCAGCAUCCAACGCAUCGUUGAUUUUAGUUGAGCUCUAGAGUUGUUGGUGAACCUCCUUGCUUCCGGAGGAUCCCUUUUAUUGCUUUCAGUAUUUAGUUCAUUAGGAUGUCGUGUGUCUUGUACCGACAUCCAUCUCAGUUAUUAGAGGCUUCAUAGAUAGUCAGUCGGUUAGAUUUGUCACUACUUUAUUAUUGGCUUAUGUUUUGAGACUUGAGUAGCCAUCUUGGCUAGUUCUAAGUUUAUUUCAUAAGUUCCUUAUUUGAGACUAUUUCCUGUGUUUAAGUCUUUUGUUGAGUACGUAAACCAGACUAAGGGUUUGCUUAGGGUCAGCAAUGGUUCUCGAGUGUCAGUCCUGUCCAGGGUGUAGGCUCGGGGUAUGACAUAUCCAGAGUUUGAGUAUCCAGAGUUGAGUGUCCUAUUAUUGAGUUGAGUCUUCUUUCCAUGAGUUGAAUAUCCUAUUAUUGAGUUGAGCCUUAUUUCACUGCUUUGAGUUGAGUACCUUAUUCUUCAGUUGAGUUUAGUUGAGUGAGUUGAGAAGAGUCAAUUAUGUUUCCUUUUUAUCAAGUUCAAGCUUAUGUUAUGCUUUAUAAUUCCCCUUACAUGCUCGUACAUUCCACGUACUGAGCCAUUUGGCUUGCAUCGUUUCAUGAUGUGGUGAGCCUCCUUGCUUCCGGAGAGUUCCACUUUUACUUUCAGUUAUAUCAAUUGUUAGGAUGUCGUGGGUCUUGUCCCGACAUCCAUCUUUGUCAUUUAGAGGCUUCAUAGAUAGACAGUAGAGUUUCAAAAGUCUGUUAAGUUAAAUGUUUUAAAGACUUAAGUUUCCUAUUUAUGGCGAGUUGAAUAAUUUAUUUUUAUUUAGAGUUUUUCGUUGGAGUUAAAGCUUUGUAAUUGAGUUUCAUGAAUUUUUAUUCAGUUUUUAAGCUUUGUAUGCUUGAGUUAGUCUUCCGCUUGUAGUCAACUAGGAUGAGGGUUCGCUUGGGGACCAACAAUGGUUUUCGAGUGCCGGCCACGUCCAGGAUGUAGACUUGGGUCGUGACAGUGAGGUAGUUGUUUGUCAUCUCAGCGGACCUUCUUACUCCUAUAUAUGAUCUUGUUAUAUUUUAGAGACAACAUUAUUUGAGACUUAUGUUUUCUUUCAAUUCUAGUGUAAUACAUUAGAGGCUUGUGCACGUGACAACCAGGUUUUGGGGGUAUAUUUAAGUUGAUUAUAAAUUUCCGUAUUAUUUUAUAUUAUUAAACUUUUAUUCUCAUUUUACUUCCGCAUUCACCAUAUAAAAUUGACUUUUAGGCAGACUUGUUUUGGUGGAAAAAGAUGAGUGUCAUCAUGUCCAUUUUUGGGUCAUGACAUAAUGUCUUCCGUUUAGAAGUUAUUCCAUAUACAAUUCACCUACAUUGAAAUAUUUAGUCAAUUGAUUAACAUAGUGUGAUAAUAGUGUGGUAAUAUAUCACCUAUUCCUUAAAUAGCACCCUCACUUCCAACCCGAAGAUUGCGAGUUCGAGUCACUAAGGGAGCAAAAGGGGUGAGAGCUCCUAGGGAGGGUAAAAAAAAAAAACUAACAAAAAAAGUAGUGUGAUAAUAUAUCACCUAUUCCUUAAAUAGCUCCCUAAGAAUCAUCCUCUAACCCAUUUCUUGCAAAACGUUUUACAGAACUAUCAUUUAAAUUUUUUUAAUUCAACUUUCGGAAGAUUACCUCUUCAUCUCUAAAGUAAUGCAACAACAUUUUCAAUCUUAUGUAGCCAUAAAUAAGAUAUAACACAAAUCUUGUUAACCAAACAAUAUGCUUGUGUUAGUUUGUGCAUAAAACAACUGCUAAAUUUUAUGAUAAAGCAAAAGACUUCUGAAAAUUAUUAUUUUUUAAAACAAAGCUCUUGCUACGAACAAACUAUCAACAAAGUUAAAAUUAUUAUUGUUAUAGACUUUUAAUUGCCAACAAUGAAGCUCUGAUUCAUUCAACGUAGCCAUAUCCUUUUGAUUGGCCAGAUUUAUGUUGCUCUGAUCUAUUUAAGGUGACAUAUGAUUGAAAGUGUUGUUGCAAUUCUUUAUUGUUACAUGGGUAAUCUACGUAAAGCUGAAACGAAAAAUAAGUAAAUACUAAUAAUUCUACUAAAUAUUUUCAUAAAAUAUAUGUGAGCACAGGUUUAUGAGAUGCUAUUGAAGGAACAUUAUGUGAAAUUAAUUACACCUUUAUUCAUUUUGUGUAAUGCAAAGAACAAUAUUUCCGUUCCUUGUAAAAUGUGCUACAAAGAGAAUAACAUUUCCGUUCCAAAAUAAAAAGGAGAGUUUCUGUGGAAUGUGGUAUACUGGCCUUUAAUGCCAUUAACAUUCACAAUACGUUAUACAAAUUUAAUUCUUCACUUUGAAACUCCUCUUUGCAAAUUCUAUAUAAGCAUGGCAUUUUGUAAACAAGAAGAUAACACACCAACACAAACAAAAAGAAGAGAAAAACUUUUUUCUCUUUUCUUCUUAUCUUAUUCUUAAAAUAUUUUUUGGGCAAUUGGUUUUAAGUAACCUCCAAACUUUCAGCCAUGAGUGCACGUAUUUGAGAGUAACCGUGGAACCUUGGAGAGCGACCGGCUACAACGAUUUGCACCGGAGUCGAGCCAAAAUUGCUUUCAAGGUAGUGGCUUGACACGACACAAUGUUUGUGAUAAGUUAUUAAUUACUUUAUAAUUCCAAUCUAAUAUCAAUAUUGUAGUAUUUUUCCCAACAAUUUGAAAGCGAUUUACUAACAUACAAUAUUGAUAAAUAGCUAUUUCUUUGAACAAUUUUUUUCUAAUUUGUCAAAACUUGAGUCUUUGGAUGGAAAUAAUUUUAGACGAUGGUCACAAAAACUUUUAAUUUUCUUUGAACAAUUAGAAGUUGAUUAUGUUUUAUUUAAAGAACCUUCUAUGAAUGGUUCUAACACCACUACUGAUUCUAGCAAUGUUAUGACUGUUGAUGAUGUUGUUAAAAAGAAGUUUGAAAAGGAUAACAAAAUUGUGACAGGACAUUUGCUAAAUCAUAUGACUAAUCCUUUAUUUGAUUUAUUUUUAACCUACAAAUCUGCCAAAGAAAUAUGGGAUAGUUGGGAAAAGAAAUAUGAUGCUGAUGAUGCAGGAAAGAAAAAAUAUGUUGUCAGUCAGUGGACUAAAUUCCAAAUGGUUGAUAAUAAGUCACUAAUGGAACAAGUUCACAAAUAUGAGAACUUGACUGUUGAUGUUCUCAACGAGGGACAUGAAGAUGUGUGAGAUAUUUCAGCUUAAUGUUCUACGUGAAAAAUUCCCACCAUCUUGGAGUCAUUAUAGAAAUCAAUUAAAGCAUAGGAAAAAAAUUUAACUCUGCAAGAACUUAUCAGUCAUAUGAGGACUGAAGAGGCGAACCGUCUCAAAGAUAAGAUGGAAACACUUUCUCUUAAAUUCUUCAUAAGCUAAUCUUGUUGAAUCUUUUGGUACUGUUGUGAAAUGCAGGUUCAAAGGAAAACAUAAGAAAGUAUUGAAAAAGGAACAUGUGACGAAGAAAAAUCAAUUUAACAAGCAGGAGAGCCAAAUUAAAAAAUCUUAGGACCCUUGUUUUGUUUGUGGAAAAUUGGUCAUAGGUAUGCCAAGUGCUGUCGAAGAAAGGGGCAGGACUCAAAGCAGGAAGGACAAAGUGAUGUCCAAGCUCAUCUUGCUGAGGGUAAUGAAGUGAUUGUUGUUGUAAGUGUUGAGACAAAUUUAGUGGCUAACAAAACUAACUGGGUGCUAGACACAGACGCUUCAAGGCAUUUCUGUGCCAAUAAAGAGUUAUUUCAUGACUUUGAGGAGUCAACUAAUGGAGAGUGUGUUUACAUUGGUAACUCCACUACUGCUGGAGUUAUGGGUAAAGGAAAAGUUUUACUUAAAUUAACUUCUGAAAAAACUUUAUCCUUGAACAAUGUUUUGUACGUUCCCUCCCUCCGUGGAAACUUAGUUUCCGGAGCACUUCUUAACAAAGUCGGCCUUAAAAUUGUUUUUGAAACUGAUAAAAUAAUUAUUUCACGUGGAGGAGACUUUGUUGGGAAGGGAUAUCUUAGUGGAGGAUUAUUUGUAUUGAACAUUGUUCAAGAGAUUGUCAAUAAUGGAAGUAUUUUAAAUUCUGCUUAUAUUAUUGAGUAUAUCAAUUCGUGGCAUGGUAGACUAGGUCAUGUUAACAUUGCUUCUAUUAAAAGACUUAGGAAAAUGGAAUUUAUUUCUAUGAUAAAAACUGAUGAUUUUUCUAAAUGUCUUGUGUGUAGAAGUAAAGCAUGCCAAGAAACCUUUCAAAUUUGUUAUUAGUAGAAAGAUCGAAUUACUUGAACUAAUACAUUUAUAUUUAGCAGAUUUCAAGAAUAUUGUUAGCAAAGGUGGGAAAAAGUAUUAUAUUACUUUUGUUGAUGACUUUUCUAGAUACACUAAGGUAUAUCUUCUUAAGUCUAAAGAUGAAGUUGAAAGCAUGUUUUUGAAAUUCAAAGAAGAAGUGGAAAAUUAAUUAGACAGAAUAAUCAAGAGAUUUAGAUUUGAUAGGGGCGGUGAAUAUAGUACUAAAACUCUAGAAGAUUUUUGUGAGAAAAAUGGUAUUAUAUAUAAGGUUAGUGCUCCCUAUACUCCCCAACAAAAUGGUGUAGUCAAACGGAAAAUAGAAUCCGUAAAGAAAUGAUGAAUUAUAUGCUUUUAAGCUCUGGUCUAUCUGACAAUAUGUGGGGAGAAGCAGUUUUUUAUGUGUGUUAUAUUCUUAAUAGAUUCCCUCAUAAUAAGUUAGACAAGACCUCAUAUGAGUUGUGUAAAAGGUUUGCUCCUAACUUGAAAUUUCUGAAAGUGUGGGGGUGUUUGGCUAAGGUUGGUUUACCUGAUUUUAAAUGCGUAAAUGUUGGUUCUAAGAUUAUGCUCAAAAUAGUGCUGCAUAUAGAUUUAUGUCUCUAAGUGAUCAUUCUAUUUGUGAAUUUAGAGAUGCAAAAUUUUUUGAGCAUAUUUUUCCUUUAAAAAUUAAUGUGUCAAGUGAUGUGCAAAACAAUGCUUCUACAUCUAUGUCAGUUAAUUCUCAUGUUGUGUCUUCUUCAAAUGUUAUUUCUAAUGAGCAUGAAAAUGAACUUAGAAGGAGUAAAAGACAUAGAGUUGAGACUAAUUUUGGUCUUGAUUUUAUCACUACUUUCUUAACUAAAAUUUUUGAUAUAAAUGUUUUAAAUGAUGAAUUAGUGUCUAUUUAUUUAAUAGAAGAAGACCCUAAGACUUAUGAUGAAGCAAUGAGAUCAAUAGAUGCAAUAUUUUGGAAAGAGGCUAUUAAAGGUGAAUUAGACUCUAUAGUUUCUAAUCACACUUGGGACUUGUAUGAUUUUCUUAAAGGUUGUAAACCCAUAAGUAGCAAGUGGAUAUUUACGAAGAAAUUGAGACCUGAUGUUACAAUUGAUAACUAUAAGGCUAGACUUGUGAUUAGGGGUUUUAACCAAAAGUAAGGUGUUGAUUACAUUGAUACUUAUUCUCCUACGAGUAAAAUAGCGACCAUUAGGACUCUUAUUGCUUUAGCCGCUAUUCAUGAUUUAGUGGUACAUCAAAUGGAUGUCAAAACAACAUUUCUAAAUGGUGAUUUAGAGGAAGAGAUCUAUAUGACUCAACCUGAGGGUUUUUUGGUUGCAGGACAAGAGGAUAAAGUAUGCAAAUUGAGAAAGUCCUUGUAUGGACUAAAACAAGCACCUAAGUAAUGAUAUGAAAAAAUUAAUAUCACAUUAGUGGAUAAUGACUUUGUUGUAAAUUCAUCUAAUACUUGUGUUUAUUCUAAGAUGAUAGGUUUAGAUUGUGUGAUUAUAUGUUUAUAUGUAGAUGACAUGUUAAUCUUUGGUCCUAAUGUGAAUGUUAUUAAUGAGACCAAGAACUUUUUGUCUUCUAAAUUUGAAAUAAAAGACCUUUACGAAGCAGAUGUGAUUUUGGAAGUUAAAAUCAAAAGAACUGCUAAUGAUUUCUCUUUGUGUCAAUCUCAUUACAUUGAUAAAAUGUUGAAAAAGUUUGAUUGUUUUGAUGUAAUUCCAAUGAGAACUCCUUAUGAUCCUAGCAUACACUUGAGGAAGAAUAAAUAAUCUAGUGUUUCUCAAACUGAAUAUGCUAAAAUAAUUGGGAGUGUAAUGUUUCUCAUGAACUAUACUCGGCCUGAUAUAGCUUAUGAUGUUAGUAGAUUGAGUAGAUAUAUUCAUAAUCCCAGUAGUGAACGCUGGAAUGCUCUUCAUAGCUUGUUAAGGCAUUUGAGAGGUACUAUGAAUUGGUGUUUGCAUUUUAACAAGUUUCCUGUUGUUUUAGAAGGUUUUAGUGAUGCAAACUGGGUAACUGACAAUGACUAAGUUAGCUCCACCAGUGGCUAUGUGUUUACUUUGGGUGCAGGUGCUAUUUCGUGAAAGUCUUCCAAACAGACUUGUAUAGCACGUUCUACCAUGGAAUAAGAAUUCAUUGCUAUCGAGUUGGCAGGUCAAGAAGCUGAGUGGCUGAGAAAUCUUUUGGCGGAUGUGCCAUUGUCGGCUAGACAAGCUUCACCAGUCUCUUUUCAUUGUGACUCACAGGCAGCAAUUGAAAUUGCCAAAAAGAGUGUGUACAAUGGAAAAAGGAGACAUAUUCGCAUCAGACAUGGUCUGGUUAAACAAUUAUUGAAACUGGGUGUCAUUUCCUUGGAAUAUGCAAGGUCCGAAAGAAAUUUGGUGGAUCCUAUGACCAAAGGCUUGACAAGGAAAAUAAUCCUUGAAACGUCGAGGGGGAUAGGGCUAAAACCCAUUGAUUGAGGUAAUGUGGUGGACCUGUUAGGCCUCAAUAUACGCCACAUUAUCUAUCCUUAUGGCGUGAGGCAGUGUUUUAUAAGAUAGAGCUUAUUUUGCUCUUAAUGAUUCUAUAGCCUUAAGGUGGUCUAUUUGAGAUAGACUUGAUGGAAUCACCUACGUGAGUGUAAAGGUGUAGUCGUCUUUCUAGAGCACUCAUAAGACCCAAGGUGUAUGUGCAUGACCAUAAAAGCACUUUGUUUCGCGGAGGUUGCUUAAAAUUUAAGAAUAUAAUAUGUGUUAUGGGGAUCUCAAUUCACAUCCAUUCAGUUCAAGAGUACUUCACCUUGUGGAUAUUAAGGUGUUGCCUCAUUUUACUGUGUUAAUUCAAAUUGAAAGAUAUUGACACUUAAGUACAUGUUCCUUCCUUUUAUCCAAUUUUGUUCUUACUCUUUAUCUUUGCAUUAGUGGGGAAUUGUGAAAUUAAUUACACCUUUUUUCAUUUUGUGUAAUGAAAAGAAUAAUAUUUCCGUUCUUUGUAAAAUACGUUACAAAGAGAAUAACAUUUCCGUUCCAAAACAAAAAGGAGAGUUUCUGUAGAAUGUGGUAUAAUGGCCUUUAAUGCCAUUAAUAUUCACAAGACGUUAUAUAAAUUUGACUCUUCACUUUGAAACUCCUCUUUGCAAAUCCUAUAUAAGCAUGGCUUUUUGUGAACAAGAAGAUAACACACCAACACAAACAAAAAGAAGAGAAAAACUUUUUCCUUUUUUCUUCUUAUCUUCUUAUCUUAUUCUUAGAAUAUAUUUUGGGUAAUUGGUUUUGGAUAACCUCCAAACAUUCAGCCACGAGUGCACGUGUUUGAGAAUAACUGUGGAACCUUGAGGAGCGACCGGCUACAACGAUAUGCACUGGAGUCGGACCGAAAUCACUUUCAAGGCAGUGGCUUGCCACGACACAGUGUUUGUGAUAAGUUAUUAAUUACUUUAUAAUUCCAAUCUAAUAUCAAUAUUGUAGUAUUUUUUUUCCAACACAUUAAACUAACUUCUUCAUAAGAAUUUCAAGGAAAAUUAACAUACGAAUAUCUCUUUGAGCACUAACAUCGGGAAGGAAAUAAAGUUGUGAAUGCCUUGACAAAAUUUGCUAUUAUUAUCCAUAAUCCUAUCAUUUUAACUUAAGAGAAUGAAUAUGAUGAAAAUUUCAUGUUUUUAAUUAGUAGAAGAAUUAAAUACUUGAUUUUUGUUCCUCCUUAAAUGCUCUUUGCUUUCCAGAUAUAUUAAGUCUUAAACUUAUGACUUUAUUGUGUAAGCAUAUUUUUUUUUUAGAUCUUUUGGAUUAUUAACUAAAAUAGGAACACAUUGUUAUUUCUUAUGACGAUUUAAAAAGUAAGGCUUUAUGUCCUCCUUAAAGAUUGGGUUAUGAAGGUGAUUAGGGAGUCAUGCGGAAGCUUACAAUUUGCAAAUCAUAUAGUUGAUAAAUCAGAUAACAAAAACUUAUACUAAAAAUCAAACUAUUAUUAUAUCAAAACUAAUAUAAAGAAAACAUUGAAACUUUAGAGAGAAUAAAUCUCUCCAUAAACAAGACUCUUAAACGACUACAUUGUGGAUGUUAUUGUUUUGUGUUAGAAGAAACAAACCUAUAUUUAUAGAGUCCUAAAACCUUUCCUACUAGAAAGAACUAGUUACUCCAAAACCUUUUUCCUAAGAGGAAAGAAUAAACCAAAUAUGAAAAAAUAUUAUAUUUUCCUUUCAGGAAAAGUAAAAACAUUUAUGGUAAUGUUUUGUCUUUUCUUUAAGGAAAAAUAAAUCUUAAAUUAUGAUAAGAAAAUCAGGGCAAAACCCUAACAUCUUUUACUCUGAAAAACUAUGUUAAGGAUUCUUGCCAAAAUCCUCAUCACCUCAAAAAGGUAAACAAUUUUUGGUAAUAAAUAAAUAAAUUAUGAAUCUAUGAAAAGUAUUUGAUGUUGAAAGUGGGUUGCAUUAGUAUCAUCAUCGAUGUCUUCUUUAUUAAUGUGAAAUCUCUCAUUUCAAACAGACUAAUUAUAUUUAUCAAAAAAAAAAAAAAUCAUUAUAUAGAGGAGUAAGAGAUUAGGUUUUUUUAGAAGUCACAAACUUUCUUAAAAUAUGUUACUUUUCUAGAACGUCAUAAAAAUAUGAAUUUCUUUUUUGUCGAACUCAUUUACUAUUUGUUUGGGUGAAAUAAAGAUACUAGCAAACAUAAUGAGAAUGUAUAAAGAAGAAACAAUUGCAUUUAAAAUAUAUUGUUUGUGGCUCAAUUAAUAUCAACGUAAACUCUAAGCCAACAGUAAUUAAUAUAUGUUCAAUGCAGGGGCGGAUGUACAAUGUUUCCAGGGGUUCAUCCGAACCCCCUCGGAAAAAAAAUUACAUUAUAUACGAUCAAUUUUUUAAUGUACGUGUAUAUAUUUAAAAUUGAACCUCCUGAACAUAUGUCAAAGGAGUAGCUCAACGGUUGAUGGGGUUCAGAAUUUCAAUUAUAUGAGCUUUGUGUCAAUUCCAUGCAACAACAUCUUUUUCUUCUUUCUUUUUUUGUAAUUUUUAGUGAUUUUGCAGGCUUCAGGCUUAAGUUUUAAGUGUUUUUUUUUUAUUAUUAAAUACAGAUAGACCAAACGACGACAUUUCAUAAGUCAUAACUAAUCAAAAAAAUUAUAUUUUAAAUCUCUAAUUGAAAAGUCAAGAAAUUAAAAAAAAAACCCUCUUUUCUAGGGAUUGCAUUAUAAUAUUUUUUUCCUCCUAGUCUUCUCGUUCAACUUCACCUUUGCUGCUCGCUGGUGCAGUCGCGAUAACAAAAACCCCUCUUUGUCAACCCGUUUGUUAUUCAAUCUGUUCAUAUAUGAUCCGACCCGUUUAUUUAUGGAUAUUAUUAGCGUGUUUAAUUAUUAUUUUUAACCCCUUGAUAGAAUUUCUGACUCCGCCACUAGUUCAAUCUAUCACAAUUCAAUUAUUAUUUACAUUAGAUUUCAUUAAUUAGAAUCUAACAUAACUCAUUUAGGGUUAAAAGAUAGCUUCAAGCUGCUUAAAGCCUCAUUUCUUCAAUUAUUCGAUUACUUGUGUCAAAAUCCAUUUGUGACAUUAAUUAUGUUAUCAAAGCUAGUGGAAAUUUCAUUUAUAAUAGAGAUAAUAAUGGGUGGAGCAUCCUCCCUAUUUAAAAAAAAAAAAAUACACCCUAAACUAAUGGUCCCAUCGUAUUGCAUGGUUACAUCAAAAUGUUAUCUCUAACAAAUUUUCAAAACAUUUAUAAUUUGAAUUAUUGGAGCUAAUGUCAUUAUAUAUAUAAUUUUAUGAUUAAUCAAUCUUCAAUCAUUUACCUACUAACUCCUCAAGUUUCUACUCCCUCCGUUCCCUAUUUACUUGUCCAUAUUUUCUUUUUUUGGUUGUCCCUAUUUAGUUGUCCAUUUUGACAAAUCAAGAAAGGACAACAAAUUUUUUCCUAUUAUACCCUUAUUUACACUUCUUGAAAAUUGUAAAAGUGUAUGUUGUUUCCCUCCAAUUAUUUCACUUGAAUUUAAAUAAGUGGUUGUAAUUUUGAAGUGAAAAGUUGUCAUAAGGGUAAAAUUGUAACUUCACUGUGCUAAUCAUUGUUGCCUUAAUCUGUGUGCCAUUUCUAAAGUGGACAACUAAAAAGGGACGGAGGGAGUAUUUAAUUUGAUACUUUCUCCGUUUUAAUUUAUAUGUCAUCAUUUUAGAUUUCACGUGCAUUAAGAAACUAAGUUUACUAUUUUACCUUUAAUUGAUGUUUUUUUAAAUCAAGUUUUCAACAUGAAUUAAUUUAUUUUGAUUAAUUAAUUUGACCAAUGAACAUGAAGUAUUUACUUAGUUUUUCUAUGUUGGUUAAAUGUAUAUUUUCAAGGCUAAUAACUCGCAAGGGUAAAAUAGAAAGAAUAAUGUCAUUAUACAUUGAUUUUGUGAAAUGACAAAUAUUAAGGAUCAUCUAUUUAUAGUUGAAUUUUCUAACAAUUCAUCGCUAAUCCGUAACUAAAUAGGAUUGAAAUUUAAUUUGUUGUUUAGCUACGAAAUUCUGUCCAUCGCCAAUUCCUUAUUUUUACUCGUAGUAAAGAAACCUAUUUCUAAGGAAGUCAUUUAUUUCCUUAUUUUUAAGAGAAAGAAUUGUAGAGAAAAUAUUUUGAAAAUUUUGACUGGAAAUUAAAAAACUAAAAAAAUAUCUUCAACUUAUUUUACACCACGAAUUUUAAAUUUUGCAAAUAGUAAAACAUGAUUAAAGAAUAUGACAAAAAUGGUUCAUUAUCUUGGAUGAUAAGUUUAAAAUAGUCACUUAAGAGGUAAGUGUCACUUUGAUCAGCAGUUUUGGUACUUUAAAUUUGAGAAAUGACCAGAAUGGUUCUUAAUGUAUGGGUAAUGUUGUAUUUUGGUCUUUUAUGUAUUUCACUAGACUGAAACGGUCCUUAAUAUAUAAGAAAUGUGUUCAUUUUAAUUCUUAAUGUAUUUCACUCGAUUGAAAUGGUCCUUCAUGUAUAAAAAAGGUGUUCAUUUUAGUCUUUAAUGUAUUACACUUGAUUGAAAUGAUCCUUAAUGUAUAACAAAAGGUGUUCAUUUUGGUCCUUUGUUUGAAAUGAAAUUUACUGACAAGUUUAAUGAGCUAUUAAUAUAUAAAGCCAAGUUAUAAAUUCAUUUUAUUAAAUAAUAUUAAAUUACUAUAUCUAAUUCGCACAACUACGGUUCCAUUCAAUUUUUUUGUUUAUAACAAAAUAACAAAAAAUCAUGUAAAGAUCUUAAAGAUGAGAAUAACUUUUUUGAAAUAAUAUUUUUACUUUGUUAGCAUGAUAAAUAUUUGUUUUUUUUAAUCAUGGUGAGAUGAUUCAUACUUAAAAGUAUAAUUGUCAUUUAUUUCUCUAGUGAAAAAGAUAUUACAUAUAGUUCCAAAUUAUAAGUUAUAUUGGUAAGUUUUCUAUCUAGAUUCAAUUGAUAAGUUUUUAUGUCUCUAGUGAAAAAGAUAUUACAUAUACUUCCAAAUUAUAAGUUAUAUUGGUAAGUUUUCUAUCUAGAUUCAAUUCAUAAGUUUUGUAAUAAACUUUUUCUUAUGAAUAUAGUUAGAUAAAAAAAAUAAAAUUUGAAAUUUAAAUUUGAAUGUUCAUAAAAUUUAUUAAUAUUAGAAAGGAGAGAUAAUCUGCUUAAAAAUAAAUUAUUUCCCCCUUCUUAUUUGAGACAAGAGAAUAAUAGUAUUGAGAAUUAAUUGGUAAUUUGUCAAAUUUUGCAUCAUUUAGCUUUUAAAGAGAAAACUAUGACAUGUACUUAAGAAUGAUAAAAUCGUAUUUUACUAUUUAAAAAUAAUAUUAUUGAACAUUUUAAAUUCUAAAAUUACCAAAAAGAUGAUUUAUAUAGUUAAAAACAUUUUGAAAAUUGUAUUGAAAAAACUAAAUUUCAAAUUGUGAGGGUUGAAUAUAAAGCAAGUAAAAAAUAUAGUGAAGAUUGAAUAACAAAUGGGGUGCACAAAAUAUGAAUGAAAUUGAUAACAGUUAAGCAUUUUAAAUUUAUAUAAUAGAUAAUAAGAUUGAAAUGAUAUAAAGAGAAUAGACCCAUAUGUUUAGAGGUUAUUGGUGAGGAAAUAAGAUAUGAUCAAGUACAUAGUAUACUUUGUAUUGCCUACUGUACAACUCUUCAUAGUCAUAGUUGUCCUACCAUGACUUCUCUAUAUAAUAGAAAUGUGCUGAAAAUGAUAUUUUAAAGAUCAUCCAAAAACCAAACCAUUCAAUAUAAAGACGAUUUUCAGUACUAUUUUUUUUUUAAUAGAACUUAUUAAGGCGGAGAAAACGUUUUCAAAAUAUUAAAUAUGAAAAAGUUCCUCCCUACUCAAUCCACCCUAAACUAAUGGCCCCAUCGUAUUGCAGGCUUACAUCAAAAUGGUUUCUCUAACCAACUAAUGUCCAAAACAUUUUACAUUUUUGCGUAAUUGGCGCUACCAAACAAAUGUCAUUAUGUAAUUUUAUGACUAAUCAAUCUUCAAUCAUUUCGAAACGAUAUUUUAGUAAUGUUCUAUUUUUUUUAAUUAAAGAAGCAGAACAAAAUUUGAAAUAUAUUUUUAGUUUCUGGCAUUUUGAUUAAAUCAAUAGUGUUCUAAAUUAUUCAAAUUUUGUUCAAAACGAUAUAUUUUGUUAAAUGUAUUCUAAUUUUAAAAUUAUUUAUCGAUAUAGAUUUUCAAAAAACCAUUUGAUAUGAUUUGUUAGUUUUUUUAAUUAGUAAAUUUAUUUUUGAGAAAAUCCAAAUUAUUAUCAAUAUAUAACUAUCAUUUUUUUUUACAGUUUUAUUUGAUAAAUUUUGAAUUAAAUUUGUGAACAUUAUUACAAAAGAAUUAACACGCUUCUCAUAAGACAAAAUAAGUUAAAAUUGCUUAAUAAUUAUCAUCACUAUAACAUGUGAUGAAAAUUAGGAAAGUAUUUAUUAAUUUUUUAUUGUAUAUAUGAAAAAAAAUCUAUACAUAUGUAAGUUUGGGGGUUAUUUAGUCUUCACCUUUGCUACAAACCAUUUCUUGAAGGAUUGACAUCUGAAACCUCUUGUCGAUAUGAGCCUUGAACACAUAUUUGUAAUCAAAAUAAAAUUAAACAUUUCAUGAUCUCAUAAUAUGCAUAUAAUAAUUGUUUCUUAUUUUCAUAAAAAUAGAGUUUACAUCUAUUCUAUCUCUACUUAAAAUGCAUCACAUUAAUUAUGUUAUGUCUCCUAAUUUAUCUCUUAACUUCUACCAAGAUAACAUAAAAUCUUAGAUAACUUUCGUCUAAUUUUUGAUAUCCAAAUUUAGUAUACCUGCAUGAUUUUGAAGAAAAAAAAUUAUAAGUCAUUUAAUAAACUUUAUGCCAAAACACUAAUUGCUCGUAGUGUUACAUAAGUUUUUUUUUUUAAUAUAUACUAUCGUUUUAAUUUUGAAAAACGAAGAGAAUAAGAUUAAACAAAAAACAUGAUUAAGAUAUUACAAAAUCCAAAGUGAUAUUAAACAAUAAUGCUUACCUUUUUUUCCUCAAUAAAAACAUGUUACUAAACAAAUAAUUUUUAUUAUGCUUCCUCUUAAAGCCUGUGAGAAAAAUUACAAAAACAUAGACAUGAAAUUAGCAUUGAUGUAGAUAGCAUAAAGUCAGUUUGGAGAGAUCAAUUCACAUUGAUGCAUAUACUUUGUUAGACGAUUUUUCUUAUGCUUGAUCAAAUAUAUCUACUCCUAGAUAAGUUGAUAUAUCAUUGGUAUUAUACGUCUAUAUAUGAUAUAAAGAAAAUAAUGUAAAAAAAAAAAAGAAUCAGAAAAUUCAUCAUCUAAAAGUGAAGUGCUCUCUCUAUAUCUUCUCUCCAAAUUUGUGAAGAACAUAAUAGAAAAAAGUAAUUAUUUUUCCCUUUGUAUCUACUCUCAGGAGGCGGUUUCAAAAAUAAUAAAGCAAAAAAUAAAAAUAAAAAUAAAAAAAGAAGCAGUUUUUGGGUAGUUAUUUGCAAUUCAAAAAUUGUGAAAGUUCCCUAUUAAAAAGGAGUCCCAAUUCAAAAAACGUAAGCAAACAAACAAUUUUACAGUUUUAAUUAGAUAAAAAAAAAACUUCUACUUGUCUUGUUAAAACAGUAAAUUUUUUUCUUUUCAACUUGUUUUUAAAACAGUAACUUUUUUUCUUUGAUUAAAAAAAAACUGCAGUUUUUAAGAUGAUAAGAAGUGGAUGAAAAUGGGAUAAUGGGGUUUCAUUCGUCCUUUUUUUAAAAAUAUUUUUAUAUUUUUUUUUAUCUUUUUCUAUUUUAUCUUUGACUUUUUUAAAUGUAAAAAAUUAUGGUAACUAUUUUGAAAAAGAAUAAUCGUAGUUGUAGUUUUUCAAAAAAAACAUUUUUAAAUUUUAAAUAUUAUUUUUCAAAACUAAAUAAAUGAGAAAUUUUGUGGUGCUGACACGUGUCACUUUUUCUUCUCCUAUUAUAUAUAGAUAGAUAACUCCUCAAGAUUCUAUUUUUUUUUUAAAAAAAAGGGAAUAAUGUGACAUGGCAUUUGGACAUUAGUUAGUUAGAGAGAGAUGUUUUUUUUUGGUCAAGUAUAGUUUGAGGAAAAUAUGUAAAGUUGGGUGAUAUUGUAGUCCUAAAACAAACAAAAGUGAUAUUAUUAGGUAAUUUCUCAAACGUGGAUAUCUAGGAAAAUUACUCCGUUUUCAAUCAAUGAACAUGAAUUAAUUUAUUUUGAUUAAUUAAUUUGAUCAAUGAACAUGAAUUAUAUAUUUACUUAGUUUUUCUAUGUUGGUCAAAUGUAUAUAUUUUCAAGGCUAAUAACUCACAAGGUAAAAUUGAAAGAAUAGUGUCAUUUAUACAUUGAUUUUGUGAAAUAACAAAUAUUAAGCAUCAUCGAUUUUUGUAAGGACGGCAUUGUAGACAUUGAAAUUUUGUGGGAUUCUACAAGAUGUAUUCAAUAUGAAUUGGGAAUCUAGAAGGUGUGUUCAGUUUCAAUUAGAAUUCUUAGAGGCUACGUACUAAAUUCUCUUAAAAGACAUAUCGAAAAUUCCACACAGAGAUCAAAAUCUCAAAUACCCCAUAAACUCUUGGGUAUUUUUAAAGAUCAAGAUCUCAAAUAUUCCAUAAAAAGUCAUUAAAUAGUCAUAUAGAGGUCAAAUCUAAAUCAUCCUAGUUUGAGAAAUACGCCACUAACGGCCCUCGAAUCAUGAGUAAAUCUUAGGAGAGUAGAAUCAAGGGAUCAACAAAAUUGUACCCGCAAUCUUGAUGAAUAAAAUUAUGUUUCUUCAUUUUUUUUUUGUGAUUGUAAUUUAUUUUCCGUCGCUUUAAAUUUUGUUGCAAACAAAUUGGCACGCCCAGUGGGACCAAAUCUGCCCUUCAUCUCUUCUCUUAUAAAUGAAAUCUGAAAAUCUGAAGCUGCAAAGGUGGAAGAAUGAGUACUUCAAGCCUCGUCUUUGAGUUUCAUCAAGUCUACACUCCGACAUGCCUUGAAGUAGGGGACAUUUGUAGACAUUGAAAUUUUGUGGGACUCUACAAGACGUGUUCAAUUCGAAUUGAAACUCUAGAAGGUGUGUUCAGUUUCACUUAGAAUUCUUGGAGACUAUUCAACCCUAAAUCCUAGUUCAUGCCUAUAUAAAGGGCAACUAAAUUCCCUUAAAAGGCAUCUCGAUAUAUUCCACAAAAUUCAUGGAAUAUUCAUAUAGAGGUCAAAUCUAAAUUAUCCUAAUUUGAGAAAUACGCCACCUGACUCAUUGAUCAACUUAUCCAACAAGAUUUUUUGAUUUUUGUAAGGAUGGCAUUGUAGACAUUGAAAUUUUGUGGGAUUCUACAAGAUGUGUUCAAUUUGAAUUGGGAAUCUAGAAGGUGUGUUCAGUUUCAAUUAUAAUUCUUAGAGGCUAUGUACUAAAUUCUCUUAAAAGACAUAUCGAAAAUUCCACACAGAGAUCAAAAUCUCAAAUAUCCCAUAAACUCUUGGGUAUUUUUAAAGAUCAAGAUCUCAAAUAUUCCAUAUAAAGUCAUUAAAUAUUCAUAUAGAGGUCAAAUCUAAAUCAUCCUAGUUUGAGAAAUACGCCACUAACGGCCCUCGAAUCAUGAAUAAAUCUUAGGAGAGUAGAAUCAAGGGAUCAAAAAAAUUGUACCCGCAAUCUUGAUGAAUAAAAUUAUGUUUCUUCAUAUUUUUUUUGUGAUUGUAAUUUAUUUUCCGUCGCUUUAAAAUUUGUUGCAAACAAAUUGGCACGCCCAGUGGGACCAAAUCUGCCCUUCAUCUCUUCUCUUAUAAAUGAAAUCUGAAAAUCUGAAGCUGCAAAGGUGGAAGAAUGAGUACUUCAAGCCUCGUCUUUGAGUUUCAUCAAGUCUACACUCCGACAUGCCUUGAAGUAGGGGACAUUUGUAGACAUUGAAAUUUUGUGGGACUCUACAAGACGUGUUCAAUUCGAAUUGAAACUCUAGAAGGUGUGUUCAGUUUCACUUAGAAUUCUUGGAGACUAUUCAACCCUAAAUCCUAGUUCAUGCCUAUAUAAAGGGCAACUAAAUUCCCUUAAAAGGCAUCUCGAUAUAUUCCACAAAAUUCAUGGAAUAUUCAUAUAGAGGUCAAACCUAAAUUAUCCUAAUGUGAGAAAUACGCCACUAGCGGCUCUCGAAUCAUGAAUAAAUCAUAGGAUAGUAGAAUCAAGGGAUAAACAAAAUUGUACCCGCAAUUUUUAUCAAUAAAGUAAUGUUUCUUCUUAUUUUAUUGUGAUUGCAAUUUAUUUCUGUCACUUUUAAAAUUUGUUGUAAACAAAUUUCCAAUUCGAAUUGAACACGUCUUGUGGGACGGUAUAUAAAUAGGAACGGAGGGAGGGAGUAUGAAAACAAGAAAGAUAUCAUUUCAUUUUGAUUAUAUAUAUAUAUUAGAUGUACAAAGAUAGAAUAUAACAUUAACAUGUUUUCUUUUCCUUCCAAAAUGGAGUAUCAACAUUUACCCUACUUCAUUUUUAUCUCACUUGUUCUCUUCCUCUCCUCUUUCUUCCUUGUAUCUCAAAAAUGGAAGAAAUCAAAAUCUCCAAACAAAACAUUGCCUCCUGGACCAUGGAAACUACCUUUUAUAGGAAACUUGCAUCAAUUAAUGAGCNNNNNNNNNNNNNNNNNNNNNNNNNNNNNNNNNNNNNNNNNNNNNNNNNNNNNNNNNNNNNNNNNNNNNNNNNNNNNNNNNNNNNNNNNNNNNNNNNNNNGGCAUAAAUAUGGGAUCGGUUGCCGCGUUCUGGCAUAUCAUUAGGAUCGGAUACCAUGUUUCGAUAUGCUAAUUGUUUGGAUUUGGGUUCCGUGAAAGGACCAAUGAUUUGUGAUAAAUGUAUAAUGAUGAGCAUGUUGAAAAUAUUGUAGAUGUUGAUAUAUAUGCAUGUGAUUAUAAUGUUGUUUGACUUGCUUAUGUUACACUAGUGGGAUAACUGCUUGAUCCUACUAGUACGCUAUGGUUGUGUACUGAUUCUGCACUUGCUCUUAUUUUUGUUGAGUACAGGGUAUCUUCAAGCGGCUAUUGAUAAACCUCGCUUAAGAGAUUAGAGAUCGUCGCAUCGAAUUCAAGGGUAAGCCAAAUCUUUCGGGCUGCCAUGGAAUUCUCUUUCGUAUAUGUCCACCAUUUUCGGACUUAGACAUUUGUUUUAGUUAAUUGAUUAGUUCAUUAGUUAGGGUUGUGACCCUUCUGAUUUAGAUUUGUUAUUUCGUUAGUAGUUUUGGUACAUUGACUUUUAGAUUCUAGGUUGUUUCUUCCGCAUUUGUUUAGUAUAGUUAUUUUGAUCUCUUGUUGAAGUUUAAUUAUGAGAACUUCAUUUGUGAGUUAUUUAAUAUGUUUUAGUAGUUUAAAUGCCUUAGUUUUGGUUUAGGUUCUUUUUUUGAGGUGUAGUAGUGGUUCUCCCACUGCAGGGUUAGUGUGGGUGUCAAUCACGACGGUCUGGGUUGUGACACAAAUUUAGAUUAAUUUUACAUGUUGGAAUAUAUACUAGACCUAAAUUUCAAUAACUAAAACCCCUCAUUUCCUGGUUGCAUUAACACUUAGAAAUAACUACAACCCUCCAAAUUCUAAUAACCUAAAUCCCUGAUUUCUUUGCUUCAUUAAUAGAACAUUUUCUAAUAACUAUAACCUAUGAAAAUUUAAUAACCAAAACCCCAUAUUUCUUGGCCGUAUAUUUCACAAUUAUUGCAUACCCAAUGGUAGUUACAUAUACAUUUAUGAUGGUUAUUGCAUACAUAUUUUUAUUUUCUUCUUGAAAUAUUUCCUAAGUGUAACGACUUGUUCCCGUCGUUAUGAAAAAGCCAAUGUGGAAAUAAUUUGGGCUAGAAAACUUUUGAGUAGGAACUUGGAAAUUUCUAGUCUAGGCCAGACUUGGACGAAAUCUGAGUCAAGUGAGGUCUAGGGAAAUCUGGUAAUAAACUGGGGGUUUAAUUAUGAAUUUGAUCACAUGAGUGGAUAGCCAAGACGUUAAGGAGCUUGUAUGGCUUUACGAAAUUGAAUUCGGGCGAGAAGAACUCCCGGAACUGAUCUUGGCGUGAAAGGGUAGUUUUUUAACGUCAAGGGUUGAAGAUGUGUGGAGAAAUGGGAGCUUGGAACUCAAAUUCCAACAUUCUGUCUCCGUGCAAGCUGCCAGAGCGGGAUUGAUCCCGCCAGGGUGGGGCCGCUGUAGCGGGACAGUUGCGACUUAAGUCAGGGAAAAACCCCAAUUUCAUUAUUUUUCUGCAAACUUCGUUCUUAAGAGUUAGGAGGUGACCCAGGACGAGUUCUUGACAGUUUUCCACGACUUUUGGUGCUAAAGGUAAGGAUUUUACUCCCCUAAUCCGUAGAACUUAGAUUCAGGGGUAAUUAUCAUUGGGGGAGAGUUUGACCUGAAAUUAAUAGUGGAAAAAGCCUUAUGUUGGGUAUUGAGAUCUUGGGUUUGGCCUAGGGUCGAUAAUGUCGAUUGUAAUCUAGGUAAUUAAGCCUCGUUUAUUGAUCCUUCCAUUAUUUGUAUGUUUUUAGAACAAGAACAAGCGAAAAGAAUCCGGAAAGGGAAGAUUCAAGAGCCUUAGGGGGAUUCAAGCUUGGUUUCGAGGUAGGUGAUAGUUUGAUUUCCUGUUUGUGUGAUGCAUGUCGAUUGAUUUCUAUAUUGUAUACAUGUGUGUAUGCGAAUAGGGAAAUGUGGAAACGAACCUAAUGUAAUGAUUAUGUGUGAAUAAUACAUGACAUGAACCUGUUACUUAAUUGUAUGAUUUGAGUAUUGUUCAUUAUGGAUGUGAUUGUGAUUGCGAUUGUGCUGAUUGGAUCGGGUGUCACGUUUUGACACAUACAUUAGAUCAACUAUCACGUUCUGACUCAUAUAUUGGACCGGGUGUCACGUUCUGACACAUGCAUUGGAUCGGGUGUCACGUUCCAACACACUAACAGUUUGGGUGUGGGUUCCAUGAAAGGACCAUUGUGUUGUCAUAUCCAAUUGCUAUUGAGAAGGUGGAAUUGUACAUUGCUUGUAACGACCCAAACCGUUGUUAUAUAGGAAAAGCAAAACGUCAGGAAAAUACUGGGGACAUUGUCCCACCAGAGCGGGCCAGAUGCCGCUAGGGAGGUAGCGCCACAUCGGGAUAAGUAGCCGCCAGAGCGGGAUAGGCGAGACAAAAUUUAAAUAACGCGAAGUCCUAUUUUCUCCUUUUUCCAAAAACACUAAAAAGAGGUGAGAAUCACCCUAAAAUCCCUCAAAAAGAUGCUUUAAGCUUGGGAAGGAAGGAGAAAGAAUUUUCUAGCGUAAUGAGGUCGAAAGAUUGCAGAUUUUCGAUCAAGAUCCACCGUCCCGUCGUCCGGGAACCAGAAUUUGAUCUAUAAUUCCUCUGUGAAUGCUUGGCGCCCCAAGUAGGCUAGGUUUAUUUAAUUGAGUAGUUAUAAAUCUAUUAUUCACUGCAUGGUAUAUUGCUAAAUUGACAGUAGAAUUCAUGCAUAGGCUUUCAUGCACCAAAAAUAGAUUGUUGUACAUGUAUCUUAGGUGUUACACCGAACGUAUACCGUAGGAGAAAGCCUUAGUCGAUGAACUGGGGUUAGGUGUUGGUUGAUUUCCUAAUUGACGAUAUUGAUGUUGAGUUAUUGAGAUAUUGUAUGCAUGUGUGUAUGGGAAGGAUCGAAAUGUGGGAACGAACAUAAUGAAUAGAAUAUGUGCAAUUGCAUGCCAUGAACCUAAUGCUUGAUUGUGUGAUUAUAAGUAUGUUCGUUAUGGAUGUGAUUGUGCUGAGGGACCGGGUGUCACAUACGAACACACUAACAUGCAUUGGAUCGGAUGUUACGUACCAACAUACAUACAUACCUUGGAUCAGGUGUCAUGUAUCGACACACUAGCAUGCAUUGGAUCGAAUGUCCCGUACCGACAUACAUACAUACAUUGGAUCGGGUGUCACGUACUGAUACACUAACAUGCAUUGGAUUGGAUGUCACGUACCGACAUAAAUACAUAUUGGAUCGGGUCACAAUCCGGCACACUAACAGUAUGGGUAUGGAUUAUGUGAGAGGACCAUUGACUUGUCAUAUAUGUUUAUUUGUGAGAAUGGGGAAUUGUUCAUUGAUCUAGAAAUAGAUGACUGGAUUAUCUAAUAUCUGUAUAUAUGUGUGGCUUGCGGUGUGGUAGGUAAAUUGGAUAUAUCGAUUUAUGUAAUGGAUAGGGAAUGGUCAGGCCCAUUCGGGAGGUGCUACGGUGAGUAGGGACCAAGGGUCUAGUAUUACUAUGUGUUACCUUUUAAAGAUGGUCAUGAGAAUUGUGUUGUUACAUCUAUUGUUAUUGAGAUGAAAAGGUAGUAUUCGUGAUGUAAAUACAUAGGUAGAUACUACCUUGGGUAAAGGGUUCGUAUUUAGUGAUUAGUAAGCCUUGAAUUUAUGUACUAUGGGUCAAUGGUUGAGUGGUAAUAUGGAAGCAACAAGGGUACGUUGUGAGUGGAUAGUCGAAAUGCUUGUGGUGUUAUUCGGGAACUCUUCUAUGAGUUAUAAUGUUUAAGCUAUGAUCGAGAACCGAGUGAGUAGGGUGUUAGAGAGGAGUAUUAUAAUUAAUUUUGCUAGUAUAUGAUAAAAGUAGCCGGGGAUGGUAAGGUGGAGGAAUAAACGGUCUUAUUGCUUGUAUUCCUGCUAGUCAAUUUCUUAUAUUAUGUGGUGGGUAUCGGGUUGACCGAUGAUGCCUAUUGGUACGUGUGGUUGUACUAAUACUACUCUUGCUAUGCCUUUUUGGCAUAGUCUGGAUGCAGGAUCGGUGAUGUUUCCUAGGUAAAGACGAAGAUAAUCUCCAGUAGCUUCUAUUUUUCCUUCCGCAUAGUGGGAGCUGUGUCCUUGAUAUUUUUGUUAUAUCUUGUAAUCUUAGAAGCUCUUGUGCCUGUUUAGACUAGAUCCUUGGGGGUGUUAAUUACUUUACAAGUCUUAACUUUAAAAUGUAUUUAGAAGUCCUUGGUUAUAAAAUUUUGAAAUUCCAUCUAUCUCAAUUUUUCUUUAAUCUCGCAUGUUUUUGAACCGUUGGGAAUCGAGGGUUCUCCUACUGAGGUGUUAGAGUAGGUGCCCGAAUGGCCCGGUGGGUUGGUCGUGACAUUGCUCCUGUAAUGAUAACUGGAUUGUAUCCUGUAUAUGUUUGUUUAUUGUAUUGUGAUUGUCGUUGUAUAUUGUGCUUAUGGGAGUAGCCGCGUGAUCCUACCAGUACAUUGUGGUUGUGUACUGAUACUACACUUUCUCUUUCUUUGUUGAGUACAUGGCAUCUUCAGGCGGCUACUGACAGACCUCAUUUAGGAGAUCACUGAUCGAGACCGAAUUCAAGGGUGAGCCAGUUCUUCUAGGCUGCCAUGAGUUCUCAUUUGUUUAGUCCAUUUUCUUCAGACUUAGACCAGUACUUUAGACAUCCGCUUGUUUAGUUUUGGGGUUGCACCCCUUGUUCUUAGACUUGUCGUUAGUAGAGUUUUGGUACAUUGACUUUCAGGUUCUAGGCAUUGUUUUCCGCAAUUGUUUUGUUAGACUUUCGAAUUUUAUGGGAACUCCCUAUUUUUCCUUUAGACAUUUAAACCUGCUUCCAUAUCUUUUAAUGUUCUAGUUUUUCGUUAUGUUGCUUGGUUGGGUCGUGGUAAUGGUUCUCCCAUCGGAGAGUUAGUGUGGGUGUCAAUCACGACGGUUUGGGUCGUGACAUUAAGCUUAAAUAACACAUUUGGAUAUUUUUUUCAAAUUUUUUUAUAUGUCUUAUAUUAUAUAUUUGUUAUUUUUAAGUUUUGCUUUUAUGAAACUUAUACCCUUUCAUUUAUUUAUUAUUUUUUCUCUUUUAUAUGCUUUAAAUAUCCACCUUCAUAUCGCAUAUCUAAUUACCUAUUCAACUGCUACUAUAUAUAUAUAUAUAACUCUCAUACUUUUCAUAUUUACAGCCUCUAAAUAUUUAAUUUAAGAUUUUAAGAUAACUUUUGGUGUUCCUUCAAUUUUAUUUAUGUAAAUGAUCUUCUUUUUGUUCUAUUGAUUCAUUCUUUAGUUUGACUCGACAUAGAUAGAUCUUGAAUUUUGAUUGGCUAUGAUAGAAGGAGUCGACAAGAACUCAGAAAAUUAUGUACUAUUUUUGUAUUUCUGUUUACAUCUAUAUUGUAUGAUUAAAGUCUUAAGAAAGAUGAGUACAUCACAUUUUUUGUGUUUUCUAUAUAUUAGACUUUUAAAAUUUAAUUUUCUAUGAAUAUUGAUUAGUCAUUUGUGGCUUUAUUGAAAGUUUGUUAACUACUAACCAAAAUUCAAAAGUUACAAUUGGUUGCUUAAAAGAACUUGAUUUUAAACAUUAAAAUACACUCCUUAUUUAAUACUUUUUGCCAUAUUUUAAAGAUAUAUUAGUAAUUAUUGCAUUCUAUUACUCACUACAGGUUUUCAUAGAAUUUUAAUUAUUCCAACAAAUCUAUGAAAAUUCUCACGAACACACGUGCAGCGCACAUAUCCAGAAACUAGUAUUACUAAAAGUGGGAAGAACUCAAACCAAAAGUUGAAUUACCAUUUUACCUUUUUUUUAAAAACAUUUAUCCUGUUUUUAAAAUAAUAAUUAUUUAUCAACUAUAUAUUCUACAUUAAUGCUCACAAUUAUGAUUAAGCCUAUAGACUCUUCUUUGAUGGCACGAUGCUAGCUGCUUCAAGCCUUCAAUUAUAACUGAUGAAGACUAAGGAUACUCCCAACAAUUAAGUAUGGAUUUGAUGAGUCUUUUUUAUUUUUGGCUAAAACAUCUUUAAUAAUUUGGUUUUCUUCAACUUCUUAGCUUUAAUAAUUUGAUUCUCUUCAACUUCUCUUACCUAAGGCCCCUUAUUUAAAGUCACAUAGAAGAGCACUGAAUUUACAAAUCUCAUUUAAACAUUUUUCUUCAAUAUGCCAUAUUCUCACCGAUGAAGAACCUGUCACACCCCGAGACUACACCCUGUGCGGAACUGGCACUCAAGAACCAUUGUUGUUCCCAAGUGAACCCUUGGUCUGGCUUAACUUAUAGUGGAAGACUUAACUUAACAGAGAUAAACCCAUAUAACUCAAGAAUGCUAAUAAGAAAACAUUCAACUAGCCAAUAAGACAAACUCAAGUCUUUAAACAACAUAUGAAAUGAAUAAGACUAAAGAACUAUGACUACUUGUCUAUGAAGCCUCUAAACAAUUAGGGGAUGUCGGGACAAGACCCCCGAUCAUCCUAACAAUUGAGAUACUAGAAAGCAAAGUAAAAGGAGUCCUCUGGAAACCAAAGAGGCUCACUAACUGACUCUGAGUGCUCAACUGGAUCAACGAGGCACUGGAUACUGAUCCUGGUUACCUGUGUCUACAUCAUAAAACGAUGCAUGCCAAAUGUCAUCAGUACAUUGAAUGUACGAGUAUGUGAGGGGAAAACUAAACAUAACAUAAGCUUGAAAGGAAUCUGAAAGGAACACUUACCUUGGCUUUACUCAACUCAUGCAAGGUAAAAACAACAAUAAAGAUGCAAUUUAUAAAAAGCAAUUAAAACAUUAAAUGACAACUCAAUGUAUUAAAGAAGUACAAUAGCAACUCAGUUUACACAUAUAAUAAAGUAAUAUAAUAUUGUGGGAAUUUCUCUAACCGAAAACCACCACUAUGAGCCUAAGUGAUGAUACAACGUCUUGCCCACGCUGCCAAAACUAUCCUAUACUUUGCCGUCAUAUAGAACGCCUUAACUAAGUGGAUCCACUAGUCUAUGCUAAAAAGCACUAAGGAGUCAUCUAAAAAGUAUGAUCCUUUCUACCCAUGAUGGCUACAUGGUUUAUGGAGACUUGAGUUAUUAUGAACUCGCGUCCCCAUAUCGGUGUUCAAUACUACUCCCAAAAUAUACUCAGCUCAUAUGUUUUAAAAAAACAAAACACUUUCUUUGGUUUGAGAUAAUUACUCAAAACUUAGCUUAAAAUCUCUCUUAGAAAUCGGUGUUUCCUUUCUUGCUCAAAUGUAAAAACAUUUUUAACUCUUGGGAAUACUUAGUUUCCGUAUAAUCUUUGAAUAAAUGAACUUUACUCUUACUCUUUACUCAACUCAAAGCUUAAGUCUUAACACAAAGUUAAAACGUUUGUAAAAGACUUUUGGAAAACUUUAUGAAUUUCUCUUAACUUGACUCUUAACUUCUCUUGACUUGACUCUUAACUUUCCUUGAAUUGAAUUAUGGAUUCAAGGAUUGUUAUUUUUGAUAGGAAAAAUCUCAUGAUGUUCAGGAGUGUUUUUAGAUAGUUAAACAUGAGAAAAGAUCAAGAAAUCACUGUCUGGAAGCAAGUCCUCUAUGUGGAGAUGCAUUUAAUUAUUUGGUGGCAAAAUAAAUUUUGAGGCGAAACGGUCCGUGACCUCUCAGCAACGCGAAGACAACUUUGUCAAUCCUGAGGACCAGGUUCGUACGCGGACCUGGUACCCAGAUUUUCCCGACAUGUUCCUUCUUCAUUUUCUCACCCCAAUUCACCUAAAUUAGAUUAUUUUUCUCAAUUCCUCUUUAGAUUCAGAUACCUAGCAUAUGUACACAAGAAUAUAAACAAACACAACUCUAAAAUCGACCUUAAACUCUCAAAAACUCCUCAAUCUCAUCCCAAAUUCAAGAACGAAAGCAAUUCAAGAAUACAACUCAAGAACAUCAAAGUCUCAAUCCUUUAGGAUGAAAAUCAUACUGAAAUAAACAUGUUUGGCACGUGGGUGAACGAACCCAAUGUUAUGUGAACUCACAUACCUCGUAGGAAUCACCCCUAGACGAAAUCUACGACCUUAGCUUUAAGAAUUGACAAUUCCUUGUCUUCUCUUCUCUCAAAACCCUAACUCAAAUCACAAAAGCGUAAACUAACAAACUUCAGUUUAGACCCCAAUUAAUUACCAAAAACGAAAUUAAGUCAUUUGGGUAUGGAAAAGACCAAAAAUACCUUUCCAAAAUCCGGAUUGAACUUUGUUGAUCCAAACAGCCCAACUUCCAAUAGGCAUAUCUCACUCAUACGAACUCGGAUUCAUGCCAACUCGGCAGAGUUGAAAAUAUAAUCCAAAGAUCUUUCCUUCAGUAUCUUGUAGCACACCUAACUCAUCCUGAUCUAGGAGUUAUGGUCAUUUGAAGUUGACCCAAAACUCAAACUUAACAUAACUUAACCAAUUUUCCAGAUUUUUCAUUCUUUCCAAAAAUGAUUUUUUCUAAUUCUAGCUCUUUCUAGUUUUUCAAUUAUCGAGAUGUUACAAUAUAUCCCCCUUGGGACAUUCGUCCUCGAAUGAGAUUACUCUUAGUAAGUUAAAGGUGUAUCAUCUAACAUUCAACUCAACACCUAACAAGAGAAUCUAACACAUCAAGUAUAUAAAUUAAAGAGUACUAAGAAGAGAAUUAGUACCUUGAUCUAGAAUUUCUCCGGGCUCAAAGAGAUGUUGAUAUCUCUUUUUCAUAUCUUCCUCAGCUUCCCAAAUAGCUUCUUCAACAAACUGAUUCCUCCAAAAGACUUUGACUGAUGCUACUACCCUAGUCCUCAACUUGCGAACCUAGCUAUCUAGAAUCUGAACCGGAAUCUUGUCUUAGGAUAAGCUAUCCUUAAUACCAAUAUCUCCCAUUGGUAUGACAAGUGAAGGAUCUCCCAUGCACUUCUUCAAUAUGGAAAUAUGAAAUACCUGAUGAACCGUUGCUAACUCUUGGGAUAGCUCUAACUUAUAAGCUACAUUACCAACCUUUUGGAUAUUCUGUAAGGACCAAUAUACCAAGGACUAAGCUUCCCCUUCUUACCAAACCUCUUAAAACCCUUGAUGGGUGAAACUUUCAAGUAUACCCAAUCAUCUACCUCAAACUCUAACUCCAUUCUCCUAACAUCAGUGUAGGAUUUCUGACGACUCUGUGUUGUUUUCAAUCUUUCUUGAUGUAACACCUCGCUAAUUGAAAGAAUAUAAAGAGCUAGAAUUGGAAAUAGUCAUUUUUGGAAAGAAUGAAAAUUUUGGAAAAUUGGUUAAGUUAAGAAUGAGUUUUGGGUCAACUUUAAACGACCAUAACUCCUAUGUCAGAAUGACUUAGGUGUUCUUCCAGAUACCGUAGGAAAUAUCUUGGAAUUAUCUUUCCAACGCCACUGAGUUUGUAUGAUUCCGAGUUUGUAUGAGUGAGAUAUUCCCAUUUGAAGUUGGGUUGUUCAUAUAAGGAAAGUCUAAUCCGGAUUUUGGAAGGGUAGUUUAGUCUUUUCCUUACCCAAUUAAUUUGAUUUGAUUUUUGGUAAUUAGUUGGGGGUCUGAACUGAACUUUGUCAGUUUACUCCUUUAAAAAAGAGUUAGGCUUUUGAGAGAAGGGAAAAAAAGAGGAGAAGAAGCAAGGAUUCGUCGAUUUCUUUGAGAUUUUCGUGUUGAUUUCACCAAGGGUUAAUCCCUACGAAGUAUGUGAGAUCACAUAGCAUUGUUUUAGUUUACCCACACGCCAAUCGUGAUUCAAUUCAGCGAAGUUCUAUUGUUUUGGAAGCAAAUCUUAUGAGUUCUUGAUGAUAAUUCAUUUGAAAUCUUGUGGAUUCUUGUUGUUGAAGUUCCUUGAGUUUGAUUCAUGAUUUUAGGUGUGUUUUCGAGUAGAAUCUUACAUAUAUUGAUGGUAUAGUUGAUUCUAAAUGUUUGGGAAAAUAACCAAGUUGAAAUAGGGGGUUCAGAGUUGAAAAAUGAAGAAGAAAAGUUGCAGUCACCUGGGCAAAGGCCUGGGGCACCGCCCCAGCCAGAGCUCUCCAAAAGGGACUCUGAAAUUUGACCUCUGCGGCACCGCACCAGUCAAAGCGCCCCAAGUCAGUCCCUGAAAUUCAAGGGAUAGCGCCCCACGCCUCUCACAGCGCCAGGGAUGCCACUACUUCCACCUUUUCCCCUUCUUUCCGUACUAGUUCCUUAGCAACAUACCUAUGUUUUCUAGUCGAUUUCUAUACUCUAAGGUACGUCUAAACAUCAUAAAAUCACCCUUAAACAUUAAAUCACGAACCUUGAAUCCAUAAUUCAAUUAAAGGAAAGUUAAGAGGUUAAAAAUUAAGUCAAGAGAAGUUCAUAGAGUGUUCCAAAAGUCUUUCACAAACAUUUUAACUUGUUUUAAGACUUAAUCUUUGAGUUGAGUAAAGAGUAAGAGUAAAAUUUAUUUUCUUCAAAGAUUACACAGGAACUAAGUAUUCCCAAGAGUUAAAAUGUUUUCACAUUUAAACAAGAGAGAAAACACCGAUUUCCAAGAGAACUUUUAAGCUAAGUUUUGAGAAAUUAUCUCUAAACCAAUAAAGAGUUUGUUUUUAAAACAUAUGAGCUAAGUAUAUUUUGGGAGUAGUAUUGAGCACCGAUACGGGGAAGCUAGUUCAUAAUAACUCAAGUCUUCAUAAACCAUGUAGCCAUCAUGGGUAGAAAAGAUCAUACUUUUUAGAUGACUCCUUAGUGCUUUUUUAGCAUAGACUAGUGGAUCCACUUAGUUAAGGCAUUUUAUAUGACGGCAAAGUAUAGGACAAUUCUAGCAGCGUGGGUAAGACGAUGUAUCACCACUUAGGCUCAUAAAGGUGGUUGUCGGUUAGAGAAACUCCCACAGUAUUAUAUUACUUUAUUAUAUGAGUAAACUGAGUCGCUAUUGUACUUCUUUAAUACAUUGAGUUGUCAUUUACUGUUUUAAAUACUUUGUAUGAACUGCACCUUUCUAUUUGUUUUUACUUUGCAUUUGAGUUGAGUUAUUCAUGAGUUGAGUAAAGCCAAGGUAAGUGUUCCUUUCAGAGUCCUUAAGCUUGUGUUAAGUUUAGUUUUCCUCUCGCAUACUCGUACAUUCAAUGUACUGAUGCCAUUCGGCCUACUUCAUUCUAUGAUGCAGACACAACUAACUAGGAUCAGCACCCAGUGCCUCGUUGAUCGAGUUGAGCACUCAGAGUCAGUUGGUGAGCCUCUUUGAUUUCUGGAGUGCUCCUUUUUCAUUGCUUUAGUGGUUUAAUUGUUAGGAUGAUCGGGGAUUUUGUCCCGACAUCCCUUUUUAUUUUAGAGGCUUCAUAGAUGAGUAGUUAUAGUUCUUUAGACUUUCCAUUUUAAGUUGUAUACGUUAAGACGUGUGUUGCCAUUUUGGCUAAGUUACUAUCUCAUGAAUUAUAUUUUGAGACUGUUUCUUAUGUUUAAGUCUUCCGCUGAGUAAGUAAGCCAGGCCAAGGGUUUGCUUAGGGCUGAUGUUUGCGUAAUCAAGACACAACUUUCAAUGCAAGUGUUUACGAUCGUACAAUAGUAUAAUAAUCCAACUAAGGGUUGGGAUCGUUCCCACAAGGAGUGGUUUUAAGAAUUAGUAGAAAAAUAAAAUUAAGUUCUAAUUAGUCAUAGUUAAAAUAUUAUCGAUUAAAAAUAUGCUAAAUCUAAGAAGUGACGCAAGUGUCAAUUAACAAUGGGGUUUUUGUGACGGGACACCCACUUGCAGCAUGAAGAACAGCCUCCGCCUUAGCCCACUCACUCUCUCUCGAGCUGAGUGUGUAGGAGAAGGACUAGCGUUCACUCUCUCGAGCUGAACCUCAUGUCGACCCACUCCCACCGAUCAUCAAUUUAGUAGUCUUAGUUUUACGACCUCUCUCUCGAGCAAGCCGAAAACACAAAGGUGAAAUCGUAUUUGCAACUACAAUUUCAUUAAGUUCCACCACAAUUACUAAAUGAAAUCACAUCUAAACAACAAAUAAAUCAUCAACAAGCAAGACCUAACAGCAAAUCUAACCCAUAAUCACAAAAUCACACCCCUAGAAUUAGGGAUUUAGCUACACAUGUAAAAGAGGUAAAAAUGUAUACCAAAUUCAGUUUCCAUCAAUGGGUAUGCAAGAUUAAGUCUUAAAACAAGUCAAAAGUGAAGAAUACUCAAGACCCAAGUCCAAAAUCUUGGAGUUAAAACCCUUUGAAUCUUCAAGUUCUUCAAAACCCUCUCCAUUCUUAGGACUCAAAAGUCUAUGUUAAAAAUUCUAUAAUAAAAUAUCUGAUACUAAGCUACAACUCUCAACGAGUAUUUAUAUUUUUCAAAAAUCUAUGCUGCAGCAGAUCAUUCGGCGAUCCGCCCUUUGGGAGGUUUCAUCGCUGUCUUACUCUAUCCUUCAGCAUCGUUGUGUUUGGAUCAUUGGUCGACAUAGUACAGCUUUGCGAAAAUGAUCGGUUAUACUCUAUCCUUCAGCAUCGUCGUGGUUGGAUCAUUGGUCGACAUUGAACGAACCCAAUGUUAUGUGAACUCACAUACCUCGUAGGGAUCACCCCUAGACGAAAUCCACGACCUUAGCUUUAAGAAUUGAUGAUUCCUUGCCUUUUCUUUUCUCAAAACCCUAACUCAAAUCUCAAAAGCGUAAACUAACCAACUUCAGUUUAGACCCCAAUUAAUUACCAAAAACGAAAUUAAGUCAUUUGGGUAUUGAAAAGACCAAAAUACCUUUCCAAAAUCCGGAUUGAACUUUGUUGAUCCAAACAGCCCAACUUCCAAUGGGCAUAUCUCACUCAUACGAACUAGGAAUCACGCAAACUUGGCAGAGUUGAAAAUAUAAUCUAAAGAUCUUUCCUUCAGUAUCUUGUAGCACACCUAACUCACACUACAAUAAAUAUGAUAUAUAGCUACGAAAUUAUUAGCUACGAUAUCAAAUUCGUCACUAAUUGUUCACUUUUAGUGACAAAAUUUACUUUUCGUGCUGAAAUAUAUGAGACACAUACUUUUAGUGACGAAACAAAAAAUCUGUAGCAAAGUUUCGUUUACUAAAGUUUCCCACCAAAAAAUUAAUUGGCACCAUUUGUUAAGUUGUGUUAGUCACGAAUUUAAAGUUAUCGGUGACAUAUUAUUUCGUCACUAAUAAUGUAUCUAAUUCAUGACAAAUUAUUUUUUUGUCUUAAAAUUUAUUGAUUUUUUUAGCCAAAAACAUUUCAUCUAAAAAAAUAUGUUGUUACAAUAUCGACAAAUUAGAAUUCAUAGUUAAAUAUUAUAAGUUUUAGUCUAUAAGAAUUUAGCUUUAAUUAUGAUAUUUAUUUUCGUCACUAAUAGUAUAAAUAAUUGGUGACAAAGAUUUUAUUGUCUCUAAACAAUCUGUGAUUCAGUGACAACAAAAAAAAUUAGUCACAAAAUAUGUAUGGUAUUAAAUAGCGACGACUUAAAAUUUUUAGUGAAUAAUUCAACUAUUUUCUACGAAAAAAAUUCAUAGCUAAAUACAAUUUUUUUCUACAAUAGUUCAUAAUUACAAGUGACAGCUUACAAAAAGAAUAAUACAGGUGCUUCAUAAGAAAUAGACAUAGUCCUUUAGUUAUUGGCGAGGGAAAAUAUUAACACCAACGAAUUUGGUCCAUUUUGUUAAAAUGAUAAAGUUCAAGGAAAAAUAUUAAAACCAACGAAUUCGGUCCAUUUUGUAAAAAUGAAAAAGUUCAAUUCAUGAAUUUUCUUAAAUUACACAAUUAUGCAUCAUUUCAAAAAUACAAUCCAGGUUAUAAGUAUCGUGAGUUGGGUACAAUUCUUCCACUAGAUCACUAAUAUUUGUUGGUUUAAUACUUUUGUUUUUUGUUUGAUACACUUUCAUCGAUAAAGACNNNNNNNNNNNNNNNNNNNNNNNNNNNNNNNNNNNNNNNNNNNNNNNNNNNNNNNNNNNNNNNNNNNNNNNNNNNNNNNNNNNNNNNNNNNNNNNNNNNNNNNNNNNNNNNNNNNNNNNNNNNNNNNNNNNNNNNNNNNNNNNNNNNNNNNNNNNNNNNNNNNNNNNNNNNNNNNNNNNNNNNNNNNNNNNNNNNNNNNNNNNNNNNNNNNNNNNNNNNNNNNNNNNNNNNNNNNNNNNNNNNNNNNNNNNNNNNNNNNNNNNNNNNNNNNNNNNNNNNNNNNNNNNNNNNNNNNNNNNNNNNNNNNNNNNNNNNNNNNNNNNNNNNNNNNNNNNNNNNNNNNNNNNNNNNNNNNNNNNNNNNNNNNNNNNNNNNNNNNNNNNNNNNNNNNNNNNNNNNNNNNNNNNNNNNNNNNNNNNNNNNNNNNNNNNNNNNNNNNNNNNNNNNNNNNNNNNNNNNNNNNNNNNNNNNNNNNNNNNNNNNNNNNNNNNNNNNNNNNNNNNNNNNNNNNNNNNNNNNNNNNNNNNNNNNNNNNNNNNNNNNNNNNNNNNNNNNNNNNNNNNNNNNNNNNNNNNNNNNNNNNNNNNNNNNNNNNNNNNNACAGUUUAAUUAAAAUAUAAUCUACAUUUGAAUGAAUUGUGGGUGGUAAAUUUCAUGCACUUGUGUAUGUGUAUAAAAAAAUCAUAUAAUAUAUUAUAUCUACAAAAGCUAAAUUUGAAAGAAGUGAAUGAAGUAGAAAAUAAAUUAAAAAUGAGAGACAAGAGAGAGUUGAUUNNNNNNNNNNNNNNNNNNNNNNNNNNNNNNNNNNNNNNNNNNNNNNNNNNNNNNNNNNNNNNNNNNNNNNNNNNNNNNNNNNNNNNNNNNNNNNNNNNNNNNNNNNNNNNNNNNNNNNNNNNNNNNNNNNNNNNNNNNNNNNNNNNNNNNNNNNNNNNNNNNNNNNNNNNNNNNNNNNNNNNNNNNNNNNNNNNNNNNNNNNNNNNNNNNNNNNNNNNNNNNNNNNNNNNNNNNNNNNNNNNNNNNNNNNNNNNNNNNNNNNNNNNNNNNNNNNNNNNNNNNNNNNNNNNNNNNNNNNNNNNNNNNNNNNNNNNNNNNNNNNNNNNNNNNNNNNNNNNNNNNNNNNNNNNNNNNNNNNNNNNNNNNNNNNNNNNNNNNNNNNNNNNNNNNNNNNNNNNNNNNNNNNNNNNNNNNNNNNNNNNNNNNNNNNNNNNNNNNNNNNNNNNNNNNNNNNNNNNNNNNNNNNNNNNNNNNNNNNNNNNNNNNNNNNNNNNNNNNNNNNNNNNNNNNNNNNNNNNNNNNNNNNNNNNNNNNNNNNNNNNNNNNNNNNNNNNNNNNNNNNNNNNNNNNNNNNNNNNNNNNNNNNNNNNNNNNNNNNNNNNNNNNNNNNNNNNNNNNNNNNNNNNNNNNNNNNNNNNNNNNNNNNNNNNNNNNNNNNNNNNNNNNNNNNNNNNNNNNNNNNNNNNNNNNNNNNNNNNNNNNNNCCCAACAAGCAAUGCAAAUACAACAUGCCAACUUAUAAAUUAAAGAGUACUAAGAAGAGAAUUAGUACCUUGAUUUGGAAUUUCUCCGGUUUGUAGAGAUGUGGAUAUAUCUUCUUCAUAUCUUCUUUAGCUUCCCAAUUAGCUUCCUCAACAAACUGGUUCCUCCAAAGAACUUUUACUGAUGAUGCUUCCUUAGUCCUCAACUUGCGAACCUAGCGAUCUAGAAUCUAACCCGGAAUCUUGUCUUAGGAUAAGCUAUCCUUAAUACUAAUAUCUCCCAUUGGUAUGACAAGUGAAGGAUCUCCCAUGCACUUCUUCAAUAUGGAAAUAUGAAAAACCUGAUGAACCGUUGCUAACUCUUAGGAUAGCUCUAACUCAUAAGCUACAUUACCAACCUUUUGGAUAUUCUGUAAAGGCCAAUAUACCAAGGACUAAGCUUCCCCUUCUUACCAAACCUUUUAAAACCCUUGAUGGGUGAAACUUUCAAGUAUACCCAAUCAUCUACCUCAAACUCUAACUCCAUUCUCCUAACAUCAGUGUAGGAUUUCUGACGACUCUGUGUUAUUUUCAAUCUUUCUUGAUAUAACGCCUCGCUAAUUGAAAGAAUAGAAAGAGCUAGAAUUGGAAAUAGUCAUUUUUGGAAAGAAUGAAAACUUUGGAAAAUUGGUUAAGUUAAGAAUGAGUCUUGGGUCAACUUUAAACGACCAUAACUCUUAUGUCAGAAUGACUUAGGUGUUCUUCUAGAUACCAAAGGAAAUAUCUUGGAUUUAUCUUUCCAAUGCCACUGAGUUUGCAUGAUUCCGAGUUUGUAUGAAUGAGAUAUUCCCAUUUGAAGUUGGUUGUUCAUAUAAGGAAAGUCUAAUCCGGAUUUUGGAAGGGUAGUUUAGUCAUUUCCUUACCCAAUUAAUUUAAUUUGAUUUUGGUAAUUAGUUGGGGGUCUAAAUUGAACUUGGUCAGUUUACUCUUUAAAAAAAGAGUUACGGUUUUGAGAGAAGGGAAAAGAAGAGUAGAAGAAGAAAGGAUUCGUCGAUUUCUUUGAUAUUUUCGUGUAGAUUUCACCAAGGGUUAAUCCCUACGAACUAUAUGAGAUCACAUAGCAUUUGUUUAGUUUACCCACGCACCAAUCAUGAUCUAAUUCAGCGAAGUUGUAUUGUUUCGAAAGCAAAUCUUAUGAGUUCUUGAUGAUAAUUAGUUUGAAAUCUUGUGGGUUCUUGUUGUUGAAGUUCCUUGAGUUUGAUUCAUGAUUUUAGGUGUGUUUUCGAGUAGAAUCUUACAUAUAUUGAUGGUAUAGUUGAUUCUAAAUGUUUGGGAAAAUAACCAAGUUGAAAUGGGGGUUCAGAGUUGAAAAAUGAAGAAGAAAAGUCGGAGUCACCUAGGCAAGGGCCUGGGGCACCGCCCCAGCCAGAGCUCUCCAAAAGGGGCUCUGAAAUUUGACCUCUGCGACACCGCACCAGUCAGAGCGCCCCAAGUCAGUCCCUGAAAUUCAAGGGCUGGCGCCCCACGCCUCUCACAGCACCAGGGAUGCCACUUCUUCCACCUUUUCCCCUUCAUUCCGUACUAGUUCCUUAGCAACAUACCUAUGUUUUCUAGUCGAUUUCUAUACUCUAAGGUACGUCUAAAAAUCAUGAAAUUAUCCUUAACCAUUAAAUCACGAACCUUGAAUCCAUAAUUCAAUUCAAGGAAAGUUAAGAGGUUAAAAACUAAGUCAAGAGAAGUUCAUAGAGUGUUCCAAAAGUCUUUCUCAAACAUUUUAACUUUGUUUUAACACUUAAUCUUUGAGUUGAGUAAAGAGUAAGAGUAAAAUUUAUUUUCUUCAAAGAUUAUACGGGAACUAAGUAUUCCCAAGAGUUAAAAUGUUUUCACAUUUAAACAACAGAGAAAACACCGAUUUCCAAGAGAACUUUUAAGCUAAGUUUUGAGAAAUUAUCUCAAACUAAAGAAAGAGUUUUGUUUUUAAAACAUAUAAGCUAAGUGUAUUUUGGGAGUAGUAUUGAGCAGCGAUACGGGGAAGCUAGUUCAUAAUAACUCAAGUCUUCAUAAACCAUGUGGCCAUCAUGGGUAGAAAAGAUCUUACUUUUUAGAUGAAUCCUUAGUGCUUUUCAGCAUAGACUAGUGGAUCCACUUAGUUAAGGCGUUUUAUAUGACGGCAAAGUAUAGGACAAUUCUAGCAACGUGGGCAAGACGAUGUAUCACCACUUAGGCUCAUAAAGGUGCUUGUCGGUUAGAGAAACUCCCACAGUAUUAUAUUACUUUAUUAUAUGAGUAAACUGAGUUGCUAUUGUACUUUUUUAAUACAUUGAGUUGUCAUUUACUGUUUUAAAUACUUUGUAUGAACUGCACCUUUAUAGUUGUUUUUACUUUCCAUUUGAGUUUGAGUUAUUCAAUGAGUUGAGUAAAGCCAAGGUAAGUGUUCCUUUCAGAUUCCUUAAGCUUGUGUUAUGUUUAGUUUUCCUUUCGCAUACUCGUACAUUCAAUGUACUGAUGCCAUUCGGCCUACUUCAUUCUAUGAUGCAGACACAGGUAACCAGGAUCAGCACCCAGUGCCUCGUUGAUCGAGUUGAGCACUCAGAGCCAGUUGGUGAGCCUCUUUGAUUUCUGGAGUGCUCCUUUUUCAUUACUUUAGUGUUUUAAUUGUUAGGAUGAUCGGGGGUUUUGUCCCGACAUCCCUCUUUAUUUUAGAGGCUUCAUAGAUGAGUAGUUAUAGUUCUUUAGACUUUCCAAUUUAAGUUGUAUACGUUAAGACGUGUGCUGCCAUUUUGGCUAAGUUAUUAUCUCAUGAAUUAUAUUUUGAGACUGUUUAUUAUGUUUAAGUCUUCCGCUGAGUAAGUAAGCCAGGCCAAGGGUUUGCUUAGGGCUGAUGUUUGCGUAAUCAAGACACAACUUUCAAUGCAAGUGUUUACGAUCGUACAAUAGUAUAAUAAUCCAACUAAGGGUUGGGAUCGUUCCCACAAGGAGUGGUUUUAAGUAUUAGUAGAAAAAUAAAAUUAAGUUCUAAUUAGUCAUAGUAAAAAUAUUAUCGAUUAAAAACAUGCUAAAUCUAAGGAGUGACGCAAGUGUCAAUUAACAAUGGGGUUUUUGUGACGAGUAAAUAAAAACAACAAAAAUGCAAAUAGUACCAAUCAAGGAGUUGGGGUUCUUGGGAUGUGAUAGGAAUACGGGAUAAACUAAACUAUUUGGUACAUGUUUUUGAUAAUAAAUCUGUUGAAUAUUUGUGACUAGGCUAGACCAUAGUGGGGGUAAAUUCUCUCUCGAGCAACUUACCUCGAAUCAAAUGGGUUCCCCUCGGACACCCAAUUGCAGCAUGAAGAACAGCCUCCGCCUUAGCCCACUCACUCUCUCUCGAGCUGAGUGUGUAGGAGAAGGACUAGCGUUCACUCUCUCGAGCUGAACCUCAUGUCGACCCACUCCCACCGAUCAUCAAUUUAGUAGUCUUAGUUUUACGACCUCUCUCUCGAGCAAGCCGAAAACACAAAGGUCAAAUCAUAUUUGCAACUACAAUUUCAUUAAGUUCCACCACAAUUACUAAAUGAAAUCACAUCUAAACAACAAAUAAAUCAUCAACAAGCAAGACCUAACAGCAAAUCUAACCCAUAAUCACAAAAUCACACCCCUAGAAUUAGGGAUUUAGCUACACAUGUAAAAGAGGUAAAAAUGUAUACCAAAUUCAGUUUCCAUCAAUGGGUAUGCAAGAUUAAGUCUUAAAACAAGUCAAAAGUGAAGAAUACUCAAGACCCAAGUCCAAAAUCUUAGAGUUAAAACCCUUUGAAUCUUCAAGUUCUUCAAAACCCUCUCCAAUCUUAGGACUCAAAAGUCUAUGUUAAAAAUUCUAUAAUAAAAUAUCUGAUACUAAGCUACAACUCUCAACGAGUAUUUAUAUUUUUCAAAAAUCUAUGCUGCAGCAGAUCAUUCGGCGAUCCGCCCUUUGGGAGGUUUCAUCGCUGUCUUACUCUAUCCUUCUGCAUCGUCGUGUUUGGAUCAUUGGUAGACAUUGAACGAACCCAAUGUUAUGUAAACUCACAUACCUCGUAGGGAUCACCCCUAGACGAAAUCCACGACCUUAGCUUUAAGAAUUGACGAUUCCUUGCCUUUUCUUUUCUCAAAACCCUAACUCAAAUCUCAAAAGCGUAAACUAACCAACUUCAGUUUAGACCCCAAUUAAUUACCAAAAACGAAAUUAAGUCAUUUAGGUAUGGAAAAGACCAAAAUACCUUUCCAAAAUCCGGAUUGAACUUUGUUGAUCCAAACAGCCCAACUUCCAAUGGGAAUAUAUCACUCAUACGAACUAGGAAUCACGCAAACUUGACAGAGUUGAAAAUAUAAUCUAAAGAUCUUUCCUUCAAUAUCUUGUAGCACACCUAUCUCAUCCUGAUCUAGGAGUUAUGGUCAUUUGAAGUUGACCCAAAACUCAAACUUAACAUAACUUAACCAAUUUUCCAGAUUUUUCAUUCUUUCCAAAAAUGAUUCUUUCCAAAAAUGAUUCUUUCUAAUUCUAGCUCUUUCUAGUUUUUCAAUUAUCGAGAUGUUACAAUAUAUCCCCCUUGGGAACAUUCCUCCUCGAAUGAGAUUACUCUUAGUAGGUUUAGGGUGUAUCAUCUAACAUUCAACUCAACACCUAACAAGCGAAUCUAACACAUCAAGUAUAUAAAUUAAAGAGUACUAGAAGAGAAUUAGUACCUUGAUCUAGAAUUUCUCCGGGCUCAAAGAGAUGUUGAUAUCUCUUUUUCAUAUCUUCCUCAGCUUUCCAAAUAGCUUCUUCAACAAACUGAUUCCUCCAAAGGACUUUGACUGAUGCUACUUCCUUAGUCCUCAACUUGCGAACCUAGCGAUCUAGAAUCUAAACCGGAAUCUUGUCUUAGGAUAAGCUAUCCUUAAUACCAAUAUCUCCCAUUGGUAUGACAAGUGAAGGAUCUCCCAUGCACUUCUUCAAUAUGGAAAUAUGAAAUACCUGAUGAACCGUUGCUAACUCUUGGGAUAGCUCUAACUCAUAAGCUACAUUACCAACCUUUUGGAUAUUCUGUAAAGGCCAAUAUACCAAGGACUAAGCUUCCCCUUCUUACCAAACCUCUUAAAACCCUUGAUGGGUGAAACUUUCAAGUAUACCCAAUCAUCUACCUCAAACUCUAACUCCAUUCUCCUAACAUCAGUGUAGUAUUUCUGACGACUCUGUGUUGUUUUCAAUCUUUCUUGAUAUAACACCUCGCUAAUUGAAAGAAUAGAAAGAGCUAGAAUUGGAAAUAGUCAUUUUUGGAAAGAAUGAAAACUUUGGAAAAUUGGUUAAGUUAAGAAUGAGUUUUGGGUCAACUUUAAACGACCAUAACUCCUAUGUCAGAAUGACUUAGGUGUUCUUCCAGAUACCAAAGGAAAUAUCUUGGAUUUAUCUUUCCAACGCCACUGAGUUUGCAUGAUUCCGAGUUUGUAUGAUUGAGAUAUUCCCAUUUGAAGUUGGGUUGCUCAUAUAAGGAAAGUCUAAUCCGGAUUUUGGAAGGGUAGUUUAGUCUUUUCCUUACCCAAUUAAUUUAAUUUGAUUUUUGGUAAUUAGUUGGGGGUCUAAAUUGAACUUGGUCAGUUUAAUUUUUAAAAAAAGAGUUACGGUUUUGAGAGAAGGGAAAAGAAGAGUAGAAGAAGCAAGGAUUCGUCGAUUUCUUUGAUAUUUUCGUGUAGAUUUCAACAAGGGUUAAUCCCUACGAAGUAUGUGAGAUCACAUAGCAUUUGUUUAGUUUACCCACGCACCAAUCAUGAUCUAAUUCAGCGAAGUUGUAUUGUUUCGAAAGCAAAUCUUAUAAGUUCUUGAAGAUAAUUUGUUUGAAAUCUUGUGGGUUCUUGUUGUUGAAGUUCCUUGAGUUUGAUUCAUGAUUUUAGGUGUGUUUUCGAGUAGAAUCUUACAUAUAUUGAUGGUAUAGUUGAUUCUAAGUGUUUGGGGGAAANNNNNNNAUAGGGGGUUCAGAGUUGAAAAAUGAAGAAGAAAAGUCAGAGUCACCUGGGCAAGGGCCUGGGGCACCGCCCCAGCCAGAGCUCUCCAAAAGGGGCUCUAAAAUUUAAACUCUGCGGCACCACACCAGUCAGAGCGCCCCAAGUCAGUCCCAGAAAUUCAAGGGUUGGCGCCCCACGCCUCUCACAGCGCCAGGGAUGCCACUUCUUCCACCUUUUCCCUUUCUUUCCGUACUAGUUCCUUAGCAACAUACCUGUCUUUUCUAGUCGAUUUCUAUAAUCUAAGGUACGUCUAAACAUCAUUAAAUCAUCCUUAAAAAUUAAAUCACGAACGUUGAAUCCAUAAUUCAAUUCAAGGAAAGUUAAGAGGUUAAAAAUUAAAGUCAAGAGAAGUUCAUAGAGUGUUCCAAAAGUCUUUCACAAACAUUUUAACUUUGUUUUAAGUACUUAAUCUUUGAGUUGAGUAAAGAGUAAGAGUAAAAUUUAUUUUCUUCAAAGAUUAUACGGGAACUAAGUAUUCCCAAGAGUUAAAAUGUUUUCACAUUUAAGAAAGAGAGAAAACACCGAUUUCCAAGAGAACUUUUAAGCUAAGUUUUGAGAAAUUAUCUCAAACCAAAGAAAGAGUGUUGUUUUAAAACAUAUGAGCUAAGUAUAUUUUGGGAGUAGUAUUGAGCACCGAUACGGGGAAGCUAGUUCAUAAUAACUCAAGUCUUCAUAAACCAUGUGGCCAUCAUGGUAGAAAUAUCAUACUUUUAGAUGAAUCCUUAGUGCUUUUUUGCAUAGCAUAGUGAAUCCACUUAGUUAAGGCGUUUUAUAUGACGGCAAAGUAUAGGACAAUUCUAGCAGCGUCGGCAAGACGAUGUAUCACCACUUAGGCUCAUAAAGGUGCUUGUUGGUUAAAGAAACUCACACAGUAUUAUAUUACUUUAUUAUAUGAGUAAACUGAGCUGUUAUUGUACUUCUUUAAUACAUUGAGUUGUCAUUUACUGUUUUAAAUACUUUGUAUGAACUGCACCUUUAUAGUUGUUUUUACUUUCCAUUUGAGUUGAGUUAUUCAUGAGUUGAGUAAAGCCAAGGUAAGUGUUCCUUUCAGAUUCCUUAAGCUUGUGUUAUGUUUAGUUUUCCUCUCGCAUACUCGUACAUUCAAUGUACUGAUGCCAUUCGGCCUACUUCAUUCUAUGAUGCAGAUACAUGUAACCAGGAUCAGCACCCAGUGCCUCGUUGAUCGAGUUGAGCACUCAGAGUCAGUUGGUAAGCCUCUUUGAUUUCUGGAGUGCUCCUUUUUCAUUGCUUUAGUGUUUUAAUUGUUAGGAUGAUCGGGGGUCUUGUCCCGACAUCCCUUUUUAUUUUAGUGGCUUCAUAGAUGAGUAGUUAUAGUUCUUUAGACUUUCCAUUUUAAGUUGUAUACGUUAAGACGUGUGUUGCCAUUUUGGCAAGUUAUUAUCUCAGGAAUUAUAUUUUGAGACUGUUUCUUAUGUUUAAGUCUUCCGCUGAGUAAGUAAGCCAGGCCAAGGGUUUGCUUAGGGCUGAUGUUUGCGUAAUCAAGACACAACUUCCAAUGCAAGUGUUUAAGAUCGUACAAUAGUAUAAUAAUCCAACUAAGGGUUGGGAUCGUUCCCACAGGGAGUGGUUUUUAGAAUUAGUAGAAAAAUAAAAUUAAGUUCUAAUUAGUCAUAGUUAAAAUAUUAUCGAUUAAAAACAUGCUAAAUCUAAGGAGUGACGCAGGUGUCAAUUAACAAUGGGGUCUUUGUUACUAGUAAGUAAAAACAACAAAAAUGCAAAGAGUACUAAUCAAGGAGUUGGGGUUCUUGGGAUGUGAUAGGAAUACGGGAUAAACUAAACUAUUGGGUACAUGUUUUUGAUAAUAAAUCUGUUGAAUAUUUGUGACUAGGCUAGACCAUAGUGAGGGUAAAUUCUCUCUCGAGCAACUUACCUCGAAUCAAAUGGGUUCCUCUCGGACACCCACUUGCAGCAUGAAGAACAGCCUCCGCCUUAGCCCACUCACUCUCUCUCGAGCUGAGUGUGUAGGAGAAGGACUAGCGUUCACUCUCUCGAGCUGAACCUCAUAUCGACCCACUCCCACCGAUCAUCAAUUUAGUAGUCUUAGUUUUACGACCUCUCUCUCGAGCAAGCCGAAAAAACAAAGGUCAAAUCAUAUUUGCACUUACAAUUUCAUUAAGUUCCAACAUGUAAAAGAGGUAAAAAUGUAUACCAAAUUCAGUUUCCAUCAAUGGGUAUGCAAGAUUAAGUCUUAAAACAAGUCAAAAGUGAAGAAUACUCAAGACCCAAGUCCAAAAUCUUGGAGUUAAAACCCUUUGAAUCUUCAAGUUCUUCAGAACCCUCUCCAAUCUUAUGACUCAAAAGUCUAUGUUAAAAAUUCUAUAAUAAAAUAUCUGAUACUAAGCUACAACUCUCAACGAGUAUUUAUAUUUUUCAAAAAUCUAUGUUGCAGCAGAUCAUUUGGGGAUCCGCCCUUUGGGAGGUUUCAUCGCUGUCUUACUCUAUCCUUCAGCAUCGUCGUGUUUGGAUCAUUGGUCGACGUAGUACAGCUUUGCGAAACUGCUCGGUUAUACUCUAUCCUUCAGCAUCGUCGUGUUUGGAUCAUUGGUUGACAUUGAACGAUCCCAAUGUUAUGUGAACUCACAUACCUCGUAGGGAUCACCCCUAGACGAAAUCCACGACCUUAGCUUUAAGAAUUGACGAUUCCUUGCCUUUUCUUUUCUCAAAACCCUAACGCAAAUCUCAAAAGCGUAAACGAACCAACUUCAGUUUAGACCCCAAUUAAUUUCCAAUAACGAAAUUAAGUCAUUUGGGUAUGGAAAAGACCAAAAUACCUUUCCAAAAUCCGGAUUGAACUUUGUUGAUCCAAACAACCCAACUUCCAAUGGGCAUAUCUCACUCAUACGAACUAGGAAUCACGCAAACUCGACAGAGUUGAAAAUAUAAUUUAAAGAUCUUUCCUUCAGUAUCUUGUAGCACACCUAACUCAUCCUGAUCUAAGAGUUAUGGUCAUUUGAAGUUGACCCAAAACUCAAACUUAACAUAACUUAACCAAUUUUCCAGAUUUUUCAUUCUUUCCAAAAAUGAUUCUUUCUAAUUCUAGCUCUUUCUAGUUUUUCAAUUAUCGAGAUGUUACAAUAUAUCCCCCUUGGGAACAUUCCUCCUCGAAUGAGAUUACUCUUAGUAGGUUUAGGGUGUAUCAUCUAACAUUCAACUCAACACCUAACAAGCGAAUCUAACACAUCAAGUAUAUAAAUUAAAGAGUACUAAGAAGAGAAUUAAUACCUUGAUCUAGAAUUUCUCCGGGCUCAAAGAGAUGUUUCUAUCUCUUUUUCAUAUCUUCCUCAGCUUUCCAAAUAGCUUCUUCAACAAUCUGAUUCCUCCAAAGGACUUUGACUGAUGCUACUUCCUUAGUCCUCAACUUGUGAACCUAGCGAUCUAGAAUUUAAACCGGAAUCUUGUCUUAGGAUAAGCUAUCCUUAAUACCAAUAUCUCCCAUUGGUAUGACAAGUGAAGGAUCUCACAUGCACUUCUUCAAUAUGGAAAUAUGAAAUACCUGAUGAACCGUUGCUAACUCUUGGGAUAGCUCUAACUCAUAAGCUAUAUUACCAACCUUUUGGAUAUUCUGUAAAGGCCAAUAUACCAAGGAAUAAGCUUCCCCUUCUUACCAAACCUCUUAAAACCCUUGAUGGGUGAAACUUUCAUGUAUACCCAAUCAUCUACCUCAAACUCUAACUCCAUUCUCCUAACAUCAGUGUAGGAUUUCUGACGACUCUGUGUUGUUUUCAAUAUUUCUUGAUAUAACACCUCGCUAAUUGAAAGAAUAGAAAGAGCUAGAAUUGGAAAUAGAAUUGAAAGAUAGUAUAUCAAACACAAUUUUUGAACAGAACAACCCACAUACAAACAAAACACGAACCUCAAUAGCACACAAAGGUGGGCCUCACCCCACCACAAAUAAAAACAUUUUUCCUCAAAUGCCAAUAACAAAAUAUCCUGAAUGUAAAAUAAAGUAAGACAUAGAUGGAGGUAAAUAAGGAUCAUGUCUACACAGUCGCUCCAUCUAUCAGGGCAUCAGUGCCCGGUACCUUUCCCUGAGCCUGGGCAUCAGUACCUGGAGUCACCUUAGGAGUAGUAGUAGUUGCACUAGGGUUCGCUACAGGAAAAUCUGCCAAGGAGGCUUGUAUAGCAACAUCUAUCAUAGCCUUCUCAGCCUCAUCGAAGCCCUCAGAUGAAGUCUCCUCAGCAACGCCAUGCAUCUCCUCAUCUGUCUCUUCCUCAGACUCGUGCUCAGCUGGCUCUACUGGGUCAUCGGGGAUUUCCACCGUCCCAAAGACCAUAGACAUAUCAGUGGACUUCAGCUGGUCCACAUCUUUCCUCAGCUCAGCAACAGCGGCUUGUAAAGCAGUCACUUCCUUAGUAGAUCCUUGGUCACACUCACACACCGCUAUCCUAGCCUCAAGGGUGUUAAUAGUAGUGCUGAGGGGUGUCACCGCGUCUACCAGAGCAGUCUGAAUCAUGCCUGGAACUAAGGCUUCAAGUCUAGACGCACGGCGAUCAGCAGAGUGGGCAAGCUGCCCCAUCCAAAGUAGUGACUCCUGGGUGAGUGGAGGUGGAGACAGCAGCAGAAAUUCUAGGAAGCAGUGCAGCAACAGAAGAACCUGGAGUAUCAGAAAAUGUAGCAAUAGGGAUACCUGAAGGCUUAGAGGCCGAAGUAGGCAAAGAUACCUCUGCAGAUGAUCACUUUGUGUCCACCGGGGUUGCCUUCUUCUUUUCCUCAUGAUCCUUAAAGUACUCAGCUUCGAUCCUCUGGAUAUCAGUGGAGGAUGUGGGAAUCACUUCCACAUAUUUCUUUACAUCUCUUGGUACUCAAGCCCGUUCGCAUAGCUCGGUGAUCAAUACCAGGAAGGGAAGAGAGGUCUGGCGCUGCUUCGCACACAUGAGAAUCUCUGAAGAAAUGAUCAUCCCAGAUCUAGUCUCAUCCCAUCAAUGAUGCAACCCAGACAAGCUGCUUUGGCAUGGUGGAGUAUGGACACAUUCUGAGAUGGCAUAAUGGUACUGCUGAUAAAGCCAAACCAGAAUCGUGCAGCAAUGUUCAGAUCCUUCUUCUCAAUAGGUGCUCCAAAAUCAAGUCACUUUGGAGCACCGUCUGCUAUAAGCGGGGCCAACCACUUCUUCAUGUUAUCCAGAGUCUUUUUUCUAAUCAUGUGUUGACAGUUGUCUUCAAUGUCAUUUGAACACUCCAGAACUGCAUUGAUUGCAUCAGCAUCACACUUCACUCUUUUACCUCUAACGACCAUGAAGUCAACUGGUUUAAAAGCAGCUGCCUACUUCUUCCUCUGUGGUAUCAAGGUUCCAUAAGAGGCAUAGAACUCCCUGGCCCAAUUUGGAAUAUACAGGACACGUGGUUUGGUGAAGAUCUGGAACUUGUGAGAUUUCAAGCAAUCCAUUAUCUCUGGGUGCCUGUCCAUAACCCCAUCUGUGGACAGACACUUUUCUUCAAGGAUUGUCCUCAACCCAUCUGUGGACAGACAAUUAUGUAUGUUGGUGCCUUGCCUUUUCCUUUUCCCUUCCCACUAGUUGUGAAAGGUUUUGUAGCUUUUCCUUUGGAUACAACUGCACCUUCAUUGAUUUUAAACCCUUUUGCCUUAUUGCAGAGUGGUAUAUUUCUACCUACAACUUUGGGUCUAGCCAUGUCUGCAAUAUAUCGGUAAAAACUUAGAAACAAUUCAUUCAUAAGCGCAGAUAAUCAGUAGCAAAUAGGUUCGCCGAACAGGUCGGCAAAUUGUCGACUACUUUCAGCGAGCAAGGGGAGUCCACCGAAAAUUACAGUGCAACAAGUAUUUUAGGAGUGUAGACAAAUGGCUAUCGAAAAUACUUUCGGCGAGUCGCCGAGUUUUUUUGGCGACCUCAGGCUUCUUGCCGAAAGUUACAGAAACCAACAACAUAAGUAGCAUGAAAUUAAAGGCAAGAUGGGGACAUUAGGCAAACCACUGAGUGGUUCGGCGAGCUCAACAAAUGGCCUAACGUGCCGAUUUUCAACCCAACUUCUCGAAUUCAGCCCUGCAAAUCCCCGAAAAUACAAUUGACACUUGCAAUAGUGAAAUUAAACUAAGACCCAUAACUCCCAUCAUCCCGGGAUACUCAGACGUCUUUCAAUUCUGCCAAACUAGAUAACACGCACGUACAACCACAUGAUUUGACUCAUUUCAACGCACAAACAUACAUAAUUUUGAAAAUCAAGAUACAACAGGUAAGAUUCUAGAUUUAAGAUAUGCAUUCGAAUAUUCUAAUCCUACAAAAUAGGUCCAGCACACGACAACAGGAUAUGAGUAUUGCAAAUGAGUAAAAGAUUCUUAAAAAUAAACUAAGGGUUGGGAAACUAACCUUAGUUAUCGAUUAAUACUAAUUGAAAUGCUAGGCAGCAAAGUAAUCCAACUCUGAGCACAAACCGUCGACUAAAAUACUCAGCAAGAUGCGGAACUAUAAAUGCAUUUUGUAAGGUUAGAAAGUGAGGAAAAAUGAAAUUUCAAACCUUUUGACCCGAUAUACCAUCCGAUUUGUGCUCAUUCGGCGAUAUUAGUCAUGUUCGCUUACAUACUUGGCGACACGCCCAUUGGUUAUUUACCUCACCGAGUUUUACAAGACCUUCACUAAAUGUGACGAUCCAAAUGACAGUCUGUAUCGAGAUCGCCAACCUGGUUGGCGGUUCACCAAAUUUCUCAUUGGCUCUCCGAGUUUACAAUCCCAAAUUACUAUGAUUUUAAGCUAAACGGCGGAUUCAAUCGGGCAUGCCGACCCCUCUAGCGAUGUGCCGACUAGGUCAUUCUUUCGCCCAUCUGCACUUUUCAAAUGCUUUCCCACUUAAACCUACACAAUCAACACACCAUCAUUUAUAAACUCAAAAUAAGAACAAGGAUUUUGGGUUGCCUCCCAAACAAUGCCUUAGUUAAUGUCGUGGCACGACGCAAGUCAGCACUCAAACUCCAUUUUUGGGGUUAGCCGUAAUAUCACUAGGCAACCCCCUAUUUUGUUGCGAGUGGAGAUCGGGCAACACAUAACCUAUGAGGUUCUCGAGCAGCUGGACAACUAUGGAAUGAGACCAAAUCAUCCGCUUGAUUCCUUCAAUGUCUUCCUUCAUUCCUUCCAGCUCUCUAUCUUGCUCAGUCACCUUGUGGAGAAUGAUUAAUAGCAUUCCCUCAAGGUGUUUAACCUCAUUGUCCUUGAGACUUCUUUGCUCAUGAGGCGGGAUGUAUUUAUCCUUCCUCUUAUACUAGACUUCGAUCUUCACCAUCUUUUUGGACAACUCAUCUAUCUGAGUUAUUAGGGAGGCCAACAUGAAGUCAUUUUCUACUUCUUGGUUCAUUUCAGCUAUUUGAUUAAGCAGUUGAGUUUCUAUCACAUAUGGUUGUUUUGCAAUGCCUCCCGGAAUGAGUUGGUCGACCAACCUCUUGUUUCCAGGACCAAGACUUCUAUAGUAACAAUCAAGGAGAGCUAUGUCGGGAAUGUCAUGAUUUGGGCAUUGAUUGACCAGUUCAUUAAACCUUGCCCAUGACUUGUUGAUCCGUUCACCUUCCAAUUGCUUGAAGGUAAGGAUACGAUCCCGGAACCUCAUUACCUCUAAUGGAGGGAACUCCAUUAUCUCCUGAGUAUUGUUCACCAUACUCAUUUCCUCUGUUUCAACACAAAAAGGAAAAAAAAAACUAAAAAUAAAGUAAAUGAACUACAACUAAGAAGAACAAAAAUUCUACUAAUCUAAGAAUUCUUAAAUAACACCACUCCCCGGCAGUUGCGCCAUUUUGAUAUUUGCGUAAUCAAAACGCAACUUCAAAUGCAAGCGUCUACGAUCGUACAAUAGUAUAAUAACCCAACCAAGGGUUGGGAUCGUUCCCACAGGGAGUCAAGACAGGAGCUAUAGUCCACCUAGUUUUUAAUUCUGCAAAGCUUUUCUCACAAUCAUCUGACCACUGAAACUUAACCUUUUUCUGAGUCAACCUAGUCAAUGGUGAGGCUAUGGAUGAAAAUCCUUCCACGAACCUUCUGUAAUAACCUGCUAAACCCAAGAAACUUCUGAUAUUUGUACCAAAGGUAGGUCUGGGCCAUUCUUUCACUGCUUCUAUCUUCUGGGAAUCUACUCGAAUUCCUUCACUAGACACAAUAUGCCCAAGGAAGGAAACUCAUUGUAACCAAAACUCACACUUCCUAAAUUUUGCAAAUAACUGGCGAUCUUUGAGAGUUUGCAGAACAACUCUCAAAUGACUCGCAUGUUCUUCAUCAUUCCUAGAGUAAAUGAGGAUGUCAUCAAUAAAGACGAUAACGAACAAGUCCAAGUACUGCUUGAACACUCUGUUCAUCAAAUCCAUGAAAGCUGCAGGAGCAUUGGUUAGUCCAAAUGACAUAACUACAAAUUCGUAAUGACCAUACCGAGUUNNNNNNNNNNNNNNNNNNNNNNNNNNNNNNNNNNNNNNNNNNNNNNNNNNNNNNNNNNNNNNNNNNNNNNNNNNNNNNNNNNNNNNNNNNNNNNNNNNNNNNNNNNNNNNNNNNNNNNNNNNNNNNNNNNNNNNNNNNNNNNNNNNNNNNNNNNNNNNNNNNNNNNNNNNNNNACCCUAUGGCGAAAUACUAGGUCUGAUGAAGCCCUUAUCUAGAAGGUCUUUCAACUGCUUUUUUAAUUCCUUAAGAUCAGUUGGACCCAUUCUAUAAGGAGGAAUAGAGAUAGGCUGGCUAUCUGGAAGAAGAUAAAUUCCAAAGUCGAUUUCCCUUUCGGGAGGAACUCCGGGAAGAUCAUCUGGAAACACUUCUGGAAACUCAUUGACUACAGGGACUGACUCAAGAGUUGGGGAUUCGGAGCUAGAAUCCUUAACCCGAACUAGAUGAUAGAGAUAACCCUUAAAGAUCAAUUUUCUAGCCUUAACGUAAGAAAUGAAUCGACCUAUAAGCGCUAAGCUACUACCCUUUCAUUCUAGGAUUGGUUCAUCUGGAAACUAAAUCGAACAAUCCUAGUUGUACAAUCGACUGAGGCAUAACAGGAAUGUAACCAAUCCAUGACUAGAAUGACAUCGAAGUCUACCAUUUCUAACUCUACAAAAUCUGCUGAGGUGACUUUNNNNNNNNNNNNNNNNNNNNNNNNNNNNNNNNNNNNNNNNNNNNNNNNNNNNNNNNNNNNNNNNNNNNNNNNNNNNNNNNNNNNNNNNNNNNNNNNNNNNNNNNNNNNNNNNNNNNNNNNNNNNNNNNNNNNNNNNNNNNNNNNNNNNNNNNNNNNNNNNNNNNNNNNNNNNNNNNNNNNNNNNNNNNNNNNNNNNNNNNNNNNNNNNNNNNNNNNNNNNNNNNNNNNNNNNNNNNNNNNNNNNNNNNNNNNNNNNNNNNNNNNNNNNNNNNNNNNNNNNNNNNNNNNNNNNNNNNNNNNNNNNNNNNNNNNNNNNNNNNNNNNNNNNNNNNNNNNNNNNNNNNNNNNNNNNNNNNNNNNNNNNNNNNNNNNNNNNNNNNNNNNNNNNNNNNNNNNNNNNNNNNNNNNNNNNNNNNNNNNNNNNNNNNNNNNNNNNNNNNNNNNNNNNNNNNNNNNNNNNNNNNNNNNNNNNNNNNNNNNNNNNNNNNNNNNNNNNNNNNNNNNNNNNNNNNNNNNNNNNNNNNNNNNNNNNNNNNNNNNNNNNNNNNNNNNNNNNNNNNNNNNNNNNNNNNNNNNNNNNNNNNNNNNNNNNNNNNNNNNNNNNNNNNNNNNNNNNNNNNNNNNNNNNNNNNNNNNNNNNNNNNNNNNNNNNNNNNNNNNNNNNNNNNNNNNNNNNNNNNNNNNNNNNNNNNNNNNNNNNNNNNNNNNNNNNNNNNNNNNNNNNNNNNNNNNNNNNNNNNNNNNNNNNNNNNNNNNNNNNNNNNNNNNNNNNNNNNNNNNNNNNNNNNNNNNNNNNNNNNNNNNNNNNNNNNNNNNNNNNNNNNNNNNNNNNNNNNNNNNNNNNNNNNNNNNNNNNNNNNNNNNNNNNNNNNNNNNNNNNNNNNNNNNNNNNNNNNNNNNNNNNNNNNNNNNNNNNNNNNNNNNNNNNNNNNNNNNNNNNNNNNNNNNNNNNNNNNNNNNNNNNNNNNNNNNNNNNNNNNNNNNNNNNNNNNNNNNNNNNNNNNNNNNNNNNNNNNNNNNNNNNNNNNNNNNNNNNNNNNNNNNNNNNNNNNNNNNNNNNNNNNNNNNNNNNNNNNNNNNNNNNNNNNNNNNNNNNNNNNNNNNNNNNNNNNNNNNNNNNNNNNNNNNNNNNNNNNNNNNNNNNNNNNNNNNNNNNNNNNNNNNNNNNNNNNNNNNNNNNNNNNNNNNNNNNNNNNNNNUGGGUAUCUGGAAGGAGAUCUAUUCCAAAGUCUAUUUCCCUUUCGGGAGGAACUCCAGGAAGAUCUUCUGGGAACACUUCUGGAAACUCAUUGACUACAGGGACUGACUCAAGAGUUGGGGAUUCGGAACUAGAAUCCUUAACCCGAACUAGAUGAUAGAGAUAACCCUUAGAGAUCAUCUUUCUGGCCUUAAGGUAAGAAAUGAAUCGACCCAUAGGCGCUAAGCUACUACCCUUCCAUUCCAAGAUUGGUUCGCUUGGAAACUGAAAACGAACAAUCCUAGUUCUACAAUCAACUGAGGCAUAACAGGAAUGUAGCCAAUCCAUGCCUAGAAUGACAUCGAAGUCUACCAUUUCUAACUCUACAAGAUCUGCUGAGGUGACUUUCUGAGAGACUGUGACAGGGCAAUUUCUGUAUACCCGUCUAGCUAUAACUGGGUCACCGACUGGAGUAGAGACUGAGAAGGGUUCUGAAAGAGUUUCUGGGCUAACACUGAACUGGACUGCUAUAUAAGGAGUUACAAAAGACAAAGUAGCCCCUGGCUCUAACAAUGCAUAAACAUCAAGAUCAAAGACUCGUAACGUACCAGUGACUACAUCAGGAGAAUCUUCCUGAUCUUGACGAGCCUGAAGAGCAUAGAGCCUGUUUUGGCGCUGUCCGCCACCAGUACCAGAAGAGUUACCCUGCUGAGUCGGGCGACCUGUUGGUGCUGCUGAAGUUGUAGACUGAGCUCUACCAUUAUUUCCUCCUUGACCUUGUCUUGAAGGACAAUCCUUCAAUUUAUGACCAGACUGACCACACCCAAAGCAUCCUUCCUUACAUACAAGGCACUCACCUGGAUGGUUCUUACUAUAUUUUGGGCAAGUUGGGUAGGUUUUGGUACCUGAAACACUACCUUGUGACUUAGAGCCUGAUGCCCUAUCUUUCUGAUCAUUACGGAACCUGGUGGAUGGAACACUAGCUGAUGAAGGGGCUGGAGUCAAAGACUUCUGCUGAAAAUGCGAGCGAUAUCCACCACCCGAUUUCUGUUAGGAAUACUCGUAGUUACCUGUUCUUGCUUUCUUAGUCUACUUAGCCUGUUCCCUAAGCUUAUCACCCUCAACCAGCUAAGCAUGAGUCAUAAGCCUAGAGAUGUUCAUGUCUCCCCAACAACAUAGCAUUCCUGCACUCGGUCUUCACUAAGUCUGACACUCCAUAGAGAAACUUAUUCAUCUGAGCCCUGGAAUCAGCAACCAUGUGAGGAGCAUACCUAGAGAGUUGGUUAAACAUGAGCCCAUACUCUUGGACAGUCAUGUUACCCUGCCUCAAAGUUUAUAAAUUCCUGGGCCCUUGCUUCUCUUAACUCUAUGGGGAAAAACCUAUCCAGAAAGGUUUCGCUGAAACAAUCACAAGUAAUAGGAGCGGCAUCUAUACCCCUAUUCUCCUUCCACUGUGUAUACCAGUUAUUAGUAACAUCUUUCAGUUGGUAAGAUGCUAACUCAACCCGAUCAUUCCUAGUGACCUGCAUCACUUCAAAGAUCUUCUUGAUCUCAUCCAAGAAAUUCUGGGGAUCUUCACUAGCCUGCGAUCCUAACAACUCAGACGGAUUCAUCCUAACAAAGAUCACGGACCCUUGCUGCUGCUAAUCCACCAUUUGCAUUCACAUGAGCUUGAACCUACUGAUUGUUCUGGCUAGCGACACUCUGAGCCAACAUCUGAAUGGCAUUCCAAUUAAGCAAACUCGGUGGCGUUGGAAAGAUAAUUCAAUAUCCAUCAUAUCAUAGGUCAUGGGACACACAAUUCAUUUUGUGCUAAAAGUUAUGACCANNNNNNNNNNNNNNNNNNNNNNNNNNNNNNNNNNNNNNNNNNNNNNNNNNNNNNNNNNNNNNNNNNNNNNNNNNNNNNNNNNNNNNNNNNNNNNNNNNNNNNNNNNNNNNNNNNNNNNNNNNNNNNNNNNNNNNNNNNNNNNNNNNNNNNNNNNNNNNNNNNNNNNNNNNNNNNNNNNNNNNNNNNNNNNNNNNNNNNNNNNNNNNNNNNNNNNNNNNNNNNNNNNNNNNNNNNNNNNNNNNNNNNNNNNNNNNNNUUUUCUGAGCUUGGCUGGGGAGGGGUUGCAGUAGUGAACCGCGGACCACCAUUGAUCAUGAGCAUACUAAAGAUAAUAAACUGAUGCGGAAGCUAAAUCAUCAAUAAAUCUGAAAAAUGGGGAAUACUCAUAUACUACAGCUGAAUAUAUCAAAUCUGAGAGUUUAAUACANNNNNNNNNNNNNNNNNNNNNNNNNNNNNNNNNNNNNNNNNNNNNNNNNNNNNNNNNNNNNNNNNNNNNNNNNNNNNNNNNNNNNNNNNNNNNNNNNNNNNNNNNNNNNNNNNNNNNNNNNNNNNNNNNNNNNNNNNNNNNNNNNNNNNNNNNNNNNNNNNNNNNNNNNNNNNNNNNNNNNNNNNNNNNNNNNNNNNNNNNNNNNNNNNNNNNNNNNNNNNNNNNNNNNNNNNNNNAUGAGGAACUAUUACCUCAAGCUGGAAUGGAAUCGAAAGGAAAGAGGUGAGGAUACUUGGCAUUCAUGGCCGCUUCUGCUUCCCAAGUAGCUCCCUCUACGGACUGACUCCUCCACAAAACUUUGACUGAAGCGACUUCUUUGUUUCUCAACCUUCUGACCUGACGAUCAAGAAUCGCAACUGGUACAUCCUCAUAAGAAAGGCUAUCUUUCAUGACCACACUAUCUAAUGGCACUAUGGAUGCUGGAUCACCCACACACUUCUUCAAAAGAGAAAUGUGAAAGACUGAAUGCACCGUUGCUAAGUGUGCUAGCAACUCUAACUCAUAAGCCACUUUACCAAUCCUUUUCAAAAUUCGGUAAGGGCCUACAUAUCUGCGACUGAGCUUCCCUUUCUUGCCAAAUCUCAUCACCCCCUUCAUAGGUGACACUUUCAGGAAAACCCAAUCAUCAACUUGGAACUCUAAUUCCCUCUUCUCACAUCUGCAUAAGAUUUCUGGCGACUCUGGGCAGUCUUAANNNNNNNNNNNNNNNNNNNNNNNNNNNNNNNNNNNNNNNNNNNNNNNNNNNNNNNNNNNNNNNNNNNNNNNNNNNNNNNNNNNNNNNNNNNNNNNNNNNNNNNNNNNNNNNNNNNNNNNNNNNNAAUUCUAGAAACCCUAGGUCUGUUCAUAAUCAUGGAAUCAAGAAUCUGACUGAAUUCUAGGGACCUAAUGGGCGAAAGGAACCCACUAGUGAAAUCCCACAUACCUGGUGACGAAUUCCACGGAGAAAUCUUUCGAUUUCGGGGCUGGAACUGAUGGAACCUUGUUGCGUUCUUGAACUAGGGUUCUUGACCUCUUUUCUCCUCUUAGCGUUCUAAUUCUUCUAAGUUUGAUUAAUGAUUUGACUUAGGUAAGUUCUAGUUAUGUUUCUAGGCUUAAACUGAUUAAAACCUUAUGAUUUAGGGUUUAAACGACGUAUCUUAGGGGUUAAACGAAAUAGAAAAAGACCAAAAAACCCUUGAAUUAACUGCUGUCGGAGUGAUCGACGGAUUGGUCCUGCGGUCCGUCAAUCAAUCAACGGUCUAUCGAUUGGGUCCGUAGGUCGAGUCUGCCCGACACGGCUUCACUAAAAUGAGCAUAAUUUUUUAUUCGGAGGUCGGAAUUAAGCAAACUCGGUGGCGUUGGAAAGAUAAUUCAAUAUCCAUCAUAUCAUAGGUCAUGGGACACACAAUUCAUUUUGUGCUAAAAGUUAUGACCAUCUGAAGUUGACCCAUCAAUUAUUUUUAGCUAAUUGGCUGUUGACCCUAGUUUCAUACCAUUCCACUAAUAAACUUCCCACAGAUCGUGGUACAUCUUAGUGGCGCCUGGAUGGAUAGAAUAUCUGGAAUUGUGGGCUUCUGUGAGAAUAUGCUGUCUCAAUUCACCCACAUCAGGAACACACAAUCUACCUUGAUAGCGAAGUACACCAUCUCCCCCUUGGGAGAAAACCUCCACUCUCUGAUUGUUGACUGCACCCUUAAGCUCAAGCAAGAUUGGUUCACUGUCUUGCUUUUCCUUAACCUCUACUACCAAAGAAGAUUCUGCCCCCAUUCUGAACCGUUACACCACCAUCUGAUAUGCUCAUAAGACGAACUCCUAGGCGAGCAAGUUUGUGAACAUCCUUUGCUAGCUCUCUUCUUUCUUCCUCAACAUGUGCUACACUACCCAUGGAUAAUCUGGUAAGAGCAUCUACUACUACAUUCGCCUUACCCGGAUGGUAAUGCACGCUCAUAUCAUAAUCUUUGAGAAACUCAAGCCACCUUCUCUGGCGAAGAUUCAAUUCUUUCUGGGUGAAUACAUACUGGAGGCUUUUAUGGUCUGUGAACACAUCUACAUGAACACCAUACAACUAGUGUCUCCAAAUCUUAAGUGCAAACACCACUGCUGCAAGCUCGAGGUCAUGAGUCGGAUAAUUCUUCUCAUGCACCUUAAGCUGUCUAGAAGCAUAAGCUAUAACCUUACCUCGCUGCAUCAAUACACAACCUAGGCCGACCCUAGAGGCAUCACAAUAGAUCACAUAACCAUCUAAACCCUCUGGUAGAGUCAAGACAGGAGCUGUAGUCAACCUAGUUUUUAAUUCUGCAAAGCUUUUCUCACAAUCAUCUGACCACUGAAACUUAACCUUUUUCUGAGUCAACCUAGUCAAUGGUGAGGCUAUGGAUGAAAAUCCUUCCACGAACCUUCUGUAACAACCUGCUAAACCCAAGAAACUUCUGAUAUUUGUACCAAAGGUAGGUCUGGGCCAUUCUUUCACUGCUUCUAUCUUCUGGGAAUCUACUCGAAUUCCUUCACUAGACACAAUAUGCCUAAGGAAGGCAACUGAUUGUAACCAAAACUCACACUUCCUAAAUUUUGCAAAUAACUGGCGAUCUUUGAGAGUUUGCAGAACAACUCUCAAAUGACUCACAUAUUCUUCAUUAUUCCUAGAGUAAAUGAGGAUGUCAUCAAUAAAGACGAUAACGAACAAGUCCAAGUACUGCUUGAACACUCUGUUCAUCAAAUCCAUGAAAGAUGCAGGAGCAUUGGUUAGUCCAAAUGACAUAACUACAAAUUCAUAAUGACCAUACCGAGUUCUGAAGGUUGUCUUCGGAAUGUCACUAUCUCUGACUCUAACCUGAUGAUAACCUGAUCUGAGGUCUAUCUUUGAGAAAUGACUAGCACCCUGAAGUUGGUCGAACAAGUCAUCAAUCCUGGGGAUAGGGUACUUAUUCUUGAUUGUGACCUUGUUCAACUGCCUAUAGUCAAUGCACAUUCUGAGAGAACCAUCUUUCUUCUUCACAAACAACGCUGGUGCACCCCAUGGCGAAAUACUAGGUCUGAUGAAGCCCUUAUCUAGAAGGUCUUUCAACUGCUUUUUUAAUUCCUUAAGCUCAGUUGGACCCAUUCUAUAAGGAGAAAUAGAGAUAGGCUGGCUAUCUGGAAGGAUAUAAAUUCCAAAGUCGAUUUCCCUUUCGGGAGGAACUCCGGGAAGAUCAUCUGGAAACACUUCUGGAAACUCAUUGACUACAGGGACUGACUCAAGAGUUGGGGAUUCGGAACUAGAAUCCUUAACCCGAACUAGAUGAUAGAGAUAACCCUUAAAGAUCAUUUUUCUAGCCUUAACGUAAAAAAUGAAUCGACCUAUAGGCGCUAAACUACUACCCUUCCAUUCUAAGAUUGGUUCAUCUGGAAACUGAAAACGAACAAUCCUAGUUCUACAAUCAACUGAGGCAUAACAAGAAUGUAACCAAUCCAUGCCUAGAAUGACAUCGAAGUCUACCAUUUCUAACUCUACAAGAUCUGCUGAGAUGACUUUCUGAGAGANNNNNNNNNNNNNNNNNNNNNNNNNNNNNNNNNNNNNNNNNNNNNNNNNNNNNNNNNNNNNNNNNNNNNNNNNNNNNNNNNNNNNNNNNNNNNNNNNNNNNNNNNNNNNNNNNNNNNNNNNNNNNNNNNNNNNNNNNNNNNNNNNNNNNNNNNNNNNNNNNNNNNNNNNNNNNNNNNNNNNNNNNNNNNNNNNNNNNNNNNNNNNNNNNNNNNNNNNNNNNNNNNNNNNNNNNNNNNNNNNNNNNNNNNNNNNNNNNNNNNNNNNNNNNNNNNNNNNNNNNNNNNNNNNNNNNNNNNNNNNNNNNNNNNNNNNNNNNNNNNNNNNNNNNNNNNNNNNNNNNNNNNNNNNNNNNNNNNNNNNNNNNNNNNNNNNNNNNNNNNNNNNNNNNNNNNNNNNNNNNNNNNNNNNNNNNNNNNNNNNNNNNNNNNNNNNNNNNNNNNNNNNNNNNNNNNNNNNNNNNNNNNNNNNNNNNNNNNNNNNNNNNNNNNNNNNNNNNNNNNNNNNNNNNNNNNNNNNNNNNNNNNNNNNNNNNNNNNNNNNNNNNNNNNNNNNNNNNNNNNNNNNNNNNNNNNNNNNNNNNNNNNNNNNNNNNNNNNNNNNNNNNNNNNNNNNNNNNNNNNNNNNNNNNNNNNNNNNNNNNNNNNNNNNNNNNNNNNNNNNNNNNNNNNNNNNNNNNACUGACCACACCCAAAGCAUCCUUCCUUACCUGCAAGGCACUCGCCCGGAUGGUUCUUACUACAUUUCGGGCAAGUUGGGUAGGUUUUGGUGCCUAAAACAGUACCUUGUGACUUUGAGCCUGAUGCCCUACCUUUCUGAUCAUUACGGAACCUGGGGGAUGGAACACUAGCUGAUGAAGGGGCUGGAGUCGAAGACUUCUGCUGAAAAUGCGAGCGAUUUCCACCACCCGAUUUCUGUUGGGAAUACUCGUAGUUACCUGUUCUUGCUUUCUUAGUCUCCUUAGCCUGUUCCCUAAGCUUAUCACCCUCAACCUGCUUAGCAUGAGUCAUGAGCCUAGAGAUGUUCAUGUCUCCCAACAACAUAGCAUUCCUGCACUCGGUUUUCACUAAGUCUGACACUCCAUAGAGAUACUUAUUCAUCUGAGCCCUGGAAUCAGCAACUAUGUGAGGAGCAUACCUGGAGAGAUGGUUAAACUUGAGCCCAUACUCUUGGACAGUAAUGUUACCCUGCCUCAAGUUCAUAAAUUCCUGGGCCCUUGCUUCUCUUAACUUUAUAGGGAAAACCCUAUCCAGAAAGGGUUCGCUGAAACAAUCCCAAGUAAUAGGAGCGGCAUCCAUCUGUACCCAUGUUCUCCUUCCACUGUGUAUACCAGAUAUGAGCAACAUCUUUCAGUUAGUAAGAUGCUAAGUCAACUCGAUCAUUCCCAGUGACCUGCAUUACUUCAAAGAUCUUCUUGAUCUCAUCCAAGAAAUUCUGGGGAUCUUCACUAGUCUGCGAUCCUAAGAAGUCAGACGGAUUCAUUCUAACAAAGUCACGGACCCUUGCUGCUGCUGAUCCACCAUUUGCAUUCACAUGAGCUUGAACCCGCUGAUUGUUCUGGUUAGAGACACUUUGAUCCAACAUCUGAAUGGCAUUCCUGAAUUCAGUAUUUGAGACUUCCUGAUCUGGAACUAGAGGAGCUGCGUUUGCGUUCCUAGCAUUCGCAUUCCUGGCAUAAGCUCUACGAGGAGUCAUGAUCACUGAAACAUAGAACGUCGAGUUAGAAUGGAAUUUAGAUUAUACCUUACGCACGAUAAGACUAACAAGAAAAUGAAGAUUUCCUAAAACACUUUGUAGCCUCCCUCUCAUUAGAUGUGGUGCGUACUACACACCCGUGAAAAGGACUCUACCUAGUGCGGCUUUUCAGACAUCCUAGGACACUGAAACCUAGUGCUAUGAUACCAAGUUUGUCACGCCACGAGCUACCCCCGAGACGCGGACACGGGACCUAGGACCACAAGUGAUCCCAAGCUAACCCUGCUAGCAUGAUCAUGAGCAUACUAAAGAUAAUAAACUGAUGCGGAAGCUAAAUCAUAAAUAAGUCUGAAAAGAUGGGGAAUACCCAUAUACUAUAACUGAAUAUAUNNNNNNNNNNNNNNNNNNNNNNNNNNNNNNNNNNNNNNNNNNNNNNNNNNNNNNNNNNNNNNNNNNNNNNNNNNNNNNNNNNNNNNNNNNNNNNNNNNNNNNNNNNNNNNNNNNNNNNNNNNNNNNNNNNNNNNNNNNNNNNNNNNNNNNNNNNNNNNNNNNNNNNNNNNNNNNUGAUGGAACCUUGCUGCGUUCUUGAACUAGGGUUCUUGACCUCUUUUUUCCUCUUAGCGUUCUAAUUCUUCUAAGUUUGAUUAAUGAUUUGACUUAGGUAAGUUCUAGUUAUGUUUCUAGGUUUAAACUGAUUAAAAUCUCAUAAUUUAGGGUAUAAACGACGUAUCUUAGGGGUUAAACGAAAUAGCAAAAGACCAAAAGACCCCUAAAUUAACUGUUUCGGAGUGAUCGACGGAUUGGACCUACGGUUCGUCAAUCAAUCGACUGUCCGUCCAUUGGGUCCGUACGUCGGUGGCGUUGGAAAGAUAAUUCAAUUAUCUAUCNNNNNNNNNNNNNNNNNNNNNNNNNNNNNNNNNNNNNNNNNNNNNNNNNNNNNNNNNNNNNNNNCUGACCUACGGUCCGUGGAUGGCAACCGUGGGUUGCACCUGCAACUUCUCAAAUUCUGCAUUUUAGUCUGUUUCGAAUACGGGGUGUUACAAGUAAAGAGUUGAGUUCAUUUCUCAAAAAGUUAUUAGGGAACUAAGUAUUCCCAAGAAAUUAAAAAUGUUUUCACAUUUGAGCAAGAAAGGGAACACCGAUUCCAAGAGAACUUUUAAGCUAAGUUUUGAGUAAUUAUCUCAAACCAAAGAGAGAAGUUUGUUUUAAAAUCAUAUGAGCUAAGUAUAUUUUGGGAGUAGUAUUGAGCACAGAUAUGGGGAUGCGGGUUCAUAUUAAAUUAAGUCUCUAUAAACCAUGUAGCCAUCAUGGGUAGUAAAUGAUCAUACUUUUUAGAUGACUCAUUAAGAUGCUUUUAGCAUAGACUAGUGGAUCCACUUAGUUAAAUAUUCUAUAUGAUGGUAAAGUAUUAUCAGUUCUGGCAGCGUGGGCAAGACGUUGUAUCACCACUUAGGCUCAUGUGGUGGUUGUCGAUUAGAGAAUCUCCCACAAAAACUAUAAUUACUUUAUUACAUGAGUAAAGUUGAGUUUGUUAUUGCAUUUUCUUUAAUGAACUAAGUUGUUUUCUACUGUUUUACAAGUUUUCUAUAUAUUGCAUAUGUUUAUUGCUUUAUAUUGAGUUAAGUUAUUCAGGAGUUGAGUAAAGCCAAGGUAAGUGUUCCUUUUAGAUCCUUUUCAAGCUUAAGUUGUGUUUAGCAUUCCAACUCGCAUACUCGUACAUUCAAUGUACUGAUGCCAGUUGGCCUGCAUCUUAUUAUGAUGUAGAUGCAGGUAACCAGGAUCAGCAUCCAGCGCCUCAUUGAUCAAUUUCAGCACUCAGAGUCAGCUAUGAGCCUCCUUGCAUUUCAGAGGACUCUUUUUAUCAUUUGCUUUCAGUAUUUCAUUGUUAGGAUGAUCGAGUGUCUUGUCCCGACAUACCUCUUUGUUUUAGAGGCUUCAUAGACAGUCAGACAUGUAGUAGUUCAAUUGUCUUUACAUUUUCAUUUCAAAUGUUAAGACUUGAGUAGCCAUAUUGGCCAAGUUGGAUGUUUCACUUUUUAAGCAUUCUCAGUAUUUUAUUAUUCAAGUGAGUAUAGUGCUAUUGAUCAUUAUAAAUAUGCAUAGAGUCUUCCGCUGAGUAAGUAAGCUAGGCCAAUGGUUCUCUUGGGGCCAGCAAUGGUUCUCGAGUGUCAGCCACGUCCGGGGUGUAGGCUCGGAGAGUGACACAUAGCACCCACUAGUACCGGCUAGGCAUUUCCCAUGAUGCUUCUUUCCACAAUUGUGAUAAGUAGGUUUAGAAAAUGGAGGUCCACUUCCUUUCUCUUGGUUAUCCCUAGGAGUGCUUGAAGAGAGCUCUCUUCUUGAACCUAGGUUGACCUUGCUCAUCGGACUUAUACCGCUUCAACUCCCUAGUCUUCCUCUUAAGUUUGGUCUCCUCAAUAGAUUGAGCAUACACCAUGAGCCUAGAAAUGUUCAUAUCAUCAUGGAGUAUUGUCGUACAACACUCUUCCUCAACUAAGUCAGAGACACCGGUCACAAAUCGACUCAUCUCAUCCCUUGGGUUAGACACCAAAGAUGGAGCAUACUUAGACAAUAGGGUAAAUUUCAAGGAAUACUCCUCCACACUCAUGCUACCUUGCCUAAGGUUGAUAAACUCCUCUACCUUACAUUCCCUCUUCUUACGGGGAAAGUACCUACCAAGGAAUUCUUUCUUAAAUUCUUCCCACUCUAUAGGACCUGCUCCUAUAGGCCUAUUGCUUUUCCAUUGAGUAAACCAAAUUCAAUAUACAAUAUCACAUUACUUUCAUUCAUUCUAGAAGAGGAUGCAUAAGAGCCUACUAAUUCAAGAUAUACAUAAUAUAGAAGAAAACCCUUCACAUUCUAUCAUCAUCAUUUAUGAGUGUUAAUUGAGAAUAUGCUUCCAAUCAUAACACUAUAACAUUUUUAACAUGAUCAUAACACUUUCAUUGAGAUCACACAUAUAUACUUCACAUCAUAAUCAUACAUAGAUCUUCAUGAACUUGCCUUUCAAGGCUAUGAACCAACAUCAACCCAUAAAUCUAAGAUACUACAAUAGAUAUGUAAAUUGACAUGAUACAAUAACUAAUUCAACAUAAACAUAAACAAAUCAACAUACUUCCAUGAUCAAUCAAUUUCCAAUCACAAAUCACAACUUAGGAUUUUGGGGGAAAACAUGGGUUCAUAGAAGAAAUCAUCUUAAUUAACCAUUAAAACAUCAAUUAAACCAUGAUUCAUCACUUAAAUGCCUUUUGAAAACGUUUGGAAUUGAACCCAUUCAUAGAUUGAAAACUAGGGUUUUUGGGGAAAACUUGGAGACUUGAAAUCAACUUUGAAAUUGGCUGCUUGAAAGAAACUAAGUCAAGGAUGAAGACUACCAUACCUUAUAUGGAAGAACUUCACGAAAAUCCCUUGAAAAAGAUGAAUACUUGACCUGGAGAGCUUGAAUCCUUCACCUCCAAUGGAGGUUUCUAGAGAGAGAACUUUUGGAGGGGAGGGGAGGGGAGGGAAGGUUUGUAUUUUGGGUUUUGAAAUAAUGAGUUGUAAAUGUGUUUUAAUACUUAAAAACCCUUAAAAUAUCUAAAUAAACCAAUAAUAACCAUCCAUUAACUCAACUUACAAAUUUAAAAAGUUACCAAACUAACCCCUCACUUGGCCGACUUUGGACAGCAAGCAGGUGCCACCCACAAAACCCCCACCCACAGACCGUGGGUGGGGUCACAUACCGUUAUGUCACCUUCGUGGUUCGUGGAUGAAACAUGGUUUUGGGGGCCUUGACCUACGGAGGCCAUCCACGGGGCGUGGAUGGACCUACGGGGCAUAAGUUCCCAUCCGUAGGUCAUCCCAAAUUUCCAGUUUUUUGGUUUUCUUGAGGUCUUGGGGUUUAGGCUUAGGAUCCUCCUCAAGGACCCCUUGGGUGGUCCUUGGGGAGUCGUACCUUGACGUUUAACCUCUAAACUCCUCAACCUAAGCCUGGGACAACAUCCUACCACAAGAAACCCCAUUACAACUCAAACAGACAAUCGUUAGGCUCUAGUUUUACCUAUUCAUUUUACGAGUCGUUACACAAACACAAACUAAAUAUGUCAAUCUACUAUAAAAACACGUUUCGAACCUAUUGAAAUCAUCAAAUCACUGAUUUGGUUUCAUCUUAAUUGGAAGUUAACAAUCAACCAUAACUUUCUUAAAACUCAAAAAUACAACUAAAGGGUCAAAUCACUCAUGAACACCUUGGGAUCCGUAUAAAUCAUCUAUCGCUGUCAAAAAUCACCUUUCGGAUCUAAUGAAAUUGUCUUAAUUUGAAUUUGAGUUCACUAACCUAGAUUGUUGUCUUUGAUCAAAUAUCUCAACUUCCAAAAUAAAAAAUUCUUCAUCUUGACACAUUCGAUCAUCUUGAAAAUCAUGUCACCCAUUUUUGCAAGUUAAAAAUAGCAUAAGAAGCUACAGAAAAAAUCAAAUUUGGAAUAAAAGAACUCAAAAGAACAAAACAAUAACAUACAGAUCAUUACAAUUACUAUCUCAAGGGACAAAAAUUAAAAACCAACACAAAAUAAUAGCAAAAGUAGAAUGAGUAAAUAUCUCAAAAUGUCAUCCAAUUUUGAGGAAUUAUCUUAUAAAGUCAUUUAAUUUUGUUUCGUAUCAAUAUAAUCACUCAACUUUAAGGUUUUGUUUUUAAUAAAAUCACUCAAUCAAAUUUAUUAUAAAAAUAAUAAUUUAACAUGAUAAAACUUUUCUCUUUGAGUUUGAGUUUGAGUUUUCCUCUUUUCUCUCUUCCAUAAAAUAAAAACUUUACUCAAAUAUCUUUCUUUUUUCCGUUUUUGGUAAAUAGAGAGAUACUUUAUACAUAAUAAAGUACUAAAUAGUUACUAUACUUGCUUACAUACUAUUUAUGAUUUCGAACUUAUUACAAGUCAAAGAGGAGAUUAUGUUUAUACUUUAUACUAUGAAAGAAAAAUUCAAAGUUGAAUGAUUUUUUUUAUUAAAAAAAAAAUUAAAUAACUUUACAAGAUAAUUCCUCAAAGUCAGAUGACCUUUCGAGAUAUUUACUCCAGUAGAAUUGAACUUUGCUUACAAUAUCUAGGCUAAUGGUCCAUACCUUGCAACCCAUCGUAUUGCAGGCUUACAUCAAAAGUAGUGUCCACCAAGAAAAAAACAAAAAUACUAUAUAUGUCUUACAUCUUUAUAUAUCAAAUCAUACAUGAACGAUGUAUUUUGUUGCUUGGCAAAUGAAUUAACUUUAAGACCAUUGCCAAACCACCUUUAUUUUAUUAUCUAUUCUUUAUAUUUGGAGAGUAAAAUAGAGAAUGGGCUCUCAAACCACCUUGUAUUUCACUCUUUAUUCUCCAUUUAUAGAGAGUUGAAUAGUAGUUCUCCAAAUUUGGAGAACUACUAUUCACACUCUCGGUUUCAUUCUUUCAUUAUUUUGUUAUUAUUUCUAUUAUUUUGUAAUUAAUAUAUUAUUUUUCAUAUAAGGUCAUCAAUUAAAUCUCUAAUAGUUGUAAUUCUUUUGAAAUGUAAUAUAAUAUUUUUAAAAAUAUUAAUAUAUACUCUUUUGAUCUCGAAUUAAUAGUAUUUCAUUUUUUUAUUUUCAUCACUUUGAUUUAUUUUAUUAUUAAUUUUCACUAUAAAGAAUGCACAACAUUAAAUGGUCUACAAUUGUUCAAACUAUUUGUGAUCCACAUUCUCAAAAGAAGAAAUAUUUCGGGAUGAAGCAAGAAUCGUGCCAAAAAGAUGUUGAACGUGCAUUCGGAGUUUUGUAAUCACGUUUUGCAAUUAUUGCAGGACAAUCACAUUUUUUGGAGAACGAAAGUGCUACAGGAUAUAAUGACUACGGGUGUGUUUGGUAUGAAGGAAAACAUUUUCCGGAAAAUGUUUUCCUUCAUACCAAACACACCCGUAGUCAUUAUAUCCUGUAGCACUUUCGUUCUCCAAAAAAUGUGAUUGUCCUGCAAUAAUUGCAAAACGUGAUUACAAAACUCCGAAUGCACGUUCAACAUCUUUUUGGCACGAUUCUUGCUUCAUCCCGAAAUAUUUCUUCUUUUGAGAAUGUGGAUCACAAAUAGUUUGAACAAUUGUAGACCAUUUAAUGUUGUGCAUUCUUUAUAGUGAAAAUUAAUAAUAAAAUNNNNNNNNNNNNNNNNNNNNNNNNNNNNNNNNNNNNNNNNNNNNNNNNNNNNNNNNNNNNNNNNNNNNNNNNNNNNNNNNNNNNNNNNNNNNNNNNNNNNNNNNNNNNNNNNNNNNNNNNNNNNNNNNNNNNNNNNNNNNNNNNNNNNNNNNNNNNNNNNNNNNNNNNNNNNNNNNNNNNNNNNNNNNNNNNNNNNNNNNNNNNNNNNNNNNNNNNNNNNNNNNNNNNNNNNNNNNNNNNNNNNNNNNNNNNNNNNNNNNNNNNNNNNNNNNNNNNNNNNNNNNNNNNNNNNNNNNNNNNNNNNNNNNNNNNNNNNNNNNNNNNNNNNNNNNNNNNNNNNNNNNNNNNNNNNNNNNNNNNNNNNNNNNNNNNNNNNNNNNNNNNNNNNNNNNNNNNNNNNNNNNNNNNNNNNNNNNNNNNNNNNNNNNNNNNNNNNNNNNNNNNNNNNNNNNNNNNNNNNNNNNNNNNNNNNNNNNNNNNNNNNNNNNNNNNNNNNNNNNNNNNNNNNNNNNNNNNNNNNNNNNNNNNNNUCACCCACCCCCUACCAGCCCCCCACCCCCAAAAAAAAUAUUUAAGUUUGUUUUUAAAAAAUUAUUUUCUACUUUAGUAAAAAUAAGAGAUAUUUCUCAAAAAUAUUUUUCAUUCAUAAAUCAAACACUAAAAAUCUUUUCCGGAAAAUAUUUUCUAAUCACCAACCAAACAUGAGAAAAUAAGUCAAAAAUCAACUUGUUUUCCAGGAAAACAUUUUCUAGGAAAACAUUUUCCUUCAUACCAAACACACCCUACAAGUAUUAUAUUUCACAACAUGAUAAUUGAGGAUGAAUGUGAUCUUAAUGCACCAAUUUAAGAUAUUGUAGAGGCUCCAACUGCAACGACAUAAAUGGUAUUAGAUGAAAAUCUCUGAUUUGAAUAAUUUUUAUCUAGACAUAAAAAAAAUUAAGGAAAAAAUGCUCAUUUUGACCUCUGUAAUGCGUUAAUAGAGCAUUUAUGGGAGCAACAUAAUAAUCUUGAAAACUGAGUAUUUAUGUAAUGUUAAUGUAUUUGUAUUUCACUAAUGAUUUUACUUUUAUUUGAAUUGUCCAUUAAUUUGUAUAUUAUAUAAUAUUUGUUAGCAAUUUAUAUUAUUUAGAAAUUUAAAAUAAAAUAUAAUUUUAUAUUAAAUAAAAAACUAGAAAAAGUAAAAUGUUUAUAUCACAUGAAAAUAAUAUAAAUUGAUUAUUUGGGAAAAAGAAAGAAAGGAUUUAUAUUACGAAUAAGAAAAUAAGAAUGAAAUAGAAAAUAAUAUAAUAUUGAGGAGAGAGAAGAAGAUUCUUCUUUAGAAAAUAAAUAGAGAACUGGAUUAAAGUUGAUUGUCUGAAAAAAUAGUGAACUCUAUAUUUGGAGAGUAAAAUAGAGAAUAGGGUUGGAGAUGCCUGGGUCUCUUUUUCCAAGCAAUUAAAUCUAAUUGAGACCCAUCGAUAUAUUAUCCUUCACUACAUUUCUUUCCUAUCGCUGUUUAGUUCACAACAACAAUAAUAACAUAUAUUUUUUUCUUAGGUUUAUUCUUUUUAUAGAAAGAAAAUAUAUUUAUCAUUUCUUUGUUGUUUUGGACAUUGAAGGAAAAUAUUUUAAUUAUAAACUCAAAGGAUCUUGAAUCUUAAUUCACGUUCUAUCUAUUAUGUAUAUUUCUGUAUAUUGAAAAUUACUAGUAACAUCCUUAUUUAUAAAGGUAAAAAUCAAAUUAAACUAGGAUUAGUAAUCACUCUAACUAACAAAUCCUAAUUAAACAUAAAUAAGUAAAUACCAUAAAUAACAAAUCCUAAACAACUUAGGAUUCCUACUCCAACUUUGAAUUAUUAUUUCCAACAUUCUCCUGUAAUUCAAAAUGUAUACUCUUGUUUUUUCUCUUCUUGUCAUUGUUGUUGGAUUGGAGAACUUCUCUUCAAUCUUCAAUUGUUGGAGUUCUUCUCUUCAAUCUUCAAUUGUUGGAGUACUUCUCUUUGAUUCUCUUUUUUUUUAUUGGUUGUGUCGGAGCACUUCUCUCUAACUUCCAAGUGUUGGAGCACUUUCUCUCCAACUCACGAUAUUUUUUCUCUUGGUUGUGUUGGAGCACUUCUCUCGAACUUCCAAGUGUUGAAGCACUUUCUCUCCAACUUACAAUAUUUUUCUCUUGGUUGUGUUGGAUCACUUUUCUCCAACUUCAAAGGUUGAUGCCCUUUCUACCAAUGCAUUUUUUUUUGUUUUGUUUUGUUUUUGGUGUUGUAGCACUCUCUCUCAAACUCUCGUUGAUGCCCUUCCCAUCAACUCCUUUUCUUUUUGUGUUUUUUAUUUUAUUUUUGGUGUUGGCGUACUCUCUCUCCAAUUCUCGUUUAUGCCCUUUCCAUCAACUCCUUUUCUUAUUGUUUUUUUUUUUGUUUUUUGUUUUUUGUUUUUUUUACUUUUUCUAACAUUUAAUUUAGAGGAGAGUUUCUUCCUCUUGUGUUUGAUUGCACUUCUUUAAAUCUGCAAUAUUUUUGUAAGUUUUUCCUCCUAGCAUAUUCUUUUCAAGCAUAUAUUAUUCGUCCAGUUUUUUUCAACAUGAUCAUUGGCCUGACGGGAAGCAUAUAUGGGUCAUAGUCGCCCGCCAACAUUGGAAAUUCUUUGAUCUUCUACCAGGAAUGUAAAAGCUCUGGUACCAAUUUGAAGGAAAAUAUUUUAUUUAUAAACUCAAAGGUUCUUGAAUCUUAAUUCAAGUUCUAUCUAUUAUGUAUAUUUCUGUAUAUUGAAAAUAACUAGUAGCAUCCCUAUAUAUAAAGGUAAAAAUCAAAUUAAACUAGGACUAGGAAUCACUCUAACUAACAAAUCCUAAUUAAACAUAAAUAAGUAUAUAUCAUAAAUAACAAAUCCUAAACAACUUAGGAUUCCUACUCCAACUUUGAAUUAUUAUUUCCAACUUGCAUGACUAAGAAUAUUUUCGUAUUUUAACGCUUCCACUCUCAUUUUGUUUUCUUCUCUCUUUCUAUGAAGUAGAAGAUUUUUGAGCUGGUUGUUUGUGAAUAAGUUGAGGUUGAGAACUAUGUUUAUUUCUACCUUAUUCAUGUAAAUGAGAUGUUUAUAGGAUAGCUAGCUAGUUGGUCAUCUCCAGCUAAUUUGUCACUAAAAAGCUUUUAACUAAUUGAAUUUUGUAACAAUUUGUCACUAAUCCGUAGUUAAAUAGAAUGAAAUUUGAUUUGUUGUUUAGCUAUGAAAUUUUAUCCAUCGUUAAUUUUUUGUUUUCUAGUGGUAAAGAAACCUAUUUCUGAGGAAGACAUUUCUUUCCUUAUUUUUAAGAAAAGAAAUUUGCAAAGAAAUUUUUUCUCAAAAAUUUGAUGGAAAAUUAAACAUUAAAAAAUAUCUUUUAAAAAUUGUUUUCCUCCCUAUAAUGGUCCAUCUCUUGGGAUGGCAAUGGGUGGGGCGGAUACAGGGAGACAUGGGUUUAAGGCUAUGCAGGGUGAGGUGAGUUUAAGGCUAUGCAGGGCGGGGCGGGUGGGAUGCGGGGUGGGUUGAAGUGAGUUUUUUUAAAAGUAAUGCGGUGCGGGUUGGGUUGCAGGUAUAUACAAUUUUAUGUGGGUUUAAACUUAAUUUUAACUUUUUAAUGUUAAAAGAGUGAUAGAGCAUUAAUUAUUAAGAUAAUUUCAUUAAAGCUACUAAAAUACUCAUGAUAAUAAAUGAAAAUGAUUCAAUAAAAAAUAAUACAAUUUCUUACAUGUUUCUCAAUUGACCUCUAAAAAAUAAAAUUUAUAAGUCACUGUCCUAUUAAAUUAAUACAACUUAAUGAAAAAAUGUUUAUUUCUAUGAAUUUUAUUUUUAGUAUCAAACUUAAAUAGAAAAAGAAAAUAUUAAAAAAAUUAUGCGGGGCGAGUUCAUGCGGAGCGGGUUGAAAAUGAAAAAAGUUGUUACGUGGGGCGGGGCAGACUAAAAAUUUUGCGGGUUGAGCUCAACCCGCUCCCGCCCCACACCACCCCAUUGCCAUCCCUAUCCAUCUCUAUCUACCGGCCACCUAAACUAAUGGUCCUUUGCAGGCUUACAUCAAAAGUUGUCUUUGAUAUAUAGGACCUUGAUAUUAUGUCCACUUGAUUCUUUGGGAAUUUGGAGUAGUAUGUGUGUUUACUCAUUACUUAAUGAAAAAAUAAAAUUACAAAGAUAUUUUCGACUUAUUUUAUACCAUGAAUUUUAAAAUUUCUUUUUUCCUAAAUUUUGCGUUAAGUGAAACACGAUUUAACACGAUUCGAGAAUAUGGCAAAAAUGAUUCAUUAUCUUUGAUAGUAAGUUCACUUUAAGCAGUUUUGGUGCUUUAAAUCAUCACAUCAUAUCAUAUAUCUUAAAAGCAUAAACUCCUAACUUGAAUGCUAAAUACUAUAAUAUGGAACUUAGGUUGUGACUUUUUCGAUGAGUUGUGACUUUUCUGAUAAGUUGUGACUUUUUUCAAAGUGUUGUGAUUUUUCAAUGAGUUGUGACUUUUCCAAAGAGUUGUGACUUUUCCAAGGAGUUGUCACUUUUCGAAAGGGUUGUGAUUCUCGGAAAGGUCAUGACUUUUCAGAUAAGACACAAAAAACACUUGUUCAUACUACCUUUUUUUUACUAUAAAUAGAGGGGUUUCCUCCCAUUUUUCAACCACAAUUUUUUUUAUUCUUCUACUCUUCUUCUUGCAUUUUAAAAUAUUUCAUACGAUUUAUUGUCGUUGAGUGAGUUCGAAGUUUAGCGAAAUAUGAGGUACCACUAUUCUGAUAAAGUACAUUGUUCAAUCCUAAGAGGGUAUAUUUCUUAACCUCGAGUACUUGAGGAAAAUAAUUCUAAUGAUAUAAUAAUUAUUUUUUGGCUUAGUAUAUUGUAACAACCCGACCCGUCGUUAAUUAGGAAAAUCAAAAAUUUGGGAAAUUCUGGGCCACUGUCACGCCAGGGUGGCAACACCACAAUGGGAAAAUAGUCGACAGGGCAGGAUAGGCGAGGCAGAAUGUAAAUAACGCAAAUUCUUAUUUCCUCCUUCUUUCUAAAAUACCUAAAUUAGUCGUAAAACACCCUAGAAACCCUCAAAAAGCUGCUCUAAGCUUGGGGAGGAAGGAGAAGGAGAAUUCUAGCGUAAGAAGGUCAAUGGGUGGCGGAUUUUCGAUCAAGAUCACUGUCACGAAGUCCGAAAACAAGAAUCGAAGCCAAAAACUUUGUGCAGCUGCUUGGCGCCCAGGUAGGCUAGGUUUUAUGAAUUGAGUAGUCAUAAAUUUGUGCUCACUACAUAAUAUAUGUAAACCAAUGGUAGGAAUUAUGUGUAAGCUUUCGUGCACUGAACAAAAUAUGAUUAAACCUUAGGAAGAAGGCUUAGAUGAUGAACUAGGGCUAAGUAGGGUUGAAUUAAUGCUUACGUGAUAUACGUCGAUGAGUAGUUCAUUGGGAUGGUGGUGAUUUUAUGAUUGUGUGUUGUGGGCUUGUUCUUGAUUCAUUAUAAUACGUACAUGAAUGUGAACGAAGCUUAUUGAUCACACCUAAUGUAAAUAAGCAUGAAAGAAGAAUUAUAUGUUAUGAAUCACUCUUGUUGUGUGGUUAUGAUGAUAUACAUUGUGAUUGUGGAUCGAGUGUUGCGUUUCGACACACAAACUUGGAUCGGUUUCCACGUUCCGACAUAAUUAUGGGAUCGAUUGCCAUGUUCCGGCAUAAUUAUGGGAUCGGUUGCCACGUUUCGCAUAAUUAUGGGAUCGGUUGCCACAUUCCGGCAUAAUUAUAGGAUCGGUUGCCACGUUCUGGCAUAAUCUUUAGAUCGGGUACCACAUUCCGGUAUGCUAACAGUUUGGGUUUGGGUUCCUGAGAUGACCAAUGAUUUGACAUAAUUGUAUGCCUUGAGGAUUGUGAAAUUGUACCUUGUUCGUAAUGAUAAUUGAUGUUGUAUUUCCCGGAGAUGUUUUAUGGUUAUGAGAAAUUAUGUUUGAUGGUUCUUCUAUGUUGAGUAAACUUGAUAUGUAUCUUGAUGAAAAGUGAACCGGAAAGGGCACACCUAACCGAGAGGUGAUAUGGAGGUGGGGAGUCAACGUUUCAAGAAUGGUUAUUGUCAGAGUAAGGGUGUCGUAUGCUAUAACGGCGAGGAGUGGGGGUAGUGUACGUGUUGUAAGUGCUUAGGUGGAUUUCACGUUGGAGAAAGGGAUUUGUGAUUAGGGGUUAGAAAGAGUGACGUAAUGGACUAUGUGGCUAUGACUGGGUAAUAUGAAGAGAAAGUAAGGGUUUGACGUGAGCGGGUAGUUGGAAUGCUUAUAGUUGUAUUUGGGGACUUUUCUAUGUGUUAGAAUGGUUAGGCUAUGAUGAAGAACCUAGUACGUAGGUUGACCGAAAAGGUGGAGAAGCGAGGGGUUUAAUUGCAUGAUCUUACUAGUUAUUUUCUUAUGUUACGUGGUGGGCGUCGGGUUAACCGAUGAUGCCUACUAGUACGUGGUGUGGUUUAUACUGAUACUACUCUUGUUAUGUCUUUUGACAUAGUCUGGAUGCAGGUUGGUGAUGUUUCCUUAGGUGAAGAUGAAGAAUUCUCCAACAGCUUCUACUUUUCCUUUUGCAUGGUGGGAGCUGUGUCUUUUAUUUGUUAUGUCAAGUUUGCACUCUUAGUAGCUCUUGUACCUGUUUAGAUUAGAUCAUUGGGGGUGUUAAUUACUUUACAAGUGUUAAAGGUUCUUAAUUAUAAAUUUCCGUUAGUAUAUUUUAUUUCCGUUCAUUUAAUUUUCCGUAUGUUUUAAAUUAUUGGGAUAUGAGGGUUCUCCUACUUAGGUGGUAGUACGUAGGUGCCCACACGGUCUGGUGGUUUGGGUCAUGACAAAUUGGUAUUAGAGCUCAGGUUACCGGUCUCACAGUACAAGAGCAAAAUGUGGACUACACUCAUGCAGAUUGGUGUGUUGACGUCCACAUCUAAUCUUCAGGAAGCUAGAAAGCAUUCUAGGAAGUAGUUCCACACAUUCUCUCCUUUCGUGCGAAGUGUCACUUGUGGUAUGAGUUUGGUCCAAUUGGUAUCUCAACAAAGUAGAUCGAACGUCGUGGUCACGAUUGAAGGAACACAAGCAAGGUAAAUUGGAACUGAGAAGAUUUCAAUUGGUAUCAGGCCCUAGGGGCGGUGUAAAUACAUGGAUGAUGAGUAAUGGUCAUCCAUGGAACAAAGUAACUAAUUAAGAAUUUGGACUUGUCUGUGAGUUGUAACUUGAAGUCUGUGAUUGUGUGCUUCUUAUUUUCUGAAUUAACUAUGCAUUUGGUAUGCAUUUUUGUGUUUUGCUGUUGUACGUUGUGUGUUUGGAUGUUUCUUUCGGUCGCUGUUCUCGCGAGGAAGAUACAGGGGUGUGGGGUAGGGUUGGUAUUGCAUUGUACGCAUCGCUGUAUUGUUGAAAGAAGAAUGUAUUGUUGGAUCGUUGGACUGGGCAGGGUCGGUUUAAGGGAAUUGUUGUUGUUGUUAUUGGAUGGGCUGAUUGUAUUGUAUUAUUUUGCUGGAAAAAAGAAUUGGGGUGGGCUAAGUAUUGGGUCUAGUUUUAGUUGAGAAGUGGGCUGGAAAUGGCACUAAAAAGCCCAAAAUUGGUUUGCAAAUUGAGUUAAGGUGAGGAGAGAAACUUGGCUAGAUUUGCAAUUCCAAAAUGACAAUGGAUUGCAAUCAUAACCAAUUGAAGUUCAAAACUUGGCUGAGUUGAAUAUAAUUGGUGAAAUCGGCUAAAAUUCAAAUAAGACGAAUUAAUGCAAUUAAUUAACGAGCCUCUUAAUCUUAACGAAAGAAAAUAAUUAGCUUAAAUAUAAAUUAAUUAAUUCAAAAAUAUAAUUGUAACUUAAACUAAACUAAUUUGAUAGAAUUUUUAAAACAAAAUCUUUUUGAGACGAUUUUCGAAUAUUCUUUAAAAUAUACUAAUUAUAUAUAUAAUUAUAUAAAACACAUAUAUUAUUUAAAAAUUAAAAAAAAUGAUACAACUAUUUAAAAUAACUUGCAAACUAUAUUAUUUUUUAUUUUUUUGAAAUUUUAUAAAACUAAUUAUUUUAAAUCGUUUGAAAUUGAAGAAGCUCGAUGAUUAAUCAAUAAUGUGGAGGUCUAAAAUUGGGUGUCAACAACUAUCUUAAGAGACAAAAAUUAAACCCCAACACAAAAUAAUAGCAAAAGUAGAAUGAGUAAAUAUCUCAAAAUGUCAUCCAACUUGAGGAAUUAUCUUAUAAAGUCAUUCAACUUUGUUUUGUAUCAAUAAAAUCACUCAACUUAAGAUAUUUUUUUUAUAUAUAAAAUUACUCAAUCAAAUUUAUUAUAAAAAAUAAUUUAACUUGAUAAUUUUUUUCUCUUUAAGUUUAAGUUUGAGUUUUCCUUCUCUCUUCCAUAAAAUAAAAACUUUACUCAAAUAUCUUUCUCUUUUUCGUUUUUGGUAAAUAGAGAGAUACUUUAUACAUACUAAAGUACUAAAUAGUUAAUAUAUUCGCUUACAUAAUAUUAAUGAUUUCGAACUUAUUACAAGUCAAAGAGGAGAUUAUGUUUAUACUUUAUACUAUGAAAGAAAAACUCAAAGUUGAGUGAUUUUUUUUUAUAUAAAACAAAAUUGAAUAAUUUUACAAGAUAAUUCCUCAAUAUAACAUUUCGAGAUAUUUACUCAGGUAGAAUUGACCUUUGUUUAUAAUAUCUAAGCUAAUGGUCCAUACCUUGCAACCCGUCGUAUUGCAGGCUUACAUCAAAAGUAGUGUGUCAUAUAUAUAUAUAUCAAAUCAUACUUGAACGAUGUAUUUUGUUGCUUGACAAAUGAAUUAACUUGACUAUUCUAAUUCACCUUUAUUUUACUCUCUAUACUUUAUAUUUGGAGAGUAAAAUAGAGAAUGAGCUCUCCAACCACCCUGUACUUCACUCUUUAUUCUCCAUUUAUAGAGAGUUGAACAGUAGUUCUCCAAAUUUGGAGAGCUACUAUUCACAUUCUCUGUUUCACACUUUAAUUAUUUUAUUAAUAUUUCUAUUAUUUUGUAAUUAAUAUAUUAUUUUUCAUAUAAUGUCAUUAAUUAAAUCUCUAAUAUUUGUAAUUCUUUUGAAAUGUAAUAUAAUAUUUUAAAAAAUAUAUUAUUUAAUAUAUACUACUUUCAUCUUGAAUUAAUAAUAUUUCAAUUCUUUUAAUUUUCAUCACUUUGAUUUAGUUUAUUAUUAACUUGCACUAUAAAGAAUGCACAAAAUUAAAUGGUCUACAAUUGUUCAAACUAUUCGUGAUCCACGUUCCCAAAAGCAAAAAUAUUUGCGAUAAAACAAGAAUCGUGCCGAAAAAAUGUUGAACGUGCAUUCAGAGUUUUGUAAUCACGUUUUGCAAUUAUUGAAGGACAAUCACGUUUUUGGAGAAAGAAAGUGUUACAUGAUAUAAUGACUACAUGUAUUAUACUACACAACAUGAUAAUCGAGGAUGAAUGUAAUCUUAAUGUAUCAAUUCAAGAUGUCAUAGAGGCUCCAACUACAAUGACAUAAAUGGUAUUGGAUGAAAAUCUCCGAUUUGAAUAAUUUUUAGCUAGACAUAAAAAAUUAAGGACAAAAAUGUUCAUUUUGAACUCCAUUAUGCAUUAAUAGAGCAGUUAUGAGAGCAACAUUAUAAUCUUGAAAGUUGAGUAUUUAUGUAAUGUUUAUGUAAUUGUAUUUCAUUAAUGAUUUCAGUUUUAUUUGAAUUGUCCAUUAAUUUGUAUAUUAUAUAAUAUGUGUUUGCAAUUUAUAUUAUUUAGAAAUUUAAAAUAAAAAAUAAUGUUAUAUUAAAUAAAAAACUUGAAAAAGUAAAAUUUAUAUCACACGAAAAUACCAUUGUGGACAUCAUAAAUCAAUUCAUGUCAUUAUCGGUCCAAAGCAUCUAACGUACGUUACUUAAAUUGAAGGGAAAAAGGAUAAAUAUACCCUCGAACUAUCGUAAAUGGUAUGUAAAUACCCUUCGUUAUACUUUUAGGACACUGAUGCCUUACCGUCUAAUUUUUAGAGUGUAUAUACCCUUUGAACUAACGAAAAGACACGUGUCACGAUCUUAACGGCUUAUCCAAAAUUAAUUUAAUUUUUACCCACAAUUAAAAAAUUGACCCAAAUAAUUAAAAACCCACCAAAUAAUUUUAAGACCCACCCGUAAAUAAAGCUAAUUUUCCCUUUCUUCUCAAGUUCCGGCAACCAAAGACUGCACCACAACUCCAUCUUCUCCGAGGAAGUUCCACAAACAAAGCCACCUCUAACUGCUACAAACCCAGCAUCCGGCGAUCCGGUGAAAUCAGCGAAGUUGCAACCCUUCGGCCACCACGCACCCAUCUCUCCCUCACCGUUGUUUCAAUAGCUCUGGCAAGCAGCCGAGCAUACCUCUAGCUCUCUUGACAAAUCUUCAAUAAUGGCGACCAAGAGGACACUCCGUAAACAAGAAAAAAUCAAUCUCAUUUCCAUCAACUGAGAAACCCCCAAAGUUCUACUCAUACAUUCAAAGAGUUUUUGUCUGUGUCAUUUAUUUUGUCUAAAAAAGAUUAGGGGAUCUUACUUUGUUGAUGAGAAUUGUAUUAAAUUAGGGUAGAAAUUAAUAUGAAAUUUAACUUUAAAAAAAAACUAUAACAAUCUCGGUUAGGAAGGAGAAGAUCGAGAAAUUUAACUUAAAAAAGAAGAAGCUAUAACCUUCUCUGUUAGGAAGGAAAAGAUCGACAAGAUAGUCUAUUGGGGUUUGGGGUUAUAAUUUGGUGCGGGUCUUAAAUUAUUUGGGCGGAUUUUUAUUUAAUCGGGUCAAUUUUUUAAUUAUGGAUAAAAAUUAAAUAAAUUUUAGAUAGAUCAUUUAGAUCAUGACAUGUGUCCUUCCGUUAGUCCAAAGGGUAUAUAUACUCCAAAAAUUAAACGGUAAGGGCAUCAGCGUCCUAAAAGUAUAACGAAGGGUAUUUACAUACCAUUUAUGAUAAUUCAAGGAUAUAUUUGUCCUUUUUCCCUAAAUUGAAUACUGCAACCUUUCUGUAUCUGAAAUGGGACUAUUCCAACGAGAGACAAUGCAUGUGGUUUGUUGACACUUGAGAUACACUUGUAUGCUACUAUACCUUAUGCACCAAUUAAUUGCAAUAAUUGAAUUGCGAGCUUUAGGUAUAUGUCAUCUAACUUUGAGAAAAUGCUCAUUUGUGUCAUUUAAAUUUGACAAGAGAAUUAUUCAUGUCAUUAUUUGUUCAUUGAAAACGGUUCUAAUUUUGGAAACCACUUUCUACACGUGGUUAAUUAUCGACUUUUUGGCUGACAAAUUAGCUAGUAUGGGAUUGGAAGCAGCAAAUAUCUAAAAAAAGAAAAAAAAAUGUGACUAAUGUUAACAAAAUAGGUAGAAAAAAGUAUAAAGUUUAGCUCAUCUGACACAACUUAUGAACAAUUGAACAACACGAGUAAGAUUUGUGCCUCCUAAAACUUUUGAACAACACAUGCAAUAUUUGUCCAUCUGGCAAAAUUUGGGAACAGUUAAGGCAUAAUACAUAAAUAUGUCAUUUAAUUUGAUCUUAUUUCAUAUUUACGUCCUCCAACUUUGGGUGUGCACCAGUAGACACUAAAACUUAUAUAAAGUUGAACAAAUAGAACAUGAGUCCUAUGUGGUAUAAUACAUGUAGGACACCAUGUAGGAUGCAAAUUGCUACGUAGGAUGUCACAUAGGACGUGUGUAUCUAUUUGUUCAAUUUUAUAUAACUUUAAGUGUCUACUUGUGCACACCCAAAGUUGGAGGACGUAAAUAUAAAAUGAAGUCAAGUUAAAAGUCAUAUUUAUGUAUUAUAUUUGCGACAAUUUAACAUGAUAGAUAGAAAGGAAAAAUACAAAUAUACUCCUAGAACUAUCGUAAAUGGUAUGUUUUAUUCUAUUUGAGAUUUGAGAAGCAAACACAUUGAGACUUGUAUUUAUCUUUCAAUUCCGCAUUUUUUAUAUUAGUGGCAUGUACACGUGACAAUCAGGUUAUAUGGUUAUAAUAUAAUAGAAUGAAUAAGUUUUUCGCUCUUAUGUUAUUCUUGUUUUACUUUCCGCAUUUCUUUCAUUUCGUUGGGUUGAGGCUGACAUGUUUUGGUGGAAAUAGACAAAUGUCAUCUUAUCCAUUUUUGGGUCGUGACAAUAUUUUUAUGCUAUGAUUUUAAAAUUACCAUUAGAAUCUAAUGGUUCAAUCGAAACACCAUUUAAAAUAUCAAUCUUCGAACAAGCACUUGAAACUCAUCUAAGACCACCCAAACACAAACUAAAUAUGUCAAUUAACUAUAAAACACAUUUCGGACCUAUUGAAAUCAUCAAAUCACUAAUUUGAUGUCAUCUUAAUAGAAAGUUCACAAUCAACCAUAACUUUCUUAAAACUCAAAAAUACAACUACGGGGUCAAAUCACUCCCCAACAACUUGGGAUCCGUAUAAACCAUCUAUCGUAGUCAAAAAUCACCUUUCGGAUCUAAUGGAAUUGUAAUAAUUUGAAUUUGGGUUCAUUAACCUAGAAUGUUAUCUUUGAUCAAAUUUCUCAACUUCCAAAAUCAAAAAUCUUCAUCUUGACGCAUUCGAUCAUCUUGGAAAUCAUGUCACUCAUUUUCGCAAAUUAAAAACAGCAUAAGAAUCUACAGAAAAAUUCUAAUUGGAAUAAAAGAACUCAAAAGAAUAAAAAAAAAAAAAAUCAUACAGAUCAUUACCAUUAUUAUCUUAAGGUACAAAAAUUAAAAAUCAAUUCAAAAUAAUAGUAAAAGUUGAAUUGACCUUUGAAUAAAAUAUCUAAGUUAAUGGUUCAUAUCUUGCAACCUAUUGUAUUUCAGGCUUACAUCAAAAGUAGUGUCCACCAAGAAAAAACUUUGUAGUGUAUAUGUCCUACAUAUAUAUUAAAUCAUACUUGUAUGAUGUCUUUUGUUGCUUGACAAAUGAAUUAACUUUAAUACCAUCUCCGACCUAUUUUUAUUUUAUUUUAUAUUCUUUAUAUUUGGAUAGUAAAAUAGAGAAUGAGCUCUCCAAUCACUCUCUAUUUCACUCUUUAUUAAUAAUUUAUAGAGAGUUGAAUAGUAGUCACACCCUCUGUUUCACUUUUUUAUUAUUUCUAUUAUUUUGUAAUUCACAGUAUUUUUCAGAUAAGGUCACUAAUUAAAUCACUAAUAUUUGUAAUUCUUUUGAAAUGUAAUAUAAUAUUUUAAAAAUAUAUUAUUUAAUAUAUACUACUUUUAUCUCGAAUUAUUAAUGUUUCAAAAAAAAUUAAUUUUCAUCACUUUAAUAUGAUUUGAUUUAUUAUUAAUUUUCACUAUAAAGAAUGCACAGAAUUAAAUGGUCUACAAUUGUUCAAACUAUUUGUGAUCCACGUUCCCAAAACAAGAAUUUAUCGCGAUGAAACAAGAAUCGUGCCGAAAAGAUGUUGAACAUACCUUCAGAGUUUUGCAAUCACGUUUUGCAAUUGUUGCAGGACAGUCACGUUUUUGGAGAAAGGAAGUGUUACUUGAUAUAAUGACUACAUGUAUUAUACUGCUCAACAUGAUAAUUCGUGAUCAUGAUGCACCAAUUCAAGAUGUCGUAGAGGCUCCAACUGCAACAACAUAAAUGGUAUCAGAUGAAAAUCUCCGAUUUGAACAAUUUGUAUCUAGACAUAAAAAAUAAUGGACAAAAAUGCUCAUUUUGAACUCUGUAAUGCGUUAAUAGAGCAUUAGAGCAACAUAAUACUCUUGAAAGUUGAGUACUUUAUGAUAUAUAAUUGUAUUUCAUUAAUGAUUUCACUUUUAUUUGAAUUGUCCAUUAAUUUGUAUAUUAUAUAAUAUUUGUUUGCAAGUUAUUUUAUUUAGAAAAUUAAAAUAAAAUAUAAUGUUAUAUUAAAUGAAAAACUUGAAAACAUAAAAUUUUAUAUCACAUGAAAAUAAUAUAAAUUGAUUAUUUGGGGGAAAAAGAAUUUAUAUUAUGAAAUAGAGAAGAUAGUAAAAUAGAUAAUAGGAAAAGAAUUUCCAAGUGUAACGACCGGGUUCCAUCGUUAUAGAAAAGCCAACGGGAAAAAAUUUUUGGUCGGAAAACUUUUUCGUAGUAACUUGGAAAUUCUCAACCUAGUCCAGAUUUUGACGAAAUCGGAGUCAUUAAGGUGUAGGGAAAUCUUGUAGCAAUCAGGUGACUUAUUUAUGAAUUUGAUUACAUGAGUAGUUAGAUAAGUCGUUAAGGAAUCCGUACGACUUUAUGGAAUUGAAUACGGGUGAGUAAAACUCCCGAAAUCGAUCUUAGCGUGAGCGGUAUUUUCUGAGCUUCAUUGGAUAAGGGUGUGUUGUGAAAUGGGGGUCUUGGAAUUAUUAAAAUAGCUCACUGGUUCCGUGCAAGCCGCUGGAACAGUAUUUCUACCGCCAGUGCGUGGUCGUACAGCGGGGUGAGGGCAGCUGUGGCAGGUUCAACGAGACUUAAGGUCGUAAAUAAACCCCAAAAUGACUUUAUUCUGCACUUUUCGACCUUGAGAGCUAGGAGACGACCCCAUACGAGUUCUUGACAGUUUUCCACCAUUCUUGAGGCUAAAAGUAAGUUUUUCACUCCCCGAAUCCAUUUUUUCUAUCAGUAAAACAUCAUAGAAUGGGUAAUUAUCAAUGGGGGAGGGUUUUGAAUUGGAAACCAUGGUGGAAAAGGCCUUAUUUUGGAUACUUGGUAUCAUGGGUAUGAUCUAGGGUUGUUAGAAUUGUUAGUAAUUCGGGUAAUUGAUGAUUGUUUAUUGAUUUCCGUGUUAUUAUGAUUGUUUGUAGACCAAGAACAAGCGGAACGAAUCCAGAAAGGGAAGGAUCAAGUUUCUUAGGGUUUCAAGCUUGUUUUGAGGUAAGUGAUGGUUGUGGUUCUAUGAUUGUGUGAUGUAUGUUUAUUCUUGCUUCAUUAUGAUACUUGCAUGUAUGUGAAUGUGGCAUUGUCGAUCACACUUGUUGUAAAUGAGAUAGAUGAAUGAUGAAUGCCAUGAAUCAUGACUUAUUUGUAUGAACUUGAGAACGUACUUGUGAUUGUGAUUGUGGUGUGUUGAAUGGAUCAAUUGCCACGUUCCGACAUAACUAAUUGGGAUCGAUUGACACAUUUCGGCAUAAUUAUGGGAUCGGUUGCCACGUUUCGACAUAACAUUGGAUCAGGUACCACGUUUCGGUAUGCUAACUGUUUGGGUUUGGGUUCCAUGAAAUAACCAAUGACUUGUCAUAAUUGUGUAUAUUGUUGAGAAUGUGAUCAUCGAUAUUGUAUAUGUUCGGUAUUUUGCAUGUUUAUAAUGUUAUAUUGACUUUCUUAUGUUACACUUAGUGAAAUAGCCGCGUGAUCCUACCAGUACAUUGUGAUUGUGUACUGAUACUGCACUUGCUCUUAUUUUUAUUGAGUACAGGGAAUCUUCAAGCAGCUACUGACAGACCUCGCUUAGAAGAUCAGUGAUCGUCGUUCGAAUUCAAGGGUGAGCCAAUUCUUUCGGGCUGCCAUGAGUUCUCCUUUCGUCUAUGUCCACACUUCCGGACUAAGACAUUUCUAUUAGUUAUUAGUACAUUAGUUUGGGGUUGCAUCCCUUCUUGUUUAGACUUGUUGAACUUUAGAUGUUUUGGUACAUUGACUUUCAGGUUCUAGGUUAUUCUUCCGCAUUGUUUAGUUCGUUGUUAGAUUUUUGUUGGAGUUUAUGGGAACUUCUUAUUUCUUUCCUUAGUAUUUAAUUUGCUUUCGUAACUUAAAUGCUUUAGUUUUUGAUUUAGUUGCUUGGCUUGGGGUUGUAGUAGUGGUUCUCCCACAUGAGGGUUAGUGUGGGUGCCAAUCACGACGGUCUGGGUCGUGAUAAAGUUGGUAUCAGAGCCUAGGUGCAUUGAUCUCAAUGUACCAAAACGAGUCUAGUAGAGUCUCGCGGAACGGUACGGGGAUGCCUUUACUUUUCUUCUAGAGGCUAUAGGACUUUAGGAAAUCUCUCUAUUUUUGUGUCUCCUUUCGUGCUAUAACUUGAUUCCAAUUGGUAUCUAUCGAUUUAAAUUGGUAUCUAGCCUCCUUCACUAUUCUGUCCGCAGAUGGUUAAUAUUAGAUACAACGACAUCAGGCUCGUAGCUCCCGUCAAUGCUCCAGCUGAGGAAUCUGCAGCGAGAGGUCGCAGUCGAGGCAGGGGUAAAGAAAGAGCUAGGGGUAGAGACCAAGGAAGAGUAGCACCUGCUAGGAAUGGAGCUCCUGUUGAGAAUGCUCAUGUGAAUGAGAACCCUCCUGGGCAUUAUGAAGAGAUUGAAGAGGAGAAUGUUGAUAUUGAGAAUGUUGCGGAUGUGCGACAAGAGGAAGAGGUGCAAACUGAGACUAUCGAUUUUCCCCCAUAGACCUAGUGUUAGCUCGAUAGAUUAUGUCAUUCUUGGAGGGGUUGGUUAGUCCUAGAGUGCUUCCUUUUGCUCAAGCAACUCAAGCACCUACUAAUCCUCAUAUUGCUAGCAAUGCGCCCAACGUGGGUGGGACCGGAGGUAAUGAUGCUUUCUUUCAUCCUUUGUUGGGUUCUGUUAUGACCGGUAAUGAGCAUGAGAUGUUGACUAAAUUUUUGAAACUAAAGCCUCAUGUGUUUCUUGGUUCUGAGAAUAAGGAUGCUUAUGAGUUUAUCUUAGACUGCUAUAAGAGGCUUCAUAAGUUGGGAAUUGUCCAUCAGCAUGGGUUGAGUUUGUGUCCUUUCAACUUCAAGGUGAGGCUAAGUAAUGGUGGAGAGAUUAUAUAGAAUGCGGAUCUUCUACUUUACCUCCACUUACUUGGACCCAAUUUCAUGCUCUGUUUUUGGAGAAAUAUGUGCUUAGGACUUUGAAGGAUCGCAAGAAGGAUGAGUUCAUGGCUUUGGAGCAAGGUGGUAUGACUGUGGCUGCUUAUGAGGCCAAGUUCCAUGUUUUGUCUAGAUAUUCUACUCAAUUGGUGACUACUGAAGAGGAGGGGAUCCGGUUAUUUAUUAGGGGACUAAAUUCUCAAUUGCAGGUAUUAUCUGUUCAUAUGACUUCUGCAGGGAGGAGCUCUAAUGAGGUAACAUACUAUGUUAAGAAAGUGGAGGGGGUGAGGCGAGAUGGUCAGGCUAAGGCAUUGGUUAAAAGGGCGAAGAAUUCAGGCAACUUUCAAGGUUCUUAUUCCAGAGGUUCAGAGAGGCCAACGCUUGCAACCAAGCCAAUUUAGUCCGCUAUACCCGCCUCUACAGGUACUCAGGAACUCCACCUUAUAAUUUGAUUCAGGAUAGCCAGGUAGUCACACAUUCAGUGGGCAGCAUGCCAUUUUUUUAUCGUACAUGUCACAACUGUGGUGAACCUGGGCAUAUGAGAAGAGAUUGUCCCCACCUACGUGUGUUAGAUUCCGCUCAGCAGCAGUCUAGAGCAGUGGUACCCAUGGGAAAUGGUAAUAAUAGUCGAGGGCAUCCACAAGGUGGGCGAUGAGGUAAUCAGCGAGGCCGUGGAGGUAGAGGAAAUGGUAAUACAGGCAGGGGUAACAUGCAACCAGGCAUAGAAAUGACUCUUCAAGAUGAUAGGGCUCAGUGUUUUGCCUUUCCGGGCAAAAAUGAGGCAGAGGCGUCUGAUGCGGUGAUCACAUAUACUAUUCUUGUCUAUGAUUGGAUGGCUAAUGUGUUAUUUGAUCCGGGUUCUACUUAUUCUUAUGUAUCCGUGCGAUUUUCCUCAAGGUUUGAUAUGAUUUGAGAUAUACUUGAUGCCCCUAUCCAUGUUUCUACCCCCAGUUUGGAGAGUCAGUCAUAGUUACCCAUGUUUAUCGUGUUUGUCCUAUUUUGUUUAUAGGUUUUUAGACUUGGGCUGAUUUGGUAAUUUUGGAUUUAACUGAUUUUGAUAUAAUCUUAGGCAUGACUUGGUUGUCCCCCUAAUAUGUUGUGCUUAAUUGUAAUACUAAGUCUCUAACUCUAGAAAUUUCGGAAAGGGAAAAAUUAGAGUGGGAAGGGGUGUACAAGCCAAAGCAGGCUAAGAUCAUAUCCUCUAUUCGGGAUGGAAAAUUGGUAGAGCAGGGUUGUUUGGCUUAUUUGGCUCAUAUUAGGGAUGUUGAUAUUGAGGCUCCAUCCAUUGGGUUUAUUCUUGUGGUGUCAAAAUUUAGAGAAGUGUUUUCUAAUAACUUGUUUGGUAUGCCUCUGGAUAGGGAUAUAGACUUCUGCAUUGAUUUAGAACCUGGUACUCGUCUCAUUUCUAUCCCUCCAUAUGGCAUGGCUCCGACAGAAUUUAGAAAGCUUAAGGCUCAAAUCCAAGAGCUUCUUGAUAAGGGAUUUAUUCGUCCUAGUGCUUCCUCAUGGAGUGCUCCAAUUUUGUUUGUUAAGAAAAAGGAUGGUAGUAUGAGAAUGUAUAUAGAUUACCGACAAUUGAAUAGGGUCACUAUUCAAAACAAGUAUUCUUUGCCUCGAAUAGAUGAUCUUUUUGACCAAUUGCAAGGUGCAUUAGUUUUCUUUAAGAUUGAUCUAAGGUCUGGCAACCAUCAGUUGAAAAUUAGGUCUGAGGAUGUGCCCAAGACGGCAUUUAGGACUCGUUAUGGGCACUAUGAGUUUUUGGUUAUGUCUUUUGGUUUGACCAAUGUGCCUGUAGCUUUCAUGAGUUUAAUGAAUGGGGUGUUCAAGUCAUUUCUUGAUUCUUUUGUCAUAGUCUUUAUUGAUGAUAUUUUGGUUUAUUCGAAAAGUAAGGAAGAGCAUGUCGACCAUCUUCGUAUUGUUUUGGGUGUUCUUGGAAAACAAAGGUUGUAUGCUAAAUUUUCUAAGUGUGAAGUUUGGUUGACUUCGAUUGCAUUUUUGGGGAUGUAGUUUCGAAAGAAGGGGUAAUGGUAGACCCUCAAAAGAUUUAGGCGGUAAAGAAUUGGGUUUGACCAUAUUUUGUAACUGAAGUUAGGAGUUUUGUGGGGCUUGCUGGCUAUUAUCAUCGAUUUGUGAAGAACUUUGCUUUUAUUGCCACCCACUUGACUAAUUUGACCAAAAAGGAGAUACCAUUUGAAUAGACUGAAAAAUGUGAGGAGAGCUUCCAAAAGCUCAAGGCUCUUUUGACCACCGCACAUAUUCUAGCAUUACCAGUAGAAGGUGAAGAUUUUAUUGUUUAUUGUGAUGCUUCACAUUCUGGUUUGGGUGAUGUGUUGAUGCAGGAUAGGAAUGUUAUAGCUUAUGCAUCACGUCAAUUGAAGGUGCAUGAGAGGAAUUACCCAACAAACAAUUUUGGGUUGGCAGCGGUAGUGUUUGCUCUUAAGAUCUGGCGACAUUAUCUGUCUAGUGUCAAGUGUCAAGUGUUUACUGAUCAUUGUAGUUUGCAGCAUGUGUUCACUCAAAAGGAUUUGAAUUUGAGACAACGAAGGUGGAUGAAGUUACUUAAAGAUUAUGAUGUCACCAUUCAAUACCAUCCGGGCAAGGCUAAUGUGGUGGCAGACGCUUUGAGUCGAAAAACAGUGAGUAUGGGUAGUUUAGCUUGCUUAAGUGUAUCCAAACGACCUUUGGCUAAGGAAAUUCAGACCUUAGAGUCUAAGUUCAUGCAGUUGGGCAUCUCAGAAAGAGGUGGGGGUGCUAGCUAGCAUUAAAGUGAGGGCCACAUUCAUUGAGGAGAUCAAGGUCAAACAGUUUGAUGAUGAGAAUUUGGAGGAGCUUAGAAAGAAGAUUGCGAUUAGUAAGGCACAAGAGACUAUUCUUGAUGCGGAAGGUGUGCUCAAUUUUAAAGGAAUAAUAUGUGUUCCUAGAGUAGAUGACUUGAUUAAGAAAUUAUUGGCGGAGUCUCAUGGUUCGCGAUAUUCUAUCCAUCCGGGUGUGACCAAGAUGUAUCGAGAUUUGAAGCGAAUUUAUUGGUGGCCGGGCAUGAAGAAGGAUAUAGUGGAGUUUGUAGCUAAGUGUAAAAAUUGUCAACAAGUGAAGUAUGAACAUCAAAGGCCUGCAGGUUUGCUUCAAAGAAUGUCAAUUCCGGAAUGGAAGUGGGAAAUGAUAGCCAUGGAUUUUAUGGUUGGUCUUCCCAAGACUUUGGGGAAGAUUGAUUUUAUUUGGGUAAUGGUUGAUAGAUUGACCAAGUCAGCCCAUUUUAUUCCGGUAAGAAUAGAUUAUAAUGUUGAACAAUUGGCUAAAGUUUAUGUGAAAGAGAUUAGUGAGGUUGUAUGGGGUGCCCCUCUCUAUCAUCUCAGAACAUGGUACCCAAUUCACCUCCAAGUUUUUGAGGAAAUUGUAUGAUGAAUUGGGCACACAACUCAAUUUUAGUACAACCUUCCAUCCACAGACUGACGGGCAAUCAAAGAGGACUAUCCAAGUGUUAGAGGACAUGUUGAGGGCAUGUAUGAUUGAUUUUGGAGGACAUAGGGAUUAGUUCUUACCUUUGUUUGAAUUCUCCUAUAAUAAUAGUUAUCACUCCAACAUAGAUAUGGCACCAUUUGAGGCACUCUAUGGGAGGGGAUGUAAAUCACUCAUAGGAUGGUUUGAGGCUAGGAAUGUGAAACAUUUAGGGGUUGAUUUAGUGAAGGAUGCUCAAGAUAAGGUGAGGAUUAUUCAAGCUAAGUUUUUAGCAACACAGAGUAGACAAAAGAAGUAUGCGGAUCAUAAGGUAAGAGACACACAUGUUUAAAUCGUUUCCAAGUUUUAGUAUGUGUGAUUUAUUAAAGAAAGAUAAUAGACUUGGUGCUUGAAGUCGACUAAAAAAAUGUUGUUUUGAUCAUCAUACUGAACAUUGGGGCAAGGGAGUGCUAUUGAAUCGAGAACUGUAUUCAUAGUUAUUCUUUAGAUUCUUACACAACUUAAUUCAUGUUCUCCAGGGAAGACAAGGGGAUGAUAUCAAUGGUUUGUUAUCGACAAGCAAGGAUGAUUUUCAACCUCCAAAAUUCAAGGGAAGUGCAAAAACAACCUUCCAAGCUCUUUUCACCUUCCCUCUCUGAGCUAAUACACUAAGGUGAGAGACUGCAAAGAGUUUAUGGAUUUAGGACGUUUCGUCUUGAGCUGCCUAAUAAUUCUACUUUUUGCACUUGGAAGGAUCUCUCUUGAAACACAUAUUAGAGUCAUGGGAUCCUAUAUUUCGAUGACUUGUAAAGACGAGAAUUGUUUGCAAGGUCAUUAGAUUCAUUUACAUGUAUGUAUUGCAUUCUUUCGAAUGUGCUCUUGACUGACAAUUCUUGUAUUUUUGAAUAAUAUCUUGAUAUCAUCA
rnacentral:lncRNA from 1 species